rnacentral:lncRNA from 1 species
AUUAGCAGUGCUGGGCUUGAACUAGCAAAUGUGCUGGUGACUUCUCUUCCCCUGCACCAGUCAUGGAACGCGGUUCUUGAUCAGAAGCAAAAGCUCCCCCCAGCUGCUGAUCCAAACCAAAAAAUGGCCUUGGACAUUAGUGAAACCAAGCACUCAAACACCACCAUCAUAUCUUUUCUUACUUCACCCGUCACGCUUCACGAUCAACAGCGAUGGUUUCGUUUACUCCCAAGAACGCAGAUUUUUCUCUCUUUGAGUUUUUGUGCGGCAAAAACACCCCAAGUUUCUCCAUCAAUGAAUUGGCAAUCAACUUCUUCAAAUUGAACCUCACAAACCUCGAUAUUUGGCGAAAAAAGGUGAGUAUUAUUGUCUUUCUGAUAACUGAUAAUGUUUAACCGCUUUGACGACUCUUAAUGUUAGUGAGAAACAGUUAAAAAUCAUAUUUAUAUUGCUAGAUUACUUUUCACUUAUUUAGUUUGGCUUCUUUGACAAACUGUUUAUGUUAACAAAAAAUGCUUACAAAUCCCUCAUUUAUAGAGUUAUAAAAGCCGGAUAUAUUAACAGUGGAGUCCUUUCUUUGUUUGUUUCAAAACCGAGUUUAAGUUUUUUUUUGUUUUUUUUACUAUGAAUGUAGUUUGAGGAACUUAUUUAUAAAGACGUCUCCGAAUUGAUUAUAUAGAAGUUCAGUAAUUGACCAACUUUUAUGUAAUAUUUCAGCUGGUAGAAAGCAGCAAAUCCUCACGGAUAGUUAUCACUGGACAUUCUUUUGGAGGUGCUGUGGCUACCCUUUUCACCCUAUGGCUGCUGCAAAGCCUUGACUUGUCGAAAGCGAAACGCCCCCUUUGCAUCACUUUCGGUUCACCCUUGAUCGGUGACGAACAACUCCGAAAAUGUGUGUUGGAAUUCUCAACAUGGAGUUCUUGCUUCUUGAAUGUAGCCUCCAUCAAUGAUCCUGUACCUAAAGUCUUCCUAACUUCGCAAGGGAGUGGUUAUAAGCCUUUCGGAACAUUCCUACUGUGCUCCUCUUCGGGUGGUUCUUGCAUUGAGGACGCUGAUGCCAUUUUGCAACUAUUGGUGGAAACCAGCUCUCAGUGUGUUCAAAAUCCAGUUCCGAAUUCAGGGACUCAGUUGUUUGAUUACGGAAAGAUUUUGAAUGAUCUCAAGACCAAGGCAUUGUUUAGAGAUGUCUUUGAGUUGGUUGAAGAGGAUAGAGUUCCACUUAAUGCUGGAAUUAAAACACAGUUGGCAGCAAUAUUAGGCGUUCUCAGCUCACAGGUAUCAAACUUUCAACAUGAAUAUCUGAUUUGAUGAUAGAUUUUGGGAAAUGGUUUCCGCACAAACCUGUGUAUUUCUAUCUCUUGAUUCUCCUUUGAUUUAUUUAAUCCAAAGACUAGAAAUAAACACGGGUGUGCAGGGGGAGAAUAUGAUUUUGCGGAAAUCACAUCCCAUGUUUACUUCUAGCUACUAACUUUUCUCUCAACUCCUUUUGUAAAAGUCAUUGCAGCAGCAACAACCCCACAUAAAAUUCGAGAGUCUGAUAAAAAAGAUGGUCAAUCACGAACGUAGACUAGCGAUGCAGAAGACGAAGGAUUACAGCUCCUUCUUGAAAUUGAAUGAGGUUAAAAAGUACAUGGCCAACAUGGAAUGGUACAAGAAGGAGUCCAAAGACAUGGGAAUUGGAUACUAUGACAGGUACAGAAACACGCGUUACCCGAGUGACAUUAAUGCCGAUGAGUUCAAGAAGAGGCUGUCAAUUUAUUGGCAUGACACGGUUACUGAAGCUGAGAGCAAACCACAGAAAGAAGGAGGCGCAAUGCGUAUCCGUUUUCUUUAUGGUGGAACGAAUUACAGAAGGAUGAUCGAACCGCUUCACAUUGCUGAGUACUACAGGGAAGGUGGAAAAAAUUACAAAGAGAAAAGGCCUCGACAUUUUGUUCUUUUGGAGCAAUGGUUCAAUGAGGAGGAGAAAAAGAAGAGGGAAAAGAAAGAGAGGGAAGAAAGGGAGAACCCGCAACAGCGCAGCGCAAGCAAGUCCAACCCAAAAGCGAACAGUGUGGCUUCUAGUCUGAAUGAUGAUUCUUGUUUUUGGGUGCACGUCGAGGAAGCACUUAUCUUGUGCGACGAACUAGCGAGUAAUCCACAUGCCAAGCAAAAGCUGAUCGAAUUUGAGUGUUACGUGCUGGAUACGCUCAAGAAUUUCGCAGUGACACCUGAUAUUUUCUUGCCGCAGAGCAGCUUCAUGCGAUGGUGGAACAAGUAUAAAGAGAUUGUGGGAAGUAGCUACUCCUCAGAACUCACAGAAGUCAUGAAGCGUCACACUUAUCGCAGGUAUGCCGAUGGGGUCUCAGUUCUUGCUGGUCUAUAAUCCAAGAUAAUUAAGUUUUAAGCAAUCAAUUAAAUCAGAUAAAGCAAGAUAAGUUUUGCUGUAUUCAUCACGAUCUUCAUAGAGAGAGACGUGCAGUACUUGCAGGACUUGUUGGUGCUACUACGUUUGAAUAUUUUUGUUUGUGGUUUCUUUUUGUUUUGGGCUCUAGCAUCUAGCUCUCUUGUAAGAAAAAUAAUGUGUGGGGGAGUUGUUUCAGUUAUAUUGUUGUAAUUUCCACUUCAUAAAAGUAAUGACGUUUGUUGUAUUUUGAUUUCACUAAGUUUGAGAACUACCCUAAUCAGCAUUUAUAAUAAGUUGAAAUUUACGUUUGUCGUGGUUUACGUUGUAUUACUCUUCAUAUACCUAUCAAGUACAAAAGCAGUAAAUACAUAUUUUAGCCAAGUGACUAAGUGUGGAACUGGGAUUCAAAGCUAAAGUAGAAUUACUUAUGUAUCCCAUAAUGUAUACCUUCUGAUGGCUUUUCACAUAGCACGCAACGUGUGAUUAAGGAACAAAAUGGUAUACACCUCGAGAUAGGUAAGUCCAUCAGCUAGUAAAUUAGCUUGAUGUAAUGUAGUCACGUGACGAGUAAGAACGAAGAAAUGAGUGUACAGCUUGGGACACAGUACAUAUAUAUAGUAAAACUACAUGUAUGUAUGCUUUGGGUGAGGCCGGCCAAGAGGGAUCUCCAUUUUUUUUUCAAAAAAUAGGAAUUAGUUGUGAGACUCACUCCACAUCGAGCUUCAACGGUCUGAACCGUUUAUUUAUUAAGAAGAAAUUAGGUUAUCAUCAUUCCUUUUGCUACUCCAUUAAUUAAAAUCCUAUUUUUUUUCAAUUUUUGAUCAAAGUCCUUGGGUAUUAAUAACAUCAUUAAUUAUUUCAAUAAUAAAAUAUUUUUUUAUUUCUUAAUAUAUUCAUUUAAUGUUAAAAAUGUUACAAUUAGUAUAUUUAUAUUUAUGACUAAAGUUUUUACCAUAUAUUUUUAGUUUUAGUUUGUACCCAUUUUUAAUUUGUAAUUCUUUUUUAAUUUGUACCAAUUUUCUUUUCAGUUUUAAUUUGUACCCAUAUAUUAAUUUCUUUUUGUGCCCAUAUUUUUUUAAAGUUUAUUUGUAUUUGUACCCAUAUAUUUUUUUUAUUUGUACUUUUUAUUUUGCUAAAUGUACCCAUGCUAAUUAUAUGUACCCAUUCAUGUAAAACUUUUUAAUCUUAAAAUGUACUCAUUCUUAAAUAUACCAAUUUGUUAUAUGUAAAAUGUACCUUUUUUAUAUAUAUAAAAUUUAUUCAAUUUUUUUCUAAUCUAUUUUAAACUUAUAUGGGUACAUUCUUUUUUCUUUGAUUUUAAAAUGUAUCCAUGUCAAGUUUAAUCGAAGAAAUUUACUAAUGUUAUUAAGCCUAAUAUCUUUUUUUUUUUUUAUGAUUUUGAAGAAUGUACCCAUGUUUUGAUACAAUAAAUUUUUUGGUUAAUUUUGAUGAAUGUACCCAUGUUUAUAUAUAUACACACACACAAUAGUAUAUUUAUAUUUUAAUAUUUUUAAUCCCACAAAUUAUGGUUUUUUUAUUUAAAAUCUCAUUUAUAUAAACAACUAAAAUUUCUAAUUUUUAAUUUAAAAAAUAUAGUAACAUACAUAGAAAUAAAUUAUCAUAUUAAUUUCAGGGACCUAGAUAAAAAAUUAAAAACUAAUAAGGUUUCAAUCAAAGAAUAUUCAUAAUUAAGGGCCGCAUCCAAAGUCUCCCUUUUUAAAUCUUGAUUUAUAGAUCAUUCUUGCAAAAAUUCAAGUCCGAAACCAUUUGCUAAUUUAAUUAUCACGAUAAAAUUUUAAUGUUUUAUUAGAACAAAACGUUCGUCAGCUCUUUGAACUCAAUUAGAUGCCUUAAAUAUUUUCGAUUUGGCUAAUAUUUUACAAAAUUAAUCUGGCACAUCCUGCCUCCACCAUAGCAAAAUAUUGUUCGCUUUGGGUCAUGCCCUCACGGAUUUGUUCUUGGGCUUCCACCCAAAACGCAUCAUGCUAAGAAGAGAUGAGCAUGUACAUAUAAAGCCAGGGACCAACCUUCACCCAACCGAUGUGGGAUCUUACAACCCACCCCCUUAGGGAGACCGAUAUCCUCGUCGGCACAUCCAAGCAGACGGUGAGUCUGGCUCUGAUUCCAAAUUGUCACAUCUCGCCUUCACCGUAACAAAAUAUUGUCUGCUUUGGGCCACCCUUCAUGGAUUUGUUCUUGGGCUUCCAUCCAAAACGUUUCAUGCUAGGAAGAGACGAGCAUGUACAUAUAAGGCCAAUGACCAACCUUCACCCCACCGAUAUGGGAUCUUACAUAAUCUAUGAAAUGAAACUUAAAAAAAAUACACAAUUCAAAUCUUUAAAAUUUGAUAUGGUGCCUUUCCCUUAAAAUGAGGUAGUGAUUUAGAUAGACCAUGUCAAUUUGCCAUGCCAAAUAUUAGGAAAGUAGAGUGUAGACAUGGGAAGAAAACCCAGCUUAGAUAUGGGACCCACAGGCACAUGCAGUUCUCAUCGAUCUCAAUAAUUUUCAACAAACCUUUAGAGCAAGUCCACCGGAGUGGUUUUUGCCCAGCACCCUGUCCAAAUAACAAGCUGAGGGACAGGGAAUUCACUUCAGCUCGUCGGGCUGCCUGGCACACAACCCAUGCCAGUCAACAAAUUAGCCCAUUUUUGACAGACCCAAGAGCCGGCCUAUUUGGCUGGCGCGUGGACUGCAUGCGCGCUUGGCAGCGAGUAGAAGACAAGCCGGCAGGCGCUGUUAGCCCACUUGUGCUGCAGCAACGUGGCUCGCUUAGAGCCGUUGGAUUUCCAACGGUAACAAAAAUUUAAAUUUUACUUUUAAACUGGACCUUUCGAUCACAGAUCAACGGUCCACGUUUUAUCCCCCUCCCCAAAAAAAGGGUCAAACGGUCAGAUUUAUAGCCGUUGGCCACGUGGCAGAUCAUGGGCUCUUGGAUUUGAAUAUUUUUCAAAUCCAACGGUCCAGAUUAAUUAACUACAUUAAAAUUAAUUAAAAAAAAUUAAAAAGUAUUUUUUUUCUAUAAAUACCUAACCCUCAUCUUCCACCUUACACCACAUUUCAAUAUUUUCUACACUUUCUACACUUUCUAUAAAUACCUAACCCUCAUCUUCCACCUUAGCGGAAAUCUAUUCACAAAAUAGUACGUUCGGAUAAUGACACGUGGCGUGACGAGAUUGGUUAAAAAUCCCAUCCGAAAUAAAACUAUUUUAUUUUUGUAUUCUUUUAGAAAAAAUUUAAAAAUAUUUUAAAUGGGCUGGGUGCCAGCGCAUUUUGUAGGGGUGGAGAUCGUUUGUGCCAGCGCAUUGUUUUAGGGGUGGAGAUGCAUUGGCCUAUUACUGUUCAUUGGAGUAUAUUACUGUUCACUGAAGUGGAUAAAUGGGCUGGGUGCUGGCACAAGGUCCUUAGGGGUGGACUUGCGCUUAUGUUUUGAUUCGAACAGUCUCCCACUUUCGAUUCUUCCAGUCCUACUGCAAUUGUCCUUUCGUGCUUUUUGCUCGGAGGGCAAGGAGCAAUUUUUACUCUUUACUUUAUAAGUUUAACCGCCCAUUAAAAAAAUAAUUUUUUUUUGAAAAUUAAAAUUGGUUUUCAGAAUUUUCUUUUCAAUUUUUGAUUUUCAAACGAAUCUUAUGAUGUUUAUAUGGGCAAAAUACAUUAACGUGUGCAUGAACAAAGAGGAGCACGUCGAAACCGAGAAAAAGUCUAAAUUUUUUUAUGUGGUUCAAUAUCUUAGUGAAUGAAGCGUUAGAUUUCUACCCAUGCAUUCUGGAUUUGAAAUCCUCCCAUUUUUUAAAUUAUUAUAAUAAUUUGAACAUCUCCUAAUAAUAUGGUACGAAUUUAUUGCUACCGUAAUAUUCCAAUCAAACAAAACAAUGACAUGUGUACAUUUUUCAAUACGUGACACUGACAUUGUAUAGUUAAAUUGAUCAAGGUGCUAUGUGGAAGAUGAUCAUCUCCAAAUCCAUUUUGUGGGAAUCCUAGGGAUUCUCACAUCAUAGCCAUUCAUCGUACAUCGUGCUUGUCAAUUUUCGUCGUGUACUAUUUGUGUUUAAUUUUAAAUAAAAAAAGUCAAAUGAUUUCUGACCACACACGAUGAAUGACUAAGAUAUGAGGAUCCUUAGGAUCCGGAUAGAAUCCAAAUCCGUACUACAUGACGAUAAAAUUGUUCUAUAUAAAUUGCUCUCUAAAAUUAGGUCGACAUCGUCCUUUUUUAAGUUGGAUACAACACACAAUUAGCCCUUGGAUUCGAAAAUACAAUUGGAUCGUCGUCAUUUAUACGAUUUAAUGGAACACUAGUCCAAAUUGGAGUGGGGCCCAUUUCCUUUCCAAUAAAAUAGCCACGUUGAUGUUGGACUGUUGGAUUAGCGACGUUGAUGAGCUUUUAGUGCGCUAUUUAGCUUUAACGUUGCAUAUGAUCCAUCACGUGACGAACAAUAUACGCGCCAGAUACAACGUUGUAACUUUUAACCUUUCUCCCCAUUAUCCACCUAAUUAUCUCAGCCUCCAUUUUAUGACAAUUUAAUAUCUACAAUCUUUUGCUAAUAGUUGGGGGGUUUUCUUAACUAAGAUGUUUGUGACUCUCUAAUGUAUACAAAAUUGUACAAGAUUAACCACAACCGUACAAUGAUGACUGAACUCUGAGUUCCCAAAGUGGACCACACUUAGGUGAUUCUGGAGAAAUUUAGGUGCAAUUGUCACACUGUCAAAUAAUGUUAAUCAGGUUUAAUAAUAAAAAAAUUAGUGUUGUCGAACCACAGCUAUACUGGAGGAAGAAAGUCCUCGUUAAAGGAGGGAAAAGUUGAUAUUGGUGUCACGCUCGACCUUGUCGAGGGGGAUGAAGGUGCGGUAGGUUUAAUACUCGAAUUAACCAAAGAGUGAUGUUAUCUGCACACCUUCUUUUAAGUCUCACACACUCCUUGUUAAUUUAUGUCACAUGAUCAUCUUUAAUUCAUUAGAUUCGAUGACCAAUUAUUGAGAGUUGUGUGUGAAAGAUAAAAAGAGGUUAGCAACACCCUUAACUAGAGGUGGUAAAUCAACAUGUUGGGUUGUUAAUGGUUACUCAUUAAGACUCAUUUAGUUUGAUUUCAGCUUACACCAUUAUCACCAUCACAAACCCUACCUCUAUAUUAUGAUGAUAUCAAAUUAAACGAGUCUUAACGGGUACUCAUUAACAACUAAAUGUGUUUAUCUCCACCUUUACACUUGUUGAUGCACAAAAUCGGGUCGAUCUUGGACCAACGUAAAUCCGACCGUGAAUCACAUAAACGCACAAGAACACAAAGAUAUAUCGUGGUUCACCUCAAGUUGAGGCUACGUCCACACUGGUGUUGAUUCCGUUUCACUAUGUAAAUGAAUGUUGAAUAUACAUGGAGGCUAUAGAGGCAGUGUUUACUCUCUUUGCUAUUCUGUUUGCUUUCUCGUUUCCCCUCUGUCUGUUUCCAUUUCUCUUUAAGUGAGUGUGAGGGAGCCAUUUUAUAAAAUAAGGGUUUCCUCCCAUCUUACAUGAAUCAUGGGCUAAGUAAUGAAGCCCAAAUACUGAGACCCAAUAUAUGGUACAACAUAAGUCCCCCAAGUCUUCAGUCAAGAGAGUCUUUUGGCUGGAGACUUCAAAUUCAAUCCAUGUGCAGGCUGAAAUGACUAGAUGUCGUUCAGAACUAGUACUCGACAUAAGACGGUGCUUAACAUGAAGCAAUAAUCAGCUAGAGGUAGCACACGUUGCGAGGCUGCUCGACUAGAGGCAAUGCUCGCGGCGAGGCGGUUGCUUGGCUGGAGGCGGUGCUGGUUACGAGACAGCUCAACUUGUGGCAUUCUUCAUUGCGAGUAUGCACUAAAUGUCAGUGUGUGCUCAUUAUGAGUUAACUUUCGACAUGACUCGGGUCCACUUGUCGAGUUCGCAUAUUGGGUCUAUGUGUCAAGUCCGCGGAUCAGGUCUAUAAGUCGGGUCUUUGAGUCGGGGCCAUCCGUAGGGUCUUUGAGUUGGGUCCGUAAGUCGAGGUUCGAGCUCAAAGGUGUCCAAUCUCGUAAGUGCCCGAAUGAAUGGGUGUCCAAGCACAUAGGUGUCCAAAUGAGCGAGCGUCUGAGCAAGUGGGUGUCUAAACGAGCGAGUGUCUAAGCAAGUGGGUGUCCGGUCAGACAAGAGAUCAUCGUUCGAACUAAAUCUUUGUCACCAUAAGCAUGUGGCUCAUCGAUCUAUAAGUUGAUCAGUAACAAUGUUGAUCAACGGAGUCCUGGCAAUAAAUAAUAGUAUAAGCAUGAAUGCAUAAUUAAUAAAUCAAUCACAGAGUUUGGCAAAAGUAUAAUGUCAUACUAUGCAAAUUGUGUGGUAAAUGACUUGUUUCAUAUGUGACAUAGUUAAUGACAUCACAGUAUCACUAGGCAAUGAAUAAAUAUUGCAUAAGUAAUUGCCUAAAUAUGUAGGUCAUUAGUGAAAUAUGAUAGAAAGCGUACUGAGCAUACGUGACUAUUGUAGCAUGUAAUCUUAAUAUAAUGACAAUGGGAAGACACACAAUAUAUUAUAUAAAUAUAUUUUCAUUCAAAUAAUGAGGAUAUCUAAUUUGGUCAGACCAUGCCACUAGCUAUAGUAAUUGUGGGGUGAUAAAAUAAUAAAAAUAAAGGUAUGUGGUAUAGUGGGUGUAAAGAAUAAAGAGGGUUUUAGGUGGAUUUGAUCAGUAGUCAUGUUGAAAAUAAAUAAAAUAUUUAAAUAAUGAAUUCAGUGUUCAUGAAUGAUUAAAGCUGGCAAGACUAAGGACAAGUGGUCUUGUAAUAAACAUUACAUAAUAAUAUAAAAUAUUAAUAGACAAUGACAUUGAGAAAACAUAAUGAUGGGUUUCUUUCAUGGCCGACAAUAUCAAAGGGGGAUAAUAAUAAAAUUAUUAUAAGCAAGCUUAUCUUUUUCCUGGUUUUCCCGUGGGUUUUUUUCAAUGGGAUAGUGGGUACAUGUCCUCGUGAAGAGCUACAAGGCACAUCAAAGCUUGGAGCUUGAAACCCAUUUGGGAUUUUGAGUUUGUGUAUAAGUAAAAGUGAAGCAGGAAAGCAAGAAGGUGAGCAGAAUGGUGAAGUUGGUGAACUUCGCUAUGGAUCCAACGGCUGAGAAACACUGAGGCUCUAUUUUCUCAUGCAGGUUUAGUUUGUAACAGUGAUGCUUAUGUUCUAAUUUAGCUCUCAAGAUCUGCACAGAAAAUGUAGAGAGAUAGAGAGAGAGAGAUGCGGUGGUGGCUAUGUUUCCAUCGUUGCUGCCGUGAUGGGGAGCUGGAACAGAAGACAUGGGUUUUGCAGUGAUUGUGCAGGUUUUUGGUUCUUAGGUUUCUACAGAUUCACGGUGGAGGUUGUGAGGUUUGAUGAAAAAAUGAAAGAGAACCAACAUAGCUUUUCGUGUCGUUUCCCACAGACGGCGCCAAAUGUUGAUGCACAAAAUCAGUGAGGACUGUGGUACAACAGAAAGUGUUAAGUUUGUGACCUUAGCUAGAUUGCUCCGGUCACUAGUGUGGAUAAGUAUGUAAAUGGAUAGAGACAAGGAAUCAAACUCAAGAUGUACGUGGUUCAUCCAGAUUCGCUACGUCCACGAAGUAUAUGAGUUCUCUUUAAUUGUGAAAGAUUUACACAAGUACAUAGGUUCAAGCUCUCAUUUAGUGAGUACUAGUGAAUGAUUUAGUACAAAUGACAUUAGGGAUUAUUAUGGGAGAAUGAUCUCCUUUUAUAGAAGAGAGUUUCUAGUUUUGUUCUGGCCUUGACACAUGUCAUGCUAUGAUUGGCCUUUGAUGUUGACACGUGUCGUCCUGUGAUUGGCCUCUUGGUGUUGACACGUGUUACGCUGUGAUUGGCCUCCUAGUUUGAGGGAAACUCUUCUGGGUCCUUGAUGGUAUAACGUUGACCAGUGCUUGGUAGUUUCGAGAUUGAUCAAGUAUGGUACAAACAACACUUAACCAAAUAAUGACGAAAGGUUGACAUUUCAUAUCGUCUUCUUUCAUAAGCUUGAUAGUCAUAAAAUAGAAAUAAGGAUCCUCUUCGAAUUAUCUUUGUGAGGAUCCCGAGGAUUCAUGAACUGUGUCCAUUCAUCGUACAUCGUGCAAUCAGAAAUCAUUUUAAAUUUUAUUAUUUAAAAUUGAACACAAACAGUAUUUAACAAAAACUGGCCGCAAGAUGUACGAUGAACGAACACGAUUCACAAAUUUUAGAAAUCCUCAUGAAGAGGCUUCAGAUUCAUAAAAUAUUGUAUAGAUAUGUGUUAGACCAAAAGCGAGGUAAUUACACUACACGACAAUGUGACAUUCAAAUUGAAAAAAUACUCAUUACUCUCAAGUCUAAAGAACACUUAGCUACACUCAAUCUGUAUCGUGACAUGGAUAAUGUUUUUCACACCUAUUUUUACUUUCUACAUACCUUGGUUAAGUUUUGGUCAUUGAUUUUUUUUUUCAAUUCAUAACAGAAAAUUAAGAAUGAUGGGUGAAAAGUAAAAAUAAAUAUGUGAAUAGCACUACCAUGUGACAAUCCUGAAAUUAAACUUUUCCACAUUGCAAUGCAUAAUUAGUCUUUUUAUGCAGUUAGAUAACUUUAGGGUUUACGUGUGAUUAAUUGAACUAUAACAUGAGGUGAUAAUGAAUUACUUAUCCACUUAACUCGUCAAUUAUACAACUAAUUUAAUACUUUACUUAAAUGCAAGUGACGUCUACAGUACUAGGCUCGGUCAAUGUAUGAUUGACUUUAUACAAUGUCACAGUCAUAGUGGUAUUGAAGGAAUUCGGAUCCUCACCGGAUUUUCUUUGUAAGGAGCUUGAAGAUCUGUGAAUCAUAUCCAUUCAUUGUAUAUCGUGCGGUCAUAAAUUAUUUUAAAUAUUUUUAUUUAAAAUUAAAUACAAACAGUAUCUGACAAAAACUAACUGCACAAUGUACGAUUAACGGACACGAUUUACAGAUUUCCAUUAACCUUACCGAAAUGAUCCGGAGAUGGACUCAGAUCCUCUCCGGAUCAUUUCCGUGGGGAUCCUUCUGACCUAUUAAUCUCAUCCGUUGAUACUAAUCCAACGGCCAAAUGAGUUUCGCGUCUUUUCUCUCUUUUCUCCCUUACGCUCUUCCCCUCAACCCUUCAUUCUCCCUCAAUUCGAAGCACCCGACCCGCUGCCACCAUGUUACGAACUGGAUUUGAACCAGCAUCCCAAAAUUCCCCGGAAAACUUCCAUUUAUAUUCUGAUCGUGACUAUGGUCUUCCAACCCAGCAACCCCCAACCUCCCCUGCUGCAAAUUGAAUAAAGUCCGAAUUCAAAGGACCUACAAAAAUAUCACUAAACGUACUGCAAAAAUUAAAGAUUCAGAGAUAAGAAAUACAAAAGUUAACAAGGAAUUUAAUUGGGGUGGGCUGGGGCUGAAGAAGAUUGAGAAGAUGCUGGUGUGGCGUUGGUGGGUGCUUCUAAGUGAGAGGAGAAAGAUGAAGAGUCGAGGGAAGAGAGAGAGAAAGAGGUGAAAAUAAUUUGGCCGUUGGAUUUGUCCCAACGGUUGAUAUCAAUCGGUCAAGAGGAUCCUUACGGAAAUGAUCCGGAGAGGAUCUGAGUCCUCCGGAGAUGACCAAGUUGGGUAUUGAAGGGCAGAAAAGUCGUCCUCACCCGCUCCAUAAAGUAGGGGUAUUUCCGUCAUUCCAUGUGCCUUGAUCCGAAGUUCAACCCAAAAUUUAAGUGGGCCGUCGAUUACUCCUAAGCACGAUUCCCGUGAUUGACGGUGGAUAGAGUGCCGCGUGGUUACUCCCUUCCCCACUCUGUCUACCCCCGGUAAAUCCAUCUCUUCUACGAGGGCACGAGACCUCACUCUCUAUUUCUCUCUCUCUGUCUUUCCUCCUCUGAGCUUCCAAAAUGCUCAUUUCUUCCUUCCGGCUACCGCCCGCCAGCUGAAGCAGUUGCAGAAGCAGCAGCAGCCACAGAGAGAAGCUGAGCAUGGCGGCAUUCCUCAUUGUCCUCCUCACAUCUCUCUACUAGCUCUCACCACCCUCCCCGGCGCCGAAUCCCGACUCUACACCAACUACUACCAAAAAUCGUGCUCGAGAUUCGCUCAAAUCGUCCAAGACACCGUCACAAAUAAGCAGAUCAUGAAUCCUACCACCGCCGCCGCCAUUCUCCGCCUCUUCUUCCACGACUGCCUCGCCAACGGCUGCGAGGCCUCCAUCCUCCUCUCCUCCACCCCCUUCAACAAGGCGAUGGAGAAGCUCGGCGUGUUAGGGAUUCAGACCGGAAGGCGGAGAGAGAUUAGGCACAGGUGUCGAUAUCAACCUCUCAAAGAACAGAGAAGCAGGAACUACUCGCUGUGCACCAGUUCAUAAAUUGGUCCAUCGCUGGUAUGCGUUUUAACUCUUCCCUAUUAGGUUAAUAUUUAUACUUCCAUUAUUUUCAGCAAAUGGUCUCUUGUCCCGGCUUACUUCCAUAUUUCUCGGUUUUGCUCCCACAUUUCUUGGAUUCCUGGGAUUGUAGGGAUCCCAAAAUCGUAACCGUUCAUCCUAUAUCUUCGGUUAAAUUUCGUUAAGUACUAUUUAUAUUUAAUUUUAAAUUUUAACGGUGCACUGGCCCUUGUACUCAUCUCGUGGGUACUAGUUGAAAACACACUUAUUUACUCAAGUAAGGUGAAAAGGUUGUCAAGUUCCUUUAGCGAUAUGGAGGAUAACGUCAUACUUGAUGGUAGAUACUCUCGGAUGUCUUUUGUGGCUUUAGAUGGUUUUAUUCAACGUUGCUUUCUUUGGAACGGGAAACUUUGCGAGUAUUGCAAGUUUUGGGAUUUCAUCAGUGUAUCGGUUCAUUACCGUCUUCAGUGUAAGUGAAGGUUGAACUUUCCUGGGCAUUAACGCUGCUAAGGCACACCUCUUGCGGUCUUCUGCAAUUUUUUGCCCUUUAUUCCUGCAACUGCUGAUUGCUCGUACAAAGUUCGAUUGAAAUUUAAUGAGAGUCAGAGCAAUGGGAUUUUCCAAGUGUUCCCCAAAGAUCUCACAACGUUCGAUUGAAAUUUUGGCACUCUUCUCACAUCUCUUGAUUAGUUGAUACGAUUUAACCAGUUAUCCCAUUUAGUUAUUCAUUGAUCGAUUUUGUAACUACAUUUAACCAGUACAUACUCCACUUUUGGCUGUCUGAAAUAUUUGAUUGGUCGUAGAUUAAAUGUUACUAUCUUCCAUCUCGAAACAAUAAAAGUUGGCCCUAUAUUGGGACAAAUUAUUGGCUGCGAACGACCAGACUACAUGGUUGUUUAAGAGCAUCUUUAACCGGAGUCCCAGCACUAUUUUUGAAGAAUCAUUUACGAACUUAAAGGGAAUAUACUUGUUCCCAAAAGAAAAUUAGUUCCAAUGGAGUGUCUUAUAGUAUAAUCUUUAAAUUUAGAUACUACGAAUUAAAAAAUCAUUGUUAAUUUCACAAUGAGAAACCUAAAAUAACUUUCACAACCGUUGUUUUCUCAUCAAACCAAAGAGAAAAGUAACGGGACCUGCCCCAUUGGAAGCUGCACAGUAUUUUAGAGUUCCAUCACGUGCUCACGUGCUAGGGACUUUCCCCGAAGAAAGAUGGUAAUCUACUAUAAAACCAAGAGUAAUGUUAUCUACAUACUUAUUUUACUUUUAAUACAUCCAUAUACAAUCCUUAAUUGUAAGGUAAUUUUGGCGGUCUCCGGGCAGUCCCUAUAUUAUAGGGAUUGGAGUUCCGAUCCACCGGAAGUCACCAAGUUCUUAACUUUAAGGAUAUAUGGUGGUAAGAACAAGUAUAGGAACAAACAUUGAAGAUGCUCUAAUUGCACGCACAAAACACCCAUUCUUGCCGAUGGUCCCACCCUGCGCCCCUUGCGCGCGUGCGAGCUUCCGAACUCAAGGAUUGCCCCUUGUAAUUGUAAAAGCAAAGAAUAGAAAAAGACGACCAUAUUGUACUGCUGGUAGGUGAACUGGGAAAGAAACAGAACGGUCGACGGCCAUACCCGAGCCCUCAGAUUCACUAGUUAGAUUACUUUGUAAAUUUCUUUGCAUCCUUCCGGAACGUUCAGUCGUUAAAAUCAGCAAUGUAUUAACCUGCUCCAAAUAUUCAUUGCAGGGAGCAAGAGGGAAUAAAUAAUGCAAGUGGGAAUAAUUAACCUGAAUUUUAACACGUAAACGUACAAAAGAAGACAAGGAAAAGCUUCGAGGUCUAGGGCCCUCCCUUUUUCUCCGAGAAACUUUCAGGAAUAAGUUGCGUGGACGACGACCUAGACUUUGCUGUGCAUCGUCGACUUGGGGGGAAGCUUCGUCGUGCGGCCUUUUGAUUGGUGAGACAAAGACGUCCAUAAUAUUUAAUAACGAUAGGAUUGAUUCGUAUUCUAUAUAAAGAGAGAUAUAUUGACCAUUCCGGUAUCCUCUUCUCUCCAUCUACUGUGUGUUUUAAGCAGAUCGGCAAAAGCUUGAAGAUGAACGACCGGUAAGUCAACUUCGACUUCAAACUUCUCCGAUCCUUGUUUUUCUUUGAAUCCUUUGCCAUGAUUUUUCUUGUGUUGUCUUGAUUGAGCGGAAAAUGGUCUGGAAUGGCUAAAAGUGUGUUUUUCAACUAUCAAAAGUUCUUAUGGUUGAAUCUGGCAAAAAAAACUUGCAAAACGCUUUUAGAUAGACGGUAUAAGCUCUUUUCGGAGAAGCAUGUGCUAUGUCCGCCCUCUACAAGCACUUCUAUAUUUUCAAGUGCUUUUUCGAAUAGCACUUGAGUAUUUAAUAAACAUUUCUAUAUGUUCAUAGUAAAAGAUAAGUGCUUAUGAGUAAAGUGAAUCUUACGAAAUACAUUAGCUUAAUAAUCGUCCUUAUAGUUUACCAAAUUGCAAUUUCAUUCUUACAAGUAUUUUGCUAAAGUGGCUUCGUUAGAAAUAGGUAGUAUUAUCUACGCAUUUAUUUUUACUUGUCAUACACGAGAGAGGAUCCUCGCCGGAUCCUCUUUGUGAGGAUUACGGGAAUCCUUCAAUCACAUCCGUUCAUCGUACAUCAUGCGGUCAGUUUUUGUUAGACGCAAAAGUUUCAACAGAAGUUUCAAGCAUGUUUGUUAUUAUAGUUGGAUGCUAUUUGCUUACACCCUCGAUUUAACUUUGCUUCAAUUUUUUGUUGGUGAUGACAGAAUUAGCAGUGCUGGGCUUGAACUAGCAAAUGUGCUGGUGACUUCUCCUCCCCUGCAGCAGUCAUGGGACGCGGUUCUUGAUCAGAUGCAAAAGCUCCCCCCAGCAGCUGAUCCGAACCAAAAAAUGGCCUUAGACAUUAAUGAAACCAAGCACUCAAACACCGCCAUCAUAUCUUUUCUUACUUCACCCGUCACGCUUCACGAUCAACAAACGAUGGUUUCAUCGUUGACUCUCAAGAAUGCAGAUUUUUCUCUCUUUGAGUUUUUGUGCGGCAAAAACAUCCCAAGUUUCUCCGUCAAUGAAUUGGCAAUCAAUUUCUUCAAAUUGAACCUGAAAAACCUCGAUAUUUGGCGAAAAAAGGUGCGUAUUAUUGUCUCUCUGGUAACUGAUAAUGUUUAAUCGUUUUGACAACUCUUAAUAGUGAGAAACAGUUAAAAAAUCAUAAUUAUAUUGCUAGAUUACUUUUCACUUAAUUAGUUUGGAUUCUUUGACAAACUGUUAAUGUUAACGAAAAACGCUUACAAAACCGAGUUUAAGUGUUUUUUCUUUUACUAUGAAAGAAGUUUGAGGAACUUAUUUGUAAAGACUUCUCCGAAUUGAUUAUAUAGAAAUUCAGUAAUUGACUAACUUUUAUGUAAUAUUUCAGCUGGUAGAAAUGUUAGAAAGCAGCAAAUCCUCACGGAUAGUUAUCACUGGACAUUCUUGGAGGUGCUGUGGCUACCCUUUUCACCUUAUGGCUGCUACAAAGCCUUGACUUGUUGAAAGCGAAACGCCUCCUUUGCAUCACUUUCGGUUCACCCUUGAUCGGUGACGAACAACUCCGACAAUGUGUGUUGGAAUUCUCAACAUGGAGUUCUUGCUUCUUGAAUGUAGCCUCCAUCAAUGAUCCUGUACCUAAAGUCUUCCUAACUUCGCAAGGGAGUGGUUAUAAGCCUUUCGGAACAUUCCUACUGUGCUCCUCUUCGGGUGGUUCUUGCAUUGAGGACGCUGAUGCCAUUUUGCAACUAUUGGUGGAAACCAGCUCUCAGUGUGUUCAAAAUCCAGUUCCGAAUUCAGGGACUCAGUUGUUUGAUUACGGAAAGAUUUUGAAUGAUCUCAAGACUAAGGCAUUGUCUAGAGAUGUCUUUGAGUUGGUUGAAGAGGAUAGAGUUCCACUUAAAGCUGGAAUUAAAACACAGUUGGCAGCAAUAUUAGGAGUUCUCAGCUCACAGGUAUCAAACUUUCAACACAAAUAUCUAAUUUGAUGAUGAUUUAGGGAAAUGGUUUCCGCACAAACCUGUUUAUUUCCAUCUCUUGAUUCUUCUUUGAUUUAUUUAAUCCAAAGACUGGAAAUAAACACGGGUGUGCAAGGAGAGAAUAUGAGUUUGCGGAAAUCACAUCCCACGUUUACUUCUAGUUACUAACUUUUCUCUCAACUCCUUUUGUAAAAGUCAUUGCAGCAGCAACAACCCAACAUAGAAUUCGAGAGUCUGGUGAAAAAGAUGGUCGCUCACGAACGUAAACUAGCGGUCCAGAAGACGAUGGUUUACAGUUCUUUCCUGAAAUUGAAUGAGAAUAAAAAGUACAUGGCCAACAUGGAAUGGUACAAGAAGGAGUCCAAAGACAUGGAAAUUGGAUACUAUGACAGGUACAGAAACAAGCGUUACCGGAGUGACGUUAUUGCCGAAGAGUUCACGAAGAAGCUCUCAAUUUAUUGGCAUGACACGGUUACAGAAGCUGAAAGCAAGCCCCAGAAAGAAGGAGCCACAAUGCGUAUCCGUUUUCUUUAUGGUGGAACGAAUUACAGAAGGAUGAUCGAACCGCUUCACAUUGCUGAGUACUACAAGGAAGGUGGAAAAAAUUACAAAGAGAAAAGGCCUCGACAUUUCGUUCUUUUGGAGCAAUGGUUCGAUGAAGAGGAGAAAAAGAAGAAGGAAAAGAGAGAGAGGGAAGAAAGGGAGAACCCGCAACCACGCAGCGCAAGCAAGUCCAACUCAAAAGCGACGAGUGUGGCUACAAGUCUGAAUGAUGAUUCUUGUUUUUGGGUGCACGUCGAGGAAGCGCUUAUCUUGUGCAACGAACUAGCGAGGAAUCCAGAUGGCAGGCAAAAGCUGAUCGAAUUUGAGCGUUACGUGCUGGAUACGCUCAAGAAUUUCGCAGUGACACCUGAUAUUUUCUUGCCGCAAAGCAGCUUCAUGCAAUGGUGGAACAAGUAUAAAGAUAUUGUGGGAAGUAGCUACUCCUCGGAACUCACAGACGUCAUGAGGCGUCGCACUUAUCGCAAUUAUGCAGAUGGGGUCUCGGUUCUUGCUGGUCUAUAAGCCAAGAUAAUUAAGUUUUAAGCAAGCAAUUAAAUCAGAUAAAGCAAGAUUAGUUUUGCUGUAUCGCUCAUGAUCUUCACAGAGAGACGGGCAGUACUUGUUGGUGCUACUACGUUUCAAUAUUUUUGUUUGUGGUUUCUUUUUGUUUUGGGCUCGAGCAUCUAUAAGAAAAAUAAUGUGUGGGGGUAUUGUUUCAAUUAUAAUGUUGUAAUUUCCACUUCAUAAAAGUAAUGACGCUCGUUGUAUUUUGAUUUUACUAAGUGUGAUAAGUACUACCUAAUUAGUAUUUGUAAUAAAGUGAGACUUACUUUUGUCGUGGUUUGUGUUGUAUUAAUCUUCAUAUGAACCUAUAAAGUACAAAAGCUUAAUCUUGUAAAUACAUAUUCUAGCAAUGUGAAGAGUGGAAUUAGGAUUCAAUGCUAAAGCAAAAUACUUACGUAUCCCAUUGUGUAUACCCUUCUAGUGCGUUUUCACACAGCACGCAACGUAUGAUAAGGGUGCGUUUGGUACGUGGGACGGGACGGGACGGAACGGGACGAGGCGUUCCGUCCCGCGUUUAGUGCGCCAAAAAUGGAUGGAACGGGCUGUUCCACGGGACAGGUUUUGGGUGUUUUUGCGUUCCACCUCCCCCCUGGAACGGGUUUGUUCCACGUCUGUGGAACACAAUGUUUUACCAUUUUAAGACAAAUAUACCCCAUGUCUUUUUCAAAAAUGACACCUUCGUUCCGUCCUGUCCCGUCCCGUCCCGUCCCGUUCCGUCCCGUCCCGUCCCGUCCCGUCCCGUCCCGUCUGCGUACCAAACGCACCCUAAAGGAACAAAAAGGUAUACACCUCGAGACAAGUAAGUCCCAUGUGCUAGUAAAUUAGCUUGGAUGUAUGGCUGGUUUGGUAUUGCUGUGCUUUGAAAAAAAGCUGCUAUAAGAAUAAGCGGCUGUGAAAUAAAUCAGCAGAGCGUUUGGUAAACUUUUUUGUAAAAGUGCUUUUGAAAAAAAAAGCAGUUUGAUAGUUGGUCUUUUCAUUAAAGGAGCACUGUAGUUCCGUGUGCUUUGAAAAAAAGCCAGUUUUCCAAAGCUGCAAAUAGCAGCUUCAGCUUUUUCUUUUGAUUUCAGCUUAUUCUCACAGCAGCUUCCAAAAUAAGCCAUUUUUUUUCAGUUUACCAAACACCUAAAACCCUCACAACUUUUUUUCAUAGGUGCUUUUUUUUAAGCACCUCACUCCCAAACUAGGUCGUAAUGUAGUCACGGGAAGCGUAAGAAACAAAGAAAGGAGUGUACAGCCUGGGACAAAGCACAUAUAUAUUUUACAACUACAUGUAUGUACUCUAUGGGUGAGGCAUGGCCUAAGGGGAAGGAUCUCCAUUUUUUUUCAAAAAAUAGGAAUUAGUUGUGAGACUCACUCCACAUCGAACUUCAACGAUCCGAAUCAUCUAUUUUGUAAAUUUUGAUUCAUAGAUCAUUCUUACAAAAAUUCAAGUCCGAAACUAAUUAUCACGAUAAAAUUUGAAUGUUUUAUUAGAACAAAAUGUUCGUCAAUUUUUUUGAAUUCAAUUAUAUGCCUGUUUGGAUCCAAAUUUACACCAUUGGCCCAUGCAAUCAAGGCCUUUGAGUGAGCAUAGCUCCCAACCAUCGGAUGGAAAAGUGAAGAUAAUUUUGUUAUUGUUGAAGGAUAAUAUUAUGAUUUUUAUCAUAAUAAUUAUCUUUUAAUAUGGAUUAUCUGCAUCUUCUUAAACCAGAUAAAUAGGAUGCGAAUUAUAUCCUAAGCAAGCAGUACAGUUCGAAUUGAUUUGGGAUGUUUGACGACACUUGGAAGCUAAAAAUGAAUUUGAAAUUCAUUUGAUCAGGAUGCAUGCAUGGAUGGGUUUAAAGGUGAUGGAAUUAUAUGAUGUGAUAAGCCUAGGAUUUGAUGGUCUUGGAUAAUGAUGAGAUAAGAAACUUAGGUAGGCUAGGCCUUUUUUUGCAUGGUGAUGGGCGUUGUCAUAUGAGUUUGGAGUGAUAAGAAUUGAUGAUGUGAGCACAGUAUGAUUGUCGUGUGAAAGGGCACUUCGAGAUUUCAAAGGGACACCUGUUGUUCCUCUUGUAAAAGUCCACAAGCAUAAGAAGACUAGGGAGAUUUUUGCCGAAAUAUAUUAAAGAUAAUAUCAGUUAUUGUUUUUUAGAGUAUAUUCGGAAAGAGAGAUUAUAUUCACACACCUCAAAUUACUUCUCCCACACCUUUUUAUUUUUUUAAUAUUUUCUACACACCACUAACACUUGAUAAAAAAAUAUUAAAAAAUUAAAAGGGUGUGGGAGAAGUAAUUUGAGGUGUGUGAAUAUAAUCUCCCAUUCGGAAAAGGCCUCUAUUGGAUUGGCGAUCAAGAAGACUUGCUAUAAAUACAGAGGCAGUGGCAACAUGAAAAGUCCUCAUCCAAUUCAACACACAAACUGCCAUGUACAAACUCUUGCUUUACGUGAAACCUUUCAACAACCUUGAGAUUUUAUUUUCUUUUUCCCGCUGACACAUCUUAAAUUUUAAUAAACAGCAUUGUGAAGGCAACCGGUGAACAUCUUCAGUUUGGAUAAACAGCACUGUGCCAUAGAACCAUUCGACCGCGAAGCACCUUCAGUUUGGAUAAACAGCAUUGCUCCGAGACCGACUGGUUACCUAUCCAAGUCUCGGUCAAGAAGGAUUUUCGAGUCCUUAUUGGCAGAUGUCAUCUCAUCAGCCUUCUCGACGAAGUGAGAUGUUACCAAGUUACUACAUUUAGCACCCUGAGAGCCGAAUUUGAUAUUGAACUUCGCAGAACUAGCAGCCCUUCAGGCUCUAGAACCCGAAGGCCGAGACGUGUUCCUUUCUCGGCCACAGUCGUGAGAUUUAGAAGUCAACAACACGCCCAACGCAACAUCAACUCAUUUUACUCACCGGUCGAGCUCGGCCGUCGAGUUGGCACGCCCUACACACAACCGAAGAACGUAGUUAGCUUUUUAAUUGUUCGGCCUGUGCGCCACGUAGGCUUGAUAGUUUUUAGGUUGGAGAAAUUAGGUUCACAUCCUUCUUUUUGCUACUCCAUUGAUUAAAAUCCUAUUCAUUUUCAAUUUUUGAUCAAGGUCAUUGGGUAUUAAUAACAUCAUUAAUCAUUUGAAUAAUAAAAUAUUUUUAUUUUUAAAUAUAUUCCUUUAGUGUUAAAAAUGUUAAAAUUAGUAUAUUUAUGUUUAUGGCUAAAUUUUUUAUCAUAUAUUUUUAUUUUUAGUUUGUACCUCUUUUUAAUUUGUACCCAAUUUUCUUUUCAUUUUUAAUUUGUACCCAUAUAUUAGUUUCUUUAUGUGCCCAUAUUUUUUUAAAGUUUUAUUUGUAUUUGUACCCAUGUCUAUAACGUCACGUGACAUUGUAUAUUUAAUCAAUUAUAGAAAAACUACAUAUGGUAUAUUUAUGUUUUAUGCCUAAACUUUGUAUCAUAUAUUUAUAUUUUUAGUUUGUACCCACUUUUAAUUUGCAACAUUUUUUUAAAUUUGUAGUAUUUUCUUUUUAGUUUUAUUUUGUACCCAUGUAUUAAUUUCUUUUAGUGCCUAUAUUAUUUAAAAAUUCAUUUGUACUCGUAAUUUUUUAAUCUUUUAUAUGUACCCUAAUUUAUUUAUAAUGUACCCAUUCUUCUUUAUUAAUGUACCACUUUGUUAUAUGUGAAAUGUACCAAUUUUUUUAACAUUAUGGAUACAUUCUUUUGCCAUUUAUUAUUUCUUAUUUUUACAUAGUUUUUAUCCAUUUAUUCAAGGGAGUUUUAACGAAAAGCCCACGGUACUGUUCACUUUAACGAAAAACCACAUUUUUACACUAAAAAGUCAAACCUGCUACUAUUCACUUUAGCCUUUAUUUUGUCCUUAUCGUUAAAACUCAAAGUUUUUAAGCCCUUUUCAUUAAUUUUCCUUUUAUUUUCAAUCAAAAUGUUUGAAUUUUUUUAUUGUAACUGUUUCUAAUAGUAUUAUAAUGAGGGAUUUUAAAUUUAUAGGAUUAUAAAUCUCAUAAAAUAUCAAACAAUUAAUGUCAAAACUAUAAAAAUAUAAAUAUUAAUUGUAAUAUAAUGAGGUGUACAAAAUCAAAGGACUUUGAUCAAACUUUGAAUACCAUUAUGGUUUUAGUCAAAGAAUAUUAAGGAUUAGAGACUACAUCCAAAGUAUCCCUUUUAGGUUCAAUAAUGCCUUAAAUAUUUUUUAAGGAAAACUAAUAAAAAAGGCUUGAAAACUUUGAGUUUUAAUGAUAAGGACAAAAUAAAGGGUAAAGUGAAUAGUACCAGGAUUGACUUUUUAGUGUAAAAAUAUGAUUUUUCGUUAAAGUGAACAGUACCAAAUGCUUUUCGUUAAAGUUCCCUAUUUUUUAUUUGACUAAUAUUUUACAAAAUUAAUCAAUGAAAAGCAACUUCAAAAAUACACGAUUCAAAUCGUUAAAAUUUAAUGUGGUGCCCUUCCCUUAAAAUGACGUGGUGAUUUAGAUAGACACUAGAAAUUAGGCUCGUGCGUUGCCACAGGAACCAACUUUUUCAGACGUAAUCGAAUGAAUAAAUUCAACACAAUUAUGAACAAACAAAGGGAUACAUAAGUGAAUGAAAUCGAUAAAAUAAGCAAUUUUGCUUUUAUAUACAUUCAAGUGAGUUGACAUAUAAACACAUUGUACAAUGAGUGGGAAGAAACUGAACGUCUUUGAUUAGAAAGAGAUGGUUUCAAAAAAAGUUCUGUUUCCUUAAGAAACAAAAGAAACAUUUAGUUCACAUAUAUAAUGUGUCAUGCAGUGUAGACGGCCAUUUCAACAGAUAAUUAAAAAUAGAGAGUGUUGAGGACUUGUUCAAGUAGUUAAUUUUGUAACCACAACUUUUCAAAGGCAAAAAUAAGCAGAAGGUUUGUUUCCAUACCAAACUGAAGAAACAGAUGCAAGCUACAGUUUACACAUAUUUUGCCCCUGCAGUUAAGACAGCAAAAUAUAUGCCCUGCAAUCUACGUACCUCACUUGUGCAACAUAUGCCUUACACUGGAAAAACAUCAAAAAUUGAAUACAAAUUUGUAAAUCAUGGACAGAUUUUGUUUUACAUUUUUAUAAUCAAAUCAAACGGCAAUGUAGCACGUAAAAUUACAAACUUGAAGCAACCAGAGAGCAAAAAUUAAGAUGUAGAGAUAUCCUCAAACUUGCAACAUAUUGUAUGGAAGCUAACCGUAGAGGUUUGUGAAGCAAACUGCGGCAUGAGUUGCAGUCAAUUGAACAAAAAUAUAGUAGUUCAACUAAAAAAUGCAUAUAAACACAUUUAAGUUAAAUAAAUUCAACACAAUUAUGAAAGGAUACAUGAGUGAAUGAGAUCGAUAAGAUAAGCAGUUUUGCUUUUAUAUACAUUCAAGUGAGCUAGCAUACAAACACAUUGUACAAUGAGUGGGAAGAAACUGAACGUCUUUGAUUAGAAAUAUAUGGUUUCCAAAAUAGUUUUGUUUCCUUAAAAAACAGAAGAAACAUGUAGUUCACACAAAUGUGUCCUGUAGUGUAGGCAACCAUUUCAAUAGGUAAUGCCAAGAAAAGGAAUUAAAAUAUUAGGCAUAUAAAUGCAAGCUUACAGAAACUUUGUUUUUGUACACUUUCUUCUCCCUUGAAUGACAGUUUGUUUCUUAUCUAGAAAAAUAAAAUGAGCAGGUCAAUGAUACUCACAUGUGCAAAAUGCUAAUCCUAUGGUCUAAAGCUAACUGAGUUUUUAAAUGUAAAAUCUCUAAUUUCACUGCAUUUGGAUUGAUCACAGUUCGUGACUUGUUAAACUUGAUAUCUCCUUGUACAUUUUGGGAACUUGACGGCUUAAAGAAGUGCUCAUAAAAGCAAAUUACACAAUAUCUACUAAAAAACUUAGAGAAGGGACUCAAUUAGUCAACAACCAGGUGCCUCACACUUAAAUAUUAAAGACCAAAGGGAGAAAACGAAGCCAAACUCUUAAAAAUUCGUUGGCACACAUGCUUCAUUGGCUCAAUUGAAUGUAUAAUACAAUAAUUCGAACAAUAGCUCAGAAACAGUGCUAAAAUUCCAUUAGCACUAAUCACACACUGUUGGAACAGAGAUCCUAGCAAAGCUACACCAAUUAAAUGACAGACUAAAAACCACAAACAGGAAAAAAGGAAAAACAGAGUUAUCAGACAGCAUGAUUCAAAUAUAAUUUUAUUAGGGUUUGUAAAAGCACAACUCAUCCAGCACUUCGAACACACCGUGGGAUUUAAAGACCAUAGAGUAACAUGUUGGAUUCAUCAUUUUUUGAGAAGAGACAAACCUUUCAUUUAAGCUAACACAAAUUACAUAUCAAAGGAUAAGGAGUACGCUCUAAGAACAGACGGAAAUAAAACAAACACAUAACAGACAUAACUAUCAUACCAAGAAGCCCCCAGACACUUACUAUUGGCUUUGAUAUCAGUUUUACAAUCUGCCUUUGAUAUCAAUUCCACAAUUGGGAAUUGAUAUCAAUCUUAAACCCCACAGGCUAUUCAUGUUUGAGAAGGCAUCAGACAUGCCCGUCAAAAUCAUUACCAAGCUUAGAUACUUUCAGAGUACGUGAAGUGGGGUCACUUACAUUCUGUAUCAAAAAACCUGACAGACGCCAAUGAAAUUUUAAUAGCGGAAUUGAACCUAAUUCAUUAACUGUGGUUCGUGCAUGGUCAUGAUGAUAUGAGGUGAAUCGCUCUCUAAAAUCAGAUCUCGAAGAACCCUAACAGAAGCCAACACCUUGGAUGAAUGAAUCACAUUUAAGUUGAAUAAAUUCAACACAAUGCAUAAAUUGCCUUAAGAUCUGCUAAACUGAAGUAACAAAAUGACAAAACUAUACAAAUUACAGACCAGAAACAAAGCUAUAGCUGACUGACCUUAUGCCAAAUCCCUCGAGCUCUUUUUCAAUUAGACGCUUGUGAGUUAUUGGCUUUAUUGCAUCAUGAACAAUUAAAAUGCAAUUGCAUGUCCUAGCAGUGCUGAUAACCAAAAUAUUGUUAGGACAACAAACGGUAUCAAAGUUUUCAUCUGAAGCUAUUUUGACUUUAUGCACACUGAGAUGAAGAACCAAUAUAUAUUAAUUAUACCUUUGGGAUAUUUGGGUGGUCAAGCUUAUGCCAAACAUCAACCUCUUGCUGAAACGACGCCCGAAGAGCAGCAGUUUCGGCUAUCCUCCCCCCAAUCCAAUAUCUUUAAUUUUUCACUAUAAUAUCAAGAAUACAUAAAGCCAUGAGAACAAUAUUGAUAAGAAAAAUACAGGAUAACCUACGGUUAGGGGUUCAUUAUUCAAUCAAAUAACACCGUUUUCUUACACUCAAUAAAAAAAUUUAUGUAUUUCUAAAUUUGUACAUGCAGUCACAUGUAUUCUUUUUCUCCAAUGAAAUAAACCCCCCCCCCCCGGAGUCUAAUAACGAUGAAAGUGAUUGACCCCAAGAACCCCAAACAUGCCAGUCCUAAGAACACAAAGCAUAUAAACAGUUAACCACACACUUAAGCACAUUUGCGUCUGCACAGUGGCCAUUUAUUAGGUCAUAAUACACAUGAGUAAACCCUAAAACACAAAAAUCAAAGUUACAAACUUUCAAUACAAACCAAUCGAGAAUGAAUUUAUACCACACAUUCUGGCAUAAAAGAAAAGAAAAAUCAAUACUAAUAUUUGACUGCAAGCAGAUCUUGUGGGACUACUACAAAUAAUAUAAACCAGUAGAUUUCCGUAAUAAAAUAUAACCACAGAUGAAUGAAGGGCUAUUAACUUAAUAUUUAGAAAUAACCGUCAGUCCCUAGCUAUUAUGCAUGCCACUAAUGAAAGGAGGGAUCACCAUUUAUUAAGGUACCUGGAAUUCACCAAUACCAGGAUAUUUCCAACCAUGCUGUUCAGGAUAAGAAGGAUAUUGUAGCUCUCCACACGGACCUAAUCCAACUUCAAUUUCUGAUAUUAUUCCUUCCUCAAAAAACUCAUCAAAUUCAACUCUGAAGCUCCUCAAGUGGUCGAAGUAAACCUGCAUUGGUUCCAUUAUAAUAUAACAAAAUAGAAACUCUCAGCAUUAAACAAUAAGAAUGCAUAGGGUCUGAUUCUUAGAGCAUACAAAUUCUUAGAAAUAUAGAACAUAUAAGUUGGAAUAGGUUUAGCAAUAGUUUCUUUUAAAACAUGAGUGGAACAUGUAAAAAAAGACAAAUAUAGGAAAGGAGAUAUGACAAUCCAUAGAAAUAAAAGACCAACAUAACUAAGUAAUUCUAGAAUACUAUACCUCAACAGCAGUGCGGCCUCUUAAAACCCGCUCUUUAUCAAUUCCCCAAGUGAGACAUUCAGUGUUGCGUUUCCCUUCUUUAUUAGUAAAAUAUAUAUAUCAGGAUUCUUUUGGCCCAUUUCUGUCACCCAGUGAGAAAGAGGGAUAAGUACAUCAUCCCCGACAUCGCCUCCACACUCGUGGAAUGACAUCACGACCUAAACCAAUAUACAGCAAGACAAUGCACACCAUAUCCAACAUGCAUAUUCAAAGAAAAUAUGUAGCGCAGAAAAUCUCUCUUUUUUGAAAUGAGUUUUAACUGAGUCUCACAAACUAAUUUACAAAAAAGAAAGCUAUCAGUGGGUUACUUUUCAGCAAUCUACUCAAGACUAUUUUUCCCCUUACCUAAGACAACAGUCAGAAUAAACUUAAUUUAUAUACAAUGCAAGCCAAAAGAAGCAACAAUUGGUAUUCAACCUCACUUCCAGAAAAUUACUCAAAAGACAAUGAGAUAAAGAGUUUCAAAAAUAUGAUGCAUAUUUCAAUCGAGCCUCAUUAACAACAGAAAAUACAGCAGCACAAAGCAUAACAGAAACUUGGAAAUGGAAAAGGAACCUGCAAUUAGGCUUCUUCAGAAGCAAAAAUGGCAUUAUGGAACCCAGAAUAAGAGAGAAUCACACAGAGAGAGAGAGAGAGUGGAGUGAGCCGGUCUGAGCAAAAAUAAAGAUACUGAGCUUUAGAAAGUAGGAAAGGAUGUUGUUACCAUCCACUAAUUGUAUUGUUCCAUUCAGUAAAGCAACCAAUGCAGUUCUAGGCUCAUAGUUCCUAUUCACAUUAACCCAAGAAAAUUGAGCUUCAAACUGAAAUUUAAAAUCAACAUUGACCCAAAAUACAACUUCAAAUCAAAUUUAAAAUUUAUAUUGGCCCAAGAAAUAAAAUUUGUUCCGCUUUAAACUCAGAAAUUCGAAACCAACCCAUCACCUAGAAAAGUACCAAACAGCAAAAGAAAAGGAGGAGAAAGGAAGACACCACAUUUUGCAACCCUUUGAGUUUUUGAAGUCUAAAUCUUUCCUCUUCUGCUUCUUCAAUGCUUAAAAUUUUCACUCACUGACUAUUGUCUGCCAUUCUUCUUUACUCGGCUUUAAAAAUAAUUUCCAUAGAAUAAAUAAGCAACAAUUUUCUAUGAAUAAAAAGAAGUGGUAAGAAUUCUCCCUCAGAAAAUUAAAAAAAAAAAAAAGAAUGCUCACAAUUUUGUCUAGCAAAUACUCCAGCUUUGUAUCUUCCUAACAUAGGAUUUAUUUUUUUCCUGUAAGAAAGAUUAUUCUCUUGUUGCCCGUUGGAAUAUAAGGGAAUGUAUAUUAUUUUCACAUUUGAAAAUAACUCAAGUUUCUUACAAUAAAAAGUAAAAUUGUUUGCAGUGUGUCUUUGAGUACUAACAAUGCGAACCCCAAGUGACAAUGCAAUUUCCCGUUCUAAAGCGAAGGAAAAAGAAACGAAAAAUUGAAGAAACCAGCCUUUUUGUUCAGUGUGAUGGCUGACAAUUUAUCUAAUGGGAAUAUGAAUAAUUGUGUUACUCGAUACAAAGUGCAAAUAAAAAUUGAAGAAAGCACUUGAAGAUGAAAUGAAGUGUGGGUAAAAAAAAAACAAAUGAAAAUUGAAAUUGAGAUAUAUGAACAAUGAAAAUUGAAAUUGAGAUAUAUGAACAUUCAUUCUUAGAGAUGGAAGGGGAGAGAACAAAAGAUACUAAUCAGCAUAUUGCCAACAUAUAUCUCAGAAACCACCAGAUUAGUUGUAAGGUAGAUUGUUAAAGCUGUUUGAGAAACUUUCGUCUACAAUAUUAUGAAGGAAUGCAAACUAAGUAAUUGGUAGCUGAACGAAAUUUUGGCAAGGAUUUACAAAGUAACUCUAUGAAAUUCAUCAAUAAAUCAUCUAUACAGACGCACAUGUUCCCAGUCACAAUGAUUAAAAUCUAAAACAUUUAUUCAUGCAUUCGUGCAAGGGAAAGAAUGGACUCAGCCUGGUUUCUAUCAAGUGUCAACAAAAGAACACAAUUCAAGUUGCACAAAGCCAAAUUAAAUGCAUAAGUGACAUAAAAAUUGAACAUACCGCAUGAUAGUCCUCAAUCUUCAUCAACCGUGAAUCAUGAAUUAUGGAUAUUAUUCAGACCACGAAUGUGUAAACCCUCCAAUUACGGUUGGUAAUCGGGUUCAAAAUAAUGUUUGUAGAAGUGUGCUGAUUCCUUGAAUAAAAAGCAGAGUCUGCACUAUUCUCACUUUGUCACCCUAAUCAAUUAGGUCAAAUAAGGAGCACAUUCAUCAUCCAUAUCAGUCCAUAUAAAAUACGCAAACAUUAAAAAAAAAAUUCAAUCUUGACCAUUUUUGCUAUGCGAAACUGACGCUUAAUUCUUUUUUAAGAAAUUAGCAUAAUAGUACACAAAAUUUACUUGAAUUUAGUCUCCAAUUGAACAAAGGCCACAACGAUAUAAGAAUUGAAUGAAAGUGGUAUACAAAAUCAACUCACAUCAUCACCACCCAUCAAAGGAACACGGAAUGUGGGGAUCAUCACAGCAGUUCCCAAGGCCAAAAUGUAGUGCUGGAAACCCAAAGCAAUUGUUUCCCCUGUUUUCAAAACAAAAAAUGAGAACCAAAUUGGGGAAAUUUUAAAACCCAACAAAAAAGUCGAGAUUUGGGUUUGAGAAAAGAUGAAUAAUAAAUGAGAAAAGGUGAAAAAUAAACAUACCCUAAGAGGGAUUUGAGUCAAUGCCUUACCCUAAGCCUUGGAGUUGGUCCAUUGCUGGAUGGCUUAUCUCUUCUGGUUUUGGAGCUGCCAUGGCUUCUGCCCAAUUCAAAACCCUUAAUCUGCCUCUAAAUCCAAAAGGGUUUUUACCAAAUGAAUCAAAGAACACUGAUUUGAGAGAGAAAUUCUCCCUGGGUUUUGUUCAAUGAAUACAAAAAUGGAAGUUAUUUUUACCAAUUUAGAGAGAGAUUAGAGUCUAUGACAAUGAAAAGCACAAAAGAGAAAAAGCUAAUGGAUCAUGGAGGUAAAAGAGGACUGAUGACCACACAACCCUCUCUCUUUCUGUCCCUCGAAUUGCACUCUCCCUGUCACCGCGGCCCAUUCCCUCAGAACCCUACCCCCAAAGUCCUGCUCAACCCUCUAGUACGAAUUGGACCUUUGCUCCACCCGAAAAAUAUUUAAAAUGUUCUUAAAUGACUACUUUCAACUAAAAGAGUAGAACCAAAUCAAAACCAACAACUUUCAACUAAAUUGCACAAAAGAGUCAAAAUUUAAUUGCUAUACAGAACUAUCGGUUCAAUCGAAAACAAUCAGAAUUCGAGACCCUACCUCCUCCAUUCUCUGAGAGCGAAGCCCUCCUCAGGCAGCAUCUCCGACGGCGCUGGCAAAAUGGGAUCGUCGGACCCGCCAAACCCUCCAUCAAAACCCUGACCGUUCGAUUCGGGCCUCAAGUAUCCCUACUGGUCGAAGCAGUAGCAGAAGAAGAAGAUGAGGAGGAAGACGAUGGACGUUCAUAAUCGAAGAGUUCGAAGGGAUUUACCUUUGGAUUCUUCGGCUUUCAGAUGGAGUUUGCUUGUGUGUGGGCCUGCAACUUCGUUUGCAGGCGUGAUGUUUCCAUGGAAUUUCUCUCGGGUUUACAUAGACAACAAAGCGAGAGAGAAAGCUUUUGCAGAAGGGGAAUUGUGUUUUGUCGAGGUUUUGAGUUGUAGGUAGAGCUAACGAAGGGAGAUGAGAGAGAGAAGUGGAGCGGCUAGGGUUUGAGUAUGGAAGAGAUGAAAAAUGGAGAGAGCACCUGUUUUGGCUGAAGCACGGCUCACCGAACGAAGAAUAAAGAGGCGGUGGCAAUUUUGUAAAUAACUCUCAAUUCACUGUUCAUUUCUACAGUGCCAUUUCCCAUGCUUUCUUUAGACUAAAGUAAUUGUCAAUUUGCCAUGCCAAAUAUUAGAAAAGUAGAGUGUGGACACGGGAAGAAAACCCAGCUUAGAUAUGGGACCCACAUGCACAUGCAAAUGCAAAUGCAGUUGUCAUCAAUCUCAAUAAUUUUCAACAAACCUUUAUGUUUUGAUUCAAACAGUUUCCCACUUUCGUGCUUUUUGCUUGGUGGGCAAGGAGCAGUUUUUUCUCUUUACUUUAUGAGUUUAACUGCCCAUUAUUAUUAUUAUUAUUAUUAUUUCGAAAAUUAAAAUUGGUUUCAGAAUUUUCUUUUCAAUUUUUGGUUUUCAAAUGAAUCUUAUAAUGUUUAUACGGUCAAAAUACAUUAACGUGUGCAUGAACAAGGAGGAGCACGUCUAAAUCGAGAAAAAAUCUAAAUUUUUGUAUGUGGUUCAAUAUUUUAAUGAAUAGAGUAUUAGGUUUUUACCUAUGCGUUCCGUGUUCAAAACUCUCCAAUUUUCUAAAUUAUUGUAAUAAUUUCGAACAUCCCUUAAUAAUAUGGUACAAAUUUAUAGCUACCGUAAUGUUCCAAUCAAACAAACAAUGACAUGUUUACAUUUUUCAAUACGUGACAUUAUAUAGUUAAAUUGAUCACGGUGCUACGCGGAAGAGGAUCCUCUCUGGAUCCAUUUUGUGGGGAUCCUAGGGAUCCCUACAUCAUAAUCGUUCAUCGUACAUUAUGUGAUCAGUUUUCGUCAAGUACUAUUUGUGUUUUAAUUUUAAAUAGAAAAAAGUCAAAUGAUUUUUAACCGCAUAAUACACGAUGAAUGAAAGAUAUGAAGAUCCGUAAGAUCCCUACAAUUUGGAUUUAGAUAGAAUUCAAAUCCGUGCUACAUGACAACAAAACCAUUAUAUAUAAAUUGCUCUCUAAAAUUAACUCGACAUCGUCCUUUUUUAAGUCAGGUAUAGCACACAAUUAGCCCCUGGAUUUGAAAAUACAACUGGAUCACCGCCAUUUAUACGAUUUAAUGGAACGCUAGUCCGAGUUGGACGGGGCCCAUUUCCUUCCUAAUAAAACAGCCAAGUUGAUGUUGGACUGUUGGAUUGGUGAUAGUGAUGAGCUUUCAGCGCGCUGUUUAACUUUAACGCUGCAUGAUCCAUCACACGACGGACAAUAUAUGUGCCAGAUACAACGUUGCACCUUUUAACCUUUCUACCCAGUAUCCACCUAAUUAUCUCAGCCUCCAUUUAAUGUCAAUUUAAUAUCUACAAUCUUUUGCUAAUAGUUGGGGGGUUUUCUUAACUAAGUUAUCUGCGACUCUAUAAUGUGUACAAAACUGUGCAGGAUUAACCACAAUCGUACAAUGAUGACUGAACUCUGAGAAAUAUUCCCAAAUGGACCACACUUAGGUGAUUCUGGACAAAUCUAUGUGUGAUUGUCACACUGUCAAAUAAUUUUAAUCAGAUUUAAAAAAGAUUUCGUGUUGUUGAACCAAAGUUGUAAGAGACUAGAGGAAGUCAGUCCUCGCUAAGGGAAGGAAAGGUUGAUAUUGGUGUCACGCUCGACCUUGUCGAGGGGGAUGAAGGUGCGGUCGAUUCAAUACUCGAAUUAACCAAAGAGUGAUAUUGUCUACACACCUUCUUUUAAGUAUCACACACUCUUUGUUAAUUUAUGUCAUAUGAUCAUCUUUAAUUCAUUCGAUUCGAUGACAAAAAAUUAAGAGUUGUGUGUGAAAGGUAAAAAGAGGUUAGCAACACUCUUAACUAGAGGUGGCAAAUCAACACGUUGGGUUGUUAAUGGGUACUCAUUAAGACUCAUUUAGUUUGAUUUCACCUUACACCAUUAUCACCAUUACAAACCCCACCUUUAUAUUAUGAUGAUAUCAAAUUAAACGAGUCUUAACGGGCACUCAUUAACAACUCAAUGUGUUGAUCUCCACCUUUACCCUUAACCAAAUAAUGACGAAAGUUUGACAUUUCAUAUCGUCUUCUCUCAUAAGCCUGAUAGUCAUAAAAUAGGAAUAAGGAUCAUCUCCGGAUCCUCUUUGGGAGGAUCCCGAUGAUCCGUGUAUCGUGUCUAUUUAUUGUACAUCAUGCAGUCAGAAAUCAUUUUAAAUUUUAUUAUUUAAAAUUGAACACAAACAGUAUUUGACAAAAACUAAUCACACGAGGUACGAUGAACGGACACGAUUCACGGAUUCCUGGAAUCCCCACAAAGAGGAUCCAGAUUCAUAAAAUAUGGUAUAGAGUUAGACCAAAAGCGACAUAAUUACACCACAUGGCAAUGUGACAUUCAAACCAAAAAAUACUCAUUACUCUCAAGUUUAAAGAACACUUAGCUACACUCAAUAUGUACCGUGAUAUGGAUAAUGUUAUUAACACCUAGUUUUACUUUCUACAUACCUGGUUAAGUUUUGGCUAUUGAUUUUUUUUUUUCAAUUCAUUCGAUGAGAUAACCAAAAAUUAAGAAGAGUGUGUAAAAACUAAAAAUAAGUAUGUGAAUAGCACUACCAUGUGACAAUCCUGAAAUUGAACCUUUUCACAUUGCAAUGCAUAAUCUUUUUUAUGCAGUUAGAUAACUUUAGGGUUUAGGUGUGAUUAAUUGAACUAUAACAUGAAGUGAUAAUAAAUUACUUUCCCACUUAACUCGUCAAUUAUAUAACUAAUUUAAUACUUUACUUAAUUACAAGUGAUGUCUACACUACUAGGUUCGGUCCACGUAUGAUUGACUUUAUACAAUGUCACAGUCAUAGUGGUAUUGAAGAAAUCUGAAUCUGGCGGGAUCUUCUUUAUCAGAUUCUCGGAGAUUCGUGAAUUAUAUUCGUUCAUCGUAUAUCGUGCGGUUAGAAAUUAUUUUAAAUAUUUUUAUUUAAAAUUAAAUACAAACAGUACUUGAUAAUUGAUCACAUAAUAUACGAUAAACGUACACGAUUUACAUAUCUCUAAAAUUCUCGCACCAUCUGGAGAGGACCCAGUUGGGUAUUCAAGGGCAGAAAAGUCGUCCUCCUCACUCACCUCCAUAAGAUAGGGGCAUUUCCGUCAUUCCAUGUGCCUUGAUCCGAAGUUCAACCCAAAAUUUAAGUGGGCCGUCGAUUACUCCUAAGCACGAUUCCCGUGAUUGACGGUGGAUAGAGUGCCGCGUGGUCACUCCCCCCCGGUAAAUCCAUCUCUUCUGCUACGAGACCUCACUCUCUAUUUCUCUCUCUCUCUCUCUCUCUCUCUGUCUUCCUCCUCCUCCGAGCUUCCAAAAAGCUCAUUUCUUCCUUCGAGCCACCGCCCGCCAGUUGAAGCAGUUGCAGAAGCAGCAGCAGCCGCAGAGAGAAGCUAAGCAUGGCGGCAUUCCUCAUUGUCCUCCUCACAUCUCUACUAGCUCUCACCACUCUCCCCGCCGCCGAAUCCCGACUCUACACCAACUACUACCAAAAAUCGUGCCCGAGAUUCGCCCAAAUCGUCCAAGACACCGUCACCAAUAAGCAGAUCAUGAAUCCCACCACCGCCGCCGCCACUCCCCGCCUCUUCUUCCACGACUGCCUCGCCAACGGCUGCGACGCCUCCAUCCUCCUCUCCUCCACCCCCUUCAACAAGGCGAAGGAGAAGCUCGGCGUGUUAGGGAUUCAGACCGGAAGGCGGGGAGAGAUUAGGCACAGGUGUCGAUAUCAACCUCUCAUAGAACAGAGAAGCAGGAACUACUCGCUGUGCACCAGAUCAUAAAUUGGUCCAUCCCUAGUAUGCGUUUUAACUCUUCCCUAUUAGGUUAAUAUUUAUACUUCCAUUAUUUAAGCGAAUGGUCUCUUGUUCCGGCUUACUUCCACAUUUCUCGGUUUUGCUCCCACAUUUCUUGGAUUCCUGGGAUCGUAGAGAUCGUAACCAUUAUUCAUACAUCCGUUUUCGUUAAUUACUAUUUAUAUUUAAUUUUAAAUUUUAAAUUUUAAAAUAAUUUUUAAUAUAUGAUGAACGGUUACGAUCGUGCGGGAUCGCUACGAUCCUUUUCCACAUCUCUUGGAUACUAGUUGAAAACACACUUAUUUACUCAAGUAAGGUGAAAAGGUUGUCAAGUAUCAUACUUGAUGGUAUAUACUUACAGCUGUCCGACGUGAGAAUUCCGUUAAUCUUUGUAAGUCCUUUCUCUUUUCUUUUUGGAAAAUAUUUAUCGGAUUGUUGGAGAAAUUUACUGAUAUACAUUGCCCAGUCUUUUUGAUAAUUUUACUGCUCAUCAGAACAAUCUUUUCUAGCAAACCCUACUGACAGUUUUUAUCGUUAUUAGGUCCGGAAUACAGGAAGCCGGAUGGAAAUUGGUAACAGCAUCAGCCACUUCGGAAUCAUGAGUGCUCAAGUUGUCUUUGUGCUUUUGCUCUUUGCUCUCACGAACAUAUAUACGAAAGAUAUCGACAUUGGUUCAGUUGACCGCUCCUCUCGGAAAGCAAUGUAGGUCGUGUUAAAUUGGGACUUUGGGCAUCAAAAUAAGUCACCAGUGUUCAGGAAAAGCGAGCAUUAACGCCGCUAAGGCGCACCUCUUGCGGUCUUCUGCAGUUUUUUGCCCUUUAUUCCUGCAACUGCUGAUUGCUCGUACAAAGUUCGAUUGAAAUUUAAUGAGAGUCAGAGCAAUGGGAUUUUCCAAGUGUUCCCCAAAGAUCGCACAACGUUCGAUUGAAAUUUUGGCACUCUCCGCACGUCUUGAUUAGUUGAUACGAUUUAACGAGUUAUCCCGUUUAGAUAUUCAUUGAUCAAUUUUGUAACUAAAUUUAACAGUACAAACUCCUUUUUUGGCUGUCUGAAAUAUUUGAUUGAUCAAUUAAAUGUUACUAUCUUCCAUCUGGAAACAAUAAAAGUCGGCCCUCUAUUGGGAGAAAUUUUUGGCCGCGAACGACCAUACCACAUGGCUGUCUAAAAGCAUUUUUAACCGGAGUCCCAUCAUUAUUUUUGAAGACUCAUUUACGAACUUAAAGGGAAUAUGCUUGUUCCUAAAAGAAAAUUAGUUCCAAUGAGAGUGUCUUAUAAUAUAAUCAUUAAAUUUAGGGACUACAAGUUAAAAAAUCAUUGUUAAUUUCAUAGCGGUUGAUCUAAAUGGUAAAAAAACAAAAUAAAACCCCAAAAAUACUUUCAUACCUCUUGUUUUCUGAGCAACAGACGAGAAAAGUAACGCCAUCUGCCCCAUUGGAAGCUGGUAUUCUAGAAUCCCAUCACGUGCUGGGAACUUCACCUGAAGAAAGUAGGGAUUCUAACAUAAAACUAAGAAUAAUGCUAUCUACAUACACAUCCCUACGCAAUCCUUAAUUGUAAGGUAAUUUUUGGGAUCUCCGGACAGUCCCCUAUAUUAUAGGGACUGGAGUUCCAAUCCACUGAAAGUCACCAAGUUCUUAACUUUAAAACAUACGGUGGUACGAACCAAGUAUAAGGACAAAUAUUGGAGAUGCUCUAAUUCAACGAACAAAACGCCCAUUCUUGCCGAUGGUCCCACCCUUCGCCCCUUGCUUGCGUGCGAGCGUCCGAACUCAAGGAUUGCCCCUUGUAUUUGUGCGCGCGUGCGAGCCCUCAGAUUCACUCGUUAUAUUCCUUUGUAAAUUUCUUUGCAUCCUUCCGUGAACGUUCAGUUGUUAAAAUCAGCAAUGUAUUAACCUCCUCCGAAUAUUCGUUGCAGGGAGCAAGAGGGAAUAAAUAAUGCAAGUGGGAAUAAUUAACCUGAAUUUCAGGAAGCCGAGGAAAAGCACCGAGGCAAAGGUCUAGGGCCCUCCCUUUUCCUCCGAGAAACUUUCAGGAACAAGUUGCGUUGACGACGACCUAGACUUUGCUGUGCAUCGUCGACUUGGUGGGAAGUUUCGUCGUGGGGCCUUUUGAUUGGUGAGACAAAGAAGUCCAUAGUAUUAAUAAUAACAAUAGGAUUGAUUCGUAUUCUAUAUAAAGAGAGACAUUGAUCACAUUCUGGUAUCCUCUUCUCUCCAUCUACUGUGUGUUUUAAGCAGAUCGGCAAAAGCUUGAAGAUGAACGACCAGUAAGUCAACUUCGACUUCAAACUCCUCCGAUCCUUGUUUUUCUUUGAAUCCUUUGCCAUGAUUUUUCUUGUGUUGUCUUGAUUAAGCGAAAAAUGGUCUGGAAUGGCUAAAAGUGUGUUUUUCAACUAUCAAAAGUUCUUGCGGUUAAAUCUGGCAAAAAAAACUUGCAAAACGCUUUUAGAUAGACGGUAUAAGCUCUUUUCGGAGAAGCAUGUGCUAUGUCCGCCUUCUACAAGCACUUCUAUAUUUUCAAGUGCUUUUUCGAAUGGCACUUGAGUAUUUAAUAAACAUUUCCAUAUGUUCAUGGUAAAAGAUAAGUGCUUAUGAGUAAAGUGAAUCUUACGAAAUACAAUAGCAUAAUAAUCGUCCUUAAAGUUUACCAAAGUGCAAUUUCAUUCUUACAAGUAUUUUGCUAAAGUGGCUUUGUUAGAAAUAGGUAGCAUUAUUCACGUACUUAUUUUUACUAACAAGAGAGGAUCCUUGCUGUGAGGAUCCUAGUCGGAUCCUCUUUGUGAGGAUAUGGAAAUCCUCCAAUCACAUUUGUUUAUCGUAUAUCGUGCGAUCGGUUUUUGUAAGAUAUUGUUUAUAUUCAAUUUUAAAUAAAAAUAAAUUAUAAUGAUUUCUGACCGCACGAUGUACGAUGAACAUAUAUGAUUGGAGGAUCCGCCCAGGAUCCUCUUGAGACCUACACCUCUUAAUUUUAGGGUCGGUAGAUCAAAUGAAGUGAGGAAGAUCAAUGAACAAUAAUUAACAAGGGUGUGUAAGAGGUGAAUAUGGAUUGGGGAAUAACACUUUGCUAGAAAUAUGAUGAAAUUUCUAUAGAAAACUAGCUUGUUUGAAACAUUUUUAAACCAAUUCUUAGUAAAAAUGCAAGUAAAGUUUAGAAAAGUACUUGCAGUGCUUCCUUGCAAAAAGCAAAUAGUUUUUUUAAGGAAACACUUCAAAUGUUUCUUUAUAAGUGCUUUUGAAAUCUAAAAAUAUUGUCACUAAAAAACGCUUUUAAUUAUUUUAAAAGUACUUUUAAACAUGUAAUUAAAAAUACUUUUGGUGAUUAGACUGACAUUUUCAGCUAUUUCAACAGAAGUUUCAAGCAUGUUUGCUAUUAUAGUUGGAUGCUAUUUGCUUACACCCUCCAUUUAACUUUGCUUCAAUUUUUUGUUGGUGAUCAUGACAGAAUUAGCACUGCUGGGCUUGAACUAGCAAAUGAGCUGGUGACUUCUCCUCCCCUUCACCAGUCAUGGGACGCGGUUCUUGAUCAGAUGCAAAAGCUCCCCCCAGCAGCUGAUCCGAACCAAAAAAUGGCCUUAGACAUUAGUGAAACCAAGCACUCAAACACCACCAUCAUAUCUUUUCUUACUUCACCAGUCACACUUCACGAUCAACAAACGAUGGUUUCGUCGUUGACUCUCAAGAACGCAGAUUUUUCUCUCUUUGAGUUUUUGUGCGGCAAAAACAUCCCAAGUUUCUCCGUCAAUGAAUUGGCAAUCAACUUCUUCAAAUUGAACCUCACAAACCUCGAUAUUUGGCGAAAAAAGGUGCAUAUUAUUGUCUCUCUGAUAACUGAUAAUGUUUAACCAUUUUGACGACUUUUAAUGUUAGUAAGAAACAGUUAAAAAUCAUAUUUAUAUUGCUAGAUUACUUUUCACUUAAUUAGUUUGGAUUCUUUGACAAACUGUUAAUGUUAACGAAAAACUCUUACAAAACCGAGUUUAAGUGUUUUUUCUUUUACUAUGAAAGAAGUUUGAGGAACUUAUUUGUAAAGACUUCUCCAAAUUGAUUAUAUAGAAAUUCAGUAAUUGACUAACUUUUAUGUAAUAUUUCAGCUGGUAGAAAUGUUAGAAAGCAGCAAAUCCUCACGGAUAGUUAUCACUGGACAUUCUUUUGGAGGUGCUGUGGCUACCCUUUUCACCUUAUGGCUGCUACAAAGCCUUGACUUGUUGAAAGCGAAACGCCUCCUUUGCAUCACUUUCGGUUCACCCUUGAUCGGUGACGAACAACUCCGACAAUGUGUGUUGGAAUUCUCAACAUGGAGUUUCUUGCUUCUUGAAUGUAGCCUCCAUCAAUGAUCCUGUACCUAAAGUCUUCCUAACUUCGCAAGGGAGUGGUUAUAAGCCUUUCGGAACAUUCCUACUGUGCUCCUCUUCGGGUGGUUCUUGCAUUGAGGACGCUGAUGCCAUUUUGCAACUAUUGGUGGAAACCAGCUCUCAGUGUGUUCAAAAUCCAGUUCCGAAUUCAGGGACUCAGUUGUUUGAUUACGGAAAGAUUUUGAAUGAUCUCAAGACUAAGGCAUUGUCUAGAGAUGUCUUUGAGUUGGUUGAAGAGGAUAGAGUUCCACUUAAAGCUGGAAUUAAAACACAGUUGGCAGCAAUAUUAGGAGUUCUCAGCUCACAGGUAUCAAACUUUCAACACAAAUAUCUGAUUUGAUGAUGAUUUAGGGAAAUGGUUUCCACACAAACCUGUUUAUUUCCAUCUUUUGAUUCUCCUUUGAUUUAUUUAAUCCAAAGACUAGAAAUAAACACAGGUGUGCAAGGGGAGAAUAUGAGUCUGCGGAAAUCACAUCCCAUGUUUACUUCUAGCUACUAACUUUUCUCUCAACUCCUUUUGUAAAAGUCAUUGCAGCAGCAACAAACCAACAUAGAAUUCGAAAGUCUGAUAAAAAAGAUGGUCACUCACGAACGUAAACUAGCGAUCCAGAAGACGAAGGUUUACAGUUCUUUUUUGAAAUUGAAUGAGAUUAAAAAGUACAUGGCCAACAUUGAAUGGUACAAGAAGGAGUCCAAAGACAUGGGAAUUGGAUACUAUGACAAGUACAGAAACAAGCGUUACACGAGUGACAUUACUGCCGAAGAGUACAAGAAGAAGCUCUUUAAUUAUUGGCAUGACAUGGUUAUGGAAGCUGCGAACAAGCCCCAGACAGAAGGAACCGCAAUGCGUGUCCGUUUUCUUUUUGCUGGAACGAAUUACAGAAGGAUGAUCGAACCGCUUCACAUUGCUGAGUACUACAAGGAAGGUGGAAAAAAUUACGUAGGGGAAAGGCCUCCACAUUUCGUUCUUUUGGAGCAAUGGUUCAAGGAAGACGAGAAAAAGAAGAAGGAAAAGAGAGAGAGGGAAGAAAGGGAGAACCCGCAACUGCGCAGCGCAAGCAAGUCCAACUCAAAAGCAAAGAGUGUGGUUUCUAGUCUGAAUGAUGAUUCUUGUUUUUGGGUGCACGUCGAGGAAGCGCUUAUCUUGUGCGACGAACUAGCAAGUAAUCCAGAUGCCAAGCAAAAGCUGAUCGAAUUUGAGCAUUACGUGCUGGAUACACUCGAGAAUUUCGCAGUGACACCUGAUAUUUUCUUGGCGCAGAGCAGCUUCAUGCAAUGGUGGAACAAGUAUAAAGGGAUUGUGGGAAGUAGCUACUCCUCAAAACUCACGGACGUCAUGAGGCGUCGCACUUAUCUCAAGUAUGCGGAUGGGGUCUCGGUUCUUGCUGGUCUAUAAGCCAAGAUAAUUGAGUUUUAAGCAAGCAAUUAAAUCAGAUAAAGCAAGAUUAGUUUUGCUGUAUCGCUCAUGAUCUUCAUGGAGAAAGACGGGCUGUACUUGCCGGACUUCUUGGUGCUACUGCAUUUGAAUGUUUUUGCUACUACAUGGAGAAAGACCAGCUUUCUUGUGAGACAAAUAAUGUGUGGGGGUAUUGUUUCAACUAUAACGUUGUAAUUUCCGCUUCAUAAAAGUAACGACGCUCGUUGUAUUUUGAUUUUCCCAAGUGUGAGUGCUACCUAAUCAGUAUUUGUAAUAAAUUGAGACUUACAUUUGUUGUAGUUUGCGUUGUAUUAAUCUUCAUAUGAACUUAUAAAGUACACAAGCUUAAUCUAGUAAAUACAUAUUUUAGCCAAGUGACUAAGCGUGGAACUGGAAUUCAAAGCUAAUGUAGAAAUACUUACGUAUCCCAUAGUGUUAUACCUUCUGAAUUCUGAUGCUUUUUUCACAUAGCACGCAACGUGUGAUUAAGAAACAAAAUGGUAUACACCUCGAGAUAGGUAAGUCCAUCUCUUAGUAAAUUAGUUUGAUGUAAUGUAGUCAUGUGACGCGUAAGAAACGAAGAAAUGAGCGUACAGCUUGGGACACAUUACAUAUAUAUUUUACAACUACAUGUAUGUAUGCUCUGGAUGAGGCAGACCCUAAGGGAGGGAUCUCCAUUUUUUUCAAAAAAUAUGAAUUAGUUUUGGAACCUACUCCAUAUCGAACUUUAACGAUCUUAAUCGUCUAUUUUGUAAAUCUCAAUUCAUAGAUCAUUCUUGCAAAAAUUCAAUUAGUCCGAAACCAUUUGCCUAUUUAAUUAUUAGAUUAAAAUUCCGAUGUUUUCUUAGAACAAAGCGCUCGUCAGUUUCUUUGAACUCAAUUAGAUACAUCAAAUAUUUCUAAUUUGACUAAUAUUUAAUUACAAGGAUAAAAUGCAACUUAAAAAAUACACGAUUCGAAUUAUUAAAGUUUAAUAUGGUGCCCUUCCCUUAAAAGCCUUCCUGGAUGAGAUAGUGAUUUAGAUAGACACUGUCAAUUUGCCAUGCCAAAUAUUAGGAAAGUAGAGUGUAGACAUGGAGAAAUUUUUAGUUGGGAUGAGAAUACAAAUGGUACACCACUUGUUUUAAGUAGAAAUUUUAUUUUUUAAGUUAUUAACAUUUUAGCACACAUAUCCCACUAUUUGUAUAGUAACACGUAAUGUACCAUCGCGUAUACCGAUCAUAUUGAAAAAUCUCUGAUAAACAUAGGAAGAAAACCCAGCGUAGAUAUGGGACCCACAUGCACAUGCAAAUGCAAAUGCAGUUCUCAUCAAUCUCAAUAAUUUUCAACAAACCUUUAUGUUUUGAUUCAAACAUUUUCCCACUCUCGUUUCUUCCGGUCCUACUGUAAUUGUCCUUUCUUUUUAAUCUUUAUAAGUUUAACUGCCCAUUAAAAAUAAAUUAAAAUUGGUUUCAGAUUUUUUUUUCUUUCAAUUUUUGGUUUUCAAACGAAUCUUAUGAUCUUUAUAUGGUCAAAAUACAUUAACGUGUGCAUGAACAAGGAGGAGCACGUCUAAAUCGAGAAAAAGUUUAAAUUUUUGUAUGUGAUUUAAUGUCCUAGUGAAUGAAGUGUUAGGUUUCUACUUAUAUGUGUUCCGUGUUCGAAACUUUCUCAUUUUCUAAAUUAUUGUAAUAGUUUUGAACAAUAUGGUACGAAUUUAUAGCUACUGUAAUGUUCCAAUCAAACAAACAAUAACACGUGUACAUUUUUCAAUACGUGACAUUGUAUAGUUAAAUUGAUCAAGGUGCUACGUGGAAGAGGAUCCUCUCCGAAUCCAUUUUGCGGGGAUCCUAGGGAUCUCCACAUCAUAGCCGUUCAUUGUACAUCGUACGGUCAAUUUUCAUAAGUUACUAUUUGUGUUUAAUUUUAAAUAAAAAAAGUCAAAUGAUUUAUGACCACAUAAUACACGAUGAAUAACUAAUAUAUGAAGAUCCGUAAGAUCCCUACAAUUUGGAUUCAUAUAGAAUUCAAAUAUGUGCUACAUGACAACAAAACCGUUAUAUAUAAAUUGCUCUCUAAAAUUAACUCGAGAUCGUCCUUUUUUAAGUCGGGUACAACACACAAUUAGCUCAUGGAUUCGAAAAUACAACUAGAUCAUCGCCAUUUAUACGAUUCAAUGGAACGCUAGUCCAAAUUGGAGCGGGGCCCAUUUCUUUUCCGAUAAAAUAGCCACGUUGGUUUUGGACCGUUGGAUUGGAGACAAUGAUGAGCUUUCAGCGCACUGUUUAGUUUUAACUCUGCAUGAUCCAUCAUGCGAUGGACAAUAUACGCUCCAGAUACAACGUUGCACCUUUUAACCUUUCUCCCUAGUAUCCACCUAAUUAUCUCAGCCUUCAUUUAAUGACAAUUUAAUAUCUACAAUCCCUUGCUAAUAGUUGGGGGGUUUUUCUUAACUAAGUUGUGUGUACUGUGUACAAAAAUGUGCAGGAUAACCACAACUGUACGUUGAUGACCGAACUCUGAGAAAUAUUCCCAUAGUGGACCACAGUUUAGGUGAUUUUGGAAGAAUUUGCAUGUGAUUGUCACAUUGCCAGUAAUGGUAAUCGGAUUUAAAGAAAGAUUUAGUGUUAUCGAAUCAGAGAUGCAUGAGACCGGAGGAAGGAAGUCCUCACUAAGGGAGGGAGAGGUUGAUAUUGGCGUCUUGCUCGACCUUGUUGAGGGGGAUGGAGGUGCGGUCGGUUUAAUACUCAGAUUAACCAAACAGUGAUGUUGUCCAUACAUCUUUUUUUAAGUCUCACACAUCCGUUGUUAAUUUAUAUCCUUUGAUCAUCUUCAAAUCUUUCGAUUCGAUAAUUAAAAUUAAUAGAUGUGUGUGAAAGGUAAAAUAGGGUUAGCAACACCCUUAACUGGAGGUGACAAAUCAACCAAUUGGGUUGUUAAUGGGUACCCAUUAAGACUCAUAUAGUUUGAUUUUACCUUACAUUAUUAUUACCACUACCAAUCUCACCUCUAUAAUUUGGUGAUAUCAAAUUAAAUGGGUCUUAAAUGGUACUCAUUAACAACCUAAUAAGUUGAUUUGUCACCUCUACUCAUAACCAAAUAGUGUUUAUUUAUAAGUGUAUCAUAAUAAUAAAUGAAAUAUUGACAUCUCAUAUCGCCUCCUCUCAUAAGCUCGAUAGUCAUAAAAUAGAGUAUAGACAUGUGUUAGACCAAAAGUGACGUAAUUAUAUUGCGUGACAAUGUGACAUUCAAACUUAAAAAAUACUUGUUACUCUCAAGUUUAAGGAACAGUUAGCUACACUCAAAAUGCAUCUUGACACAAAUAGUAAUAUUCACACUUAUUUUUACCUCUCACACAUCCUGAUUAAGUUUUGGCUAUUGAUUUUUUUCAAUUCAUUUGAUCCGACAACUGAAAAUUGAUAAAGGUGUGUGAAAAGUAAAAAUAAGUGUGUAUAUAACAUAAUCAUGUGAUAAUACUUGAAAUUUAAUUUGUUCACAUUGCAAUGCAUAAUAGGCUUUUUAUACGAUUAGAUAACUUCAAGGUUUAGGCGUGAUUAAUUGAAUCAUAACAUAAUGUGAUAAUGAAUUACUCAUCCACUUAACUCGUCAAUUAUACAACUAAUUUAAUACUUUACUUAACAAUUAUACAACUAAUUUAAUACUUUACUUAAUUACAAGUCACGCCUACAUUGCUAGGCACGGUCAACGUAUAAUUGACUUUAAACAAUGUCACAGCCAUCAUACUAUUGAAGGGCAGAACAGUCGGCCUCACUCAGUCCAUAAAAUAGGGGCAUUUCCGUCAUUCCAAAUGCCUUGAUCCGAAGUUCAACCCAAAAUUUAAGUGCGCCGUCCAUUAUUCCUAAGCACGAUUCCCGUAAUUGACGGUGGAUAGAGUGCCGCGUGGUCACUCCCUUCCCCACUCUAUCUCCCCCCGGUAAAUCCAUCUCAUCUACUGCGAGGCCUCUCUCUCUAUUUCUCUCUCUCCCUCUGUCUUCCUCCUCCACUGAGCUUCCAAAAAGCUCAUUUCUUCCUUCGAGCUACCGCCCGCCAGCUGAAGCAGUUGCAGAAGCAGCAGCAGCAGCCGCAGAGAGAAGCUAAGCAUGGCGGCAUUCCUCAUUGUCCUCCUCACAUCUCUACUAGCUCUCACCACUCUCCCUGCCGCCGAAUCCCGACUCUACACCAACUACUACCAAAAAUCGUGCCCGAGAUUCGCCCAAAUCGUCCAAGACACCGUCACCAAUAAGCAGAUCAUGAAUCCCACCACCGCCGCCGCCACUCUCCGCCUCUUCUUCCACGACUGCCUCGCCAACGGCUGCGACGCCUCCAUCCUCCUCUCCUCCACCCCCUUCAACAAGGCCGAGCGCGACGCCGACAUCAACCUCUCCCUCCCCGGCGACGCCUUCGACGUCGUCGUCCGCGCCAAGACCGCCCUCGAGCUCGCCUGCCCCAACACCGUCUCCUGCGCCGACAUCCUCGCCGUCGCCACCCGCAAUCUCGUCACCAUGAUGGGGGGGCCCUUCUACAACGUCCCCCUCGGCCGCCGCGACGGCCGCUUCUCCAAAGCCUCCGCCGUCGAAGGCAACCUCCCCCGCCCCGCCAUGUCCGUCUCCCAGCUCAUCCAGGUUUUCGGGUCCAGGGGCUUCUCCGUCCAGGAAAUGGUCGCCCUCAGCGGGGCCCACACCAUCGGGUUCUCCCACUGCAGCGAGUUCAGCUCGGCGAUCUACAACUACAGCAAGUCGGCGCAGUCCGACCCGAGUUACAACCCGAGAUUCGCGUCCGGGUUGCAGCAGGCAUGCGCGGAUUUCAAGAAAAACCCAACUCUCUCCGUAUUUAACGACGUUAUGACGCCGAACAAAUUCGACAAUGUCUACUUCCAGAACUUGCCAAAGGGGUUGGGGGUUUUGAAAUCGGACCACGCGCUGUUUGACGACGCAAGGACGCGGCCGUUUGUGGAGCUGUACGCCAACGACCAGAACCGCUUCUUUGGGGAUUUUGCCAAGGCGAUGGAGAAGCUCGGCGUGUUAGGGAUUCAAACCGGAAGGCGGGGAGAGAUUAGGCACAGAUGCGACAAGUCUAAUUAUUAAUUAAUUAAUUAAUUAAUUAAUUUACGAUUCACAUUUAAAUAAUUUGAAAAGGAAAAAAAAAUACUUUGUUUUAAUUUCUUUGUUUUUUUUUGGGUGCUUUUUUAAGUGCAUUUUGUGGUGAGAUCCAAUAUUUGUGAGAAGAAAUAUAAUCUGUAUACAUGUUUAUUUAUUUAUUUUUGUUAAGGGGAUAUUUCAUAUUUGUUGAGCUUAAAUAUACAUUUUUUUUUGUGAAUUCUGUAAACAAAAACUUGCGUCCAAUUUUCUUCAGUAGUGUUGGUUUUAUGGUAGAUCCUCGCAUUGUACACUAGUGCCCAUGUUUGAAUGACUUGGUUUUGGAAAUUGUGUGGUUUAAUUAAGGUAAUGGGGAAAUGCUGUAACUUGAUUACCUAUAGAUUUGUUUUAUUCAAUUGAUAUAUGUUCAUAUAAUGUAAAUUACCAGAGUGACUUUCAAACUUAUGUGUGAAGAAGAGAAAAGCUUCAGCACGGACAUUUCAACUAAGUUAUUCAUUAGCACCUUUUAUAUAAGCAUGAUAUCGCUUUUUAUUUUCGUCACACCCGACCCUAUAUUGCUUAGAACCCGUGUCAAUCAGCUCUAGGAAAUCGUAGAUACAGAGAAAUAACACAAUGUUCUAGCUAAUUUAGCUACAUCAAGUCUGUAAUUACUUGGGGAUUUGGUUUAGGGGAGAGUGUUUGUGGAAACACGAUGGCAGCAAAUGGCAUAGGUGAAUACAAUUAACUAAUUAACUAACACUACAGCUCUCAUUAAAAAUAAGGAAAACUAAUGAAAAUGGUUUAAAACUUUGAGUUUUAACGAUAAAGACAUAAUAAAGAAUAAAAUAAAUAAUACCAUGAUUAAUUUUUUAGUGAAAAAAUGUGAUUUUUCGUUAAAAUAAACAGUACUUAAGAGUUUUUUGUUAAAUUUUUUUAAAAAAUAUUAUAAUUUAAAGAUGAACAAAUUAAUUGAAUUUUGUCUAUUCUUUACGUCUUAUUCGAGAAUUUAUUUAUUUAGUUUAGAUGUUCUCUAAAACAAGAAGAAAUUGAUUUAAAAUGGUCCGUAUGCAAAUUUGCAUGUGCAUUGAGUAAUUUAUGUGCCAAAACUCGGAUUUUAAAUUUGGGAAAACAGCUUCUCAUGUCGAGGAGGGGGGCCGAGGAGAAGGAUCUGACUGUCGGUCAUGUGGGGUCUGAUUAUUAUAUGAAUAAUAUAAUGAUUGUUCUUCCGAGAAGCCUUGUUCUCAAUCAUGCGGAAGAGGGUACUCUCCAGAUUUUUUUUCCGGAAAUUCUAGAAAUCUUCAUAUUUUAAUCGUUAAUCGUAUAUCGUGCGAUCAGUUUUUAUUAGUUACUAUUUAUGUUUAAUUUUAAAUAAUAAAAUUCAAAUGAUUUUUUAUCGCACUAUUUAUGAUGAAUGAUUAAAAUAUGAGGAUCCCUAAAAUCCCUUCAAUUUGAAUCCGGAUGAAAUUCAAAUCUCAUUUAUUGAUAUCUUGGGCACAAAUAACAUUUAAAAAUGUUCGGAAUUAAUCUCAUAUUGAUAAAAGAAUGAACAUUUGAUGACUUAUAAGUAAGUUAAGCUAUUUUUCAUAUUACCAAUUGAUUUUAAAGUAGAAUCUUGACUUUUUUAUGAUAUCAGAGCAGGUUGACACACGUGUGAAGUCUAACGGCCACACAUGUUCUACAUCACUUACUUUUGAUUGUCCACAUGUUUGGCUUAAAAAUUUGUCGCACUUGAAAGGGUUUGCGACAAUGUGAGGAUAAAAAAUCCCACAUCAGGGAGGGACCAAACUAUACAAAGACUUAGAAAGGUAAAUUGUUAUUUAAUCCCCCUAAACUAUCACGUGAGUGUCAAUUCCCCUUGAAAUAUUUUUUCAGCCUAUUGACCCCCUAAACUAUGUUAAAGUGGUCAAUUCACCGCCUGACGUUAAAUAUCUUUAACUCCAUCUAAUUUUUUGUUAGAAAGUGUCAUGUGCUUGGCACAUGACCACCUUUUUACAUUUUCUAUCUAAAUCUUUACAAAGAAAACAUAUAAAACAAAUAUUAAAAAUAAAAAAAAAACAUACAAACCCUAAACUUAAUCAUUCAAAAUAAUAGAAAAAGUAAAGUAGAAAACCCAACCCCCAAAUCCCAUUCCCUGCUAGCAACCUUUCCCUUCGCAUUUUGCCCGACACCCCACCCAGCUUAAUUCUCUCUCUCUCUCUCUCUCUCUCUGAUAUACUUUCUUUCCCUGUUCGCUUUCAUGGAUCAUGACAGCGCCUGAAAUUUCAUGAUGGGCGUUUUUAUUGGGGGCGUGGGGGGGGGGGGGGGGACGGGGCGGGUGAUGCGGCAGGAGGUGGACGGAGGGCGAUGGAAGUGUAGGCGGACUGAGAUGAGAUUUGAUGAUGGGCAGUUAUCCUACCCUUUGAAAUGACAUAUUUGCCUUUAAUUUUGAAGGCAAUUUGGAUGGAACUCAAAAAACUUAACUGAUGGGGGCAAAUCGACCACUUAAACAUAGUUUAGGGGUCACUUGGCUGAAAAAAUAGUUCAAGCAGAAAAUUGACACUGAUAGUUUAGAGGGUUAAAUGACAGUUUACUUUAGAAAAAAUUGUCUACUUUUCAUAUUAUCAAUUAAUUUUAGGGAACUUUAACGAAAAGCACCCGGUACUGUUCACUUUAACGAAAAACCACAUUUUUACACUAAAAAGUCAAUCCUAAUACUAUUCACUUUACCCUUUAUUUUGUCCUUAUCAUUAAAACUCAAAGUUUUCAAGCCAUUUUCAUUAGUUUUCCUUUAAUUUUAUGAUGAAACCUUAAUUUUCUUCUUCGAUCGUUGUAUCACAGCUAGUUUGCUUCAAUCCAAUUGAAGUCAAUGACUAUUUUCAGCAUGGGCUCCAUCAAAUGGAAUAAAGGAUCCUAUUCAGGUUUUAUUUGUGAGGAUUCAAAUAAUCAAUUAAUUAUGUUCGUUUAUCAUACAUUUUGCGAUUAAAAAUUAUUUAAAUUAAAUAUAAAUAAUACCUGACAAAAGUUAACCGUACAAUAUACAAUUAAUGAAUUCGAUUAAUUAAUCCUUCAGAUUUCCACAAAGAAGAUCAAGAGAGGAUCCUUGUCCCCAUCAAAUAUCAUUUUAAAUGCAAUUGUUUUAGGGGUGUGCUAUCCACACAUCCCUUUUUAGUUUUCCUACACCUCUUGUUAAUUUUUGUCCUUUGAUCUUCUUCAAUUCAUCCGAUCUAACGGUCAAAAAUUAAAAAAAUAUGAAAGAAGUAAAAAGGGAUGUGUGAAUAUCAUAUUUUUUUUUUUUAACAGAAUAUCAUUGGAUGUUGAAACUCGAAAUCCAACGAAAGUUGACUACAGAUGCGGCAUCCAAAGCUAAGCUGAAGAUUGGGCCCACUACUACUAAGAAGAUGUGAGGCUUGGUUGGAUGGUAAAGAUGGCCCAGGGACUAUGGUGGUCCGGAUUGGCCAUCGGGCUUGUCUAAUAUUAACCUGGACUGGACUCUUUAGUCCGGCAACCCAUAACUUUACAAUUAUGCUUUGUUCGGGUUACGCUUGGUUGAACGUUCGUUCUCUCUUGUUCGUGAUUUAGUAAAAAGUAAUUCACUAUUUCACUAACAAGGUACUCUUUAAAGAUUAAUAAAAGAACAUAACUCUUGUCACGUCAUAUACUUUUAUAUGUAAGUUAUGUCAACCCACAUACUUAAAGUCGAAAAUGUCACAAGUUCAAGCCCUGCAUCACAAACCACAUAAUGUGAAGUCGCACACCUCUACAAUCAAAAUCCAAAAACAUAAAGUAAUUGUACACAAUAAAAAUGGUACUCAACAUCUCUCUUCUUAACGUCGAACGAUAUUUUAAAUAUAGAACCUCCUAACAACUUUCAAAUUUGUGAAGAAAAUGAGACUUCAUUAUGCUUUUGUUAUAAUUUUAAAACUAUUAAACUAUGCGAUUGAUAUUCUUCAAAGAACAAUACUUGGUUACUCAAAGAUGAGUAGGAGCUCAUACUCAAAAAAUUUCAAAAUUGUUUGCUAUCAAUUUAUAGAAUUUUGUGUUUAUGAUUAGAACCAUUCAUAUUAUAAAUUAUCCUAUAAAAAUCGCCUUUGUAAAAAAUCAAUUAAAACUAAGGUCGUUUAAUCAUCAAAUUUUUUAAAAAUAAAUGAACGGUAUUGGUAAAAGCAUUAUGAACCAUUUAUGCAUUUGCUACAAUAGAUUGACUAAACGACCUUAGUUUUAUUCUUUUUUUUUUUUGCGAUCUUUAUAGUGUGAUUCAUAGUAUAAACAGUUUUGAUCAUAAAUACAAAGCUUUAUGAUUAAAAUACUAAGAAUUUUGAGUAGAAGUUCCCACUCAUAUUUGAAUAGCCAAGUAUUGUUCUUGUUUAAAUUGAGAGCACAUGAACUAAAUUGAAAGCACUCCAAAAACUAUAAUGCCGAAAAACUUUUAUCCAAAAAACUGCCAAAUUAUGUACUCAAAAUUCAGAUGAGUUGGCACUCAACCCGCCUAACCCACCACCGGUUUGACACCGAGUUCGACUCCCAAACCCCGAGUCGAGCAAUUCCUCCCAAUCCACUUCUUCUUCUUCCUUCUCUUUCCCUCUCAUCAUCUCCAACAUUCUCCUCGCUUUCUCCCUCGCCCGUUCGCUUCCCUUUUUCUCCACCUCUCUCAACACCCCCACCACGCCCGCCGUCUUCGCCAACCCUUUGAACCUCAAACCGCCGUAACUCAGCCCAUACAAUGUGGCCACACAACUCUCUUGAGUCGCCUUCGAGUCAAACUCGUUUCCCCUUAACACACUCACCAAACACUCCACCCCACCCGAAUCCAACAAUGCGGCCCGCCCGUCCGCACACAAACUCAAAUUACACAAUAUGAGCAAUACCCGACCCGUCAUGUGGCCAGACUUUACCAUUCUCAACAGGACCGGAACCGACCCGAGCUUAACCAACUUGGACCGGUUGCUCUGAACUAGUGAGAGGUGGUACAAUGCGAGUGCCGAGUCAUGCCGAGUCCGCUCGCUCUCGGACCGGAGUAAGUGCAGCAAAGGCGGCAAAGCGCCCAAUGCGCCAAUCGCGGUCUUGCAGUCGUCAUCAAGUGCCAAGCUGAAGAACGCACCGGAAGCGUGUUCCUGCGCCUCACGGGAUCCUGCCUUGAGCACGUCGAUCAGAGGAGGGAGGACUCCUGACCGUACGAUCUUAAUCUUGUUUGACUUUUCCAGCGAUAGAUUGACCAACGCUGCGACGGAGUCCACCUGAACGGCUGUGUACCUGGAUAUAAUCAGAGGGCGGAGGCCGGAGAGCAACCGCGGGGUGCAGAGUCGGGCCCGGGCGUCCUCUCUGGUCCGCGUGAUCUUCCUCAGCGAAGCCAGGGCCUCCUCGAUUUCGAACACGUGGCAGCUUCUGAGCUUGAUCGAGAUUUCGUCUUCUUCUACAGAGCGGGACGGAUUACUGUUGCCGUUAACGGUUAGGAUUUCGUUUUCGGAGAAGGAAGACGACGGAGAUGAGUAGCAACUCGGCUGAGUUGAGAACGGGAGAGGCGGAGCCGCGGUGACCGAUUCAUCGGAGCUUGAGGGGAAGUGACUCGAGCGCCGCGUCAGGUCGGUGGCCGCGUGAAUGAAAUUCACAGUAGGGGUAUCCUUAACACCGUUGAUCAGCAACUGAUUCUCCGAAACUACGACGUUUUGGGGGUUGGUUUCGUUCCGGGAAGCAAUGGAGGCGCGGACGAGCUUCUCGGCGGAGGCGACAUCGAGGGGCUUGGGAGGAUCGACCGAGGACUUCCGGCACCAACUGAGAAUGGCAGAUUUGAGAGCGAGGUUGGAGAUUACGGAGGAGAAAUCGGGCGGCGGAGAGUCCGGGAGAGCGGAAGUGAAGCUGAGGGACUUGCAGGCCUGGAUGCAGGCGCGCUCGAAGGUGUGGCCGGAGGAGACGAUGACCGGGUCCGCCAUCAGAGAGCCGGAGAUUGGACAGAGGAACUCUUUGGGAGCUUGCGGCUUUGAAGUUUUCGACGGAAUUGCCGACGACGACCUCUGAAAAAGCUUCCAUUUCCGCCGGGGACUUGGGCUUGCACUGCUCAUCUCCGCCGCUCUUUCCGGCGUGGCGAAAGCCCAUUCGUUCUCUUUUGAUUUAUGGACCAUCAGCUUCAACAUAGCUUCCUGAAACUCCAUACCUGAAAAAAGUAAGCUACUUUCUUCAACUCUGUAUUAUGGGAGUGAAAGUUCCGAGCUUUAAGCUUAAGUAAGGAUUAUGCCUAAACCCCAUGAUCCUUAAUUCAAAUUUAAGCGAGUUUGAGAGGCCUAAUCCGAUGGGAUUAUGUUUUGGAUAAUUUGGAUUAGCAGAGAUAUGGGGCUUGCUUGAGGGUAGAGUUUGGUGGGGAUACGGCGGGAGAGGGAGAGGGAGAGAGAGGAUGGUUGGUGUUGUUUGUUUGUCUGAUGGAGGAGACUGGGAAAAGGAAUGGGAUUCCGAUUCCUCUGGUUUGGAGAAAAUAGCCCGAAUCACAAAACAAAUGCUGGAGCUAUAUCAGCAACACAAUCUCUGGUUUUUCUCCUGUGGCUUCGCUUGUGUUGUAAGUAACUCAUUUCCCUUGUAGAGUGUGCUUCCCUCGAGCUUCUCACGAGUGGUUAAUGAAUCGACACCCUCUCUGUAUUUCUGUUUUCGGAGUUUAAGUACUAGGGGAUUCGGGCCCUUAGAAAAAAAGAUUUAGACCUUAAUUUGUGUGAGGUGCGUCAAUAAAAUGAGUUAAUAGAGGUCGCAGACUUUAGAAUAAAUGGUUUGAAUCUCUUGGUUCUUGAGUUUCAAACACAAAGAUUAACGGUCAAACUUUUUGACUAAUUUCUUAAAAUUUUAUAAAUAAAGAAAAACUGUGGGGGAAGAAUAUAUAUAUCCUUGGAGCUUAUUCUUUGAUUAAGUACCAACCCUAGUCUGUCACAAGCCAACCCAAUAUUCCACCCAUCAAAUUUUAUUGCAAGGAAAGUCUAAAAGCUAAAACACCUUCCUUAGGCUAAAUUAUACUAGAAAGCAAAGGACAGUGUAAAACAAGUGAUUCUAAACAUGAUGGAUUCUAACACGUAAACGAGGGUAUAUCGUCUUAUCAUUAUCUAACUUAAUCGCUUUUACCUUGUGUUUUUUUUAUUAUGUGACGAAAGAGAUAUUGAUAGCAUGUACACCGGUAAGUACCAAGAACGCUCCUCCAAACAGAUGUUAAUCCGUGAAUCAACAUAAGCUAAGAGAAUGGUUGAUGUGGAAAUAUCUGGACCAUCCAUCUCAUUGCCCACUUCUGCAGACAAAUACAUGCUGUUACAGCCGUUUGAUCCCACCACUGAGAAAGUUUGAAGGAAAAAGGUACUCUCUCCUCCUUACUUUGCAUGGAGACGGAGAAGAAGAGCUCCACUUUCAUCAUUAUUUGUAUAUACUUAAUAGUUAAGUUUGUGUAGCCAUAAAAAUACGCAGUUUCUUUACCAGCGUUCUAGGCUGGAUAAUAUUAAUAUAUCUCUUUCUUCUUUACCAAAGCGUGGUUUAUACCCUUUUUCUACUCAAUACAAGGAUGAUGGACCACCCAUCCUUCACAUAAAUGAAGAUUUUUCAAAUGCGCCAGAACACGGGGCAGUAUACUGUACACCAUAUAUUAUUAUACAAGUGAGAAAUUUUUUUAUUUUUUUUAUUUUUUAAGUGUCCCUCUACUUGUAUAGUGUAUAUGACGUAUGUACUCAUUUUUUGUACACUAAAAAAUCUGUCUGAUAAAUUAGUUUUUUUUUCUUUAUCCCUUUCCCUUUGUUAGAUGAUAAAUUAGUGUUUUUUCCCCUUUCCCUUUCCCUUUGUUAGAUGAUUAGAUCUAAGCCAAGUGCUUAAUUAAUUUCAAAGAUUUGGGAUUAGUUUAUGUUAAUAAUUGUAAUUAGUUAAGAGAGGUAAUCUUUCCAUUUCUAUCGGUUGAACACAGCUUUCAUGUUUGCAUGGGGAGAUCAGAUUUAGACCCGUGAUUUGGUUGUUGCCCACCUUCUUAGUCUGAUUAAGAUUGGAAGUUGCAUGUUUUUAUUUAAAUACAUAUGUAUUAUUUUAUGAAUGUUGUUUUGCUUCCAAAAUGGUUUUCUUCUGAAACAUAUAAGAAAGAUUAAUUAUCUUCUUAAUUACUUGGCGUAUUUCGGAGAGUAAUGCCCUAUCUUUCGAGGUUAUUUUCAGACCAAAUGCUUUGGUUGCAUUUCUAAAUUACAUGCACUUUUCACGUAGGGAAUGCUAAUUUAUAUACAAUGACAAAACCUGAAACAAAAAAAGCUGAAGAAAAUGAAGAUUUUGAGCUGUGGUUUUCCCUGGCACCCAACAAGGAUGCAUGAUUGCAUGCUUUAAUCAGAACCCACCAUUUCACACAGGGAUAACUUUUUCAGUGUGUCGGGAAUAUGGUCUGAUACAUCAAGUAUUAUAAUACAAGUUGUUAAAUUUUACUUCAAGUACUCAACCACUUGUAUCAUCAGACUUAGUGUACUAACAAAUGUUCCUGGCACAAGGAAAAAUCUCUCCAGGGCAAGUUCUAUCCGUGGAGAAAUUUUUCGGGAUCACUGCUUGGUAUGUCAAGUGUCGUAAUUUAAGUGGUUGAAUUUUUUUUUCAAGUAUCCAACUAUUUGUAUUAUAACACUUGAUGUACCAAACCGUACGUGUUUCCGGCACGCUAAAAAAUCUCUCCUAAUCGGUUCUUUUGCUCUAAUAAUCUUUCCAUUAACAUCCCAUUAUAGAGCAGCAUAUCUUGGUGGCACUGCCAAUAUACACUAAUCUAAUAUCUUACAUUAUAUUAAGUACUGAUUUGGUAUUGAGGUGCUUUUAUAAAAGUGGGUAUAAAAAAAGUUGAGCUCAAAAAGGUGUUUGGUAAACACUUAAAAAUAACUUAUUUUCACAAUUUAGGAUGAAAAAAAAGCUGAAAAAGAGAAGCAACAAAAAUGAGCUUAUUCUCACAGCAUAUAAUCAGUUUUUUUCUUUCAAAACACAGUAAUACCAAACCAUUCUUAAGUUGGAUUUGGACAUGAAGAAUUUUGGUUCUUUCGUCCUCUUUUGAUGUUAAUAUGAUAUAUUAUAUGUGCCCAUCGAAUUAGAGAACGUUGAUGUGAUUUAAGCUUUAUGAAAGGAAAGGAAAGAGUGUUUUGUUCCAACUUUACAAUUUGGCACCAACCUUUUUGUUUGCUUAUAUAAUCUCUAGUGCUGCAUGGCUUUUGCUCUUUUGGUUCAUACAAUCAUAGCCAUAGGCUUAGGUAGGUCAGGUCACCACCUGCAUGGUAAAAAGCGCUUUGGUUUUUAGUUUUUGUCUAAUCCUUCACGUACAUGUUUUCAACUUUGAUGGAGAGGAACUUCUCUACCCCCGUCUCGUUCCUUUCCUGCCUUUCUUCUUACGUGACGAGAUCAAUUAUAGUAAGAUACCGAUAGAGAGGGGAAUGAAAAUUGACACAGGGAUAGAGAAGUAUUUUCCCUUAUUAAGGAUAUAUCCCUGCAAUGAGUUUUAAGCAAUAAAAAGAGUAUAGGUUAAGGGUAGUUCGGAUGUAAAUUUGUGGGGCGCAGGGAAUUGGAUUCUCAGAAGCAAUUUGUAAACAAAAAGGGAAAAAGCACGUUUGCUCCGCUUUGACAAGUGCUAUUUCAUAGUGGGCUAAAACGCCGAGGACUUGGCUGGGUUAAAGCGAUGUCAUGGAUUCUAGUUUGAUUUGGGCAUCAAAACAAAGAGAAUCACUUAUUGGUGGGCUGCGAAGUGGAUGGUAGCUCAGGUCCAGUAACUUUUUUGGGCCCAUACCCAUCUAGUAACUUUCUCACUCGAACUUUCUUCGCUUCCAUUCUCAUUAUGCAUCGUUACUUUGAUGUUUGGGGACUUGGAUCCUCUCUUGAGCCCAAGGAGAGGAUCCUCCUGACCAAAUGAUUUGGGCCGUAGGAUUUCAUCCAACGGGUAUAAAUAGGGGGUCUCUUUAAAGUUAUAAUAAUUAUAUCCGUUGAAUUUUCAUCCAACGAUCCAAGUUCUUUGGUUAGGAGGAUCCUCUCCUUGGGCUUAGGACAGGAUCCAAGUCCGAUGUUUGGAACCAUUUACUUAUGACAUCACCCUUUGAAGGCCAAGUCUGCAAAGAAUCAACGAAAUUAGAACUCGUUUAAUCGUUCGAUGAAUGCUGUUAAAUUUAAGUGUUUAAGUGCGAAACAUAGUUUGUGGUAAAGAGAUCCAUUCAUUGGUAACAAAAAGAAAAAACGUGAACGGUGAUUGGAUUGAUGAUAAAAUAGAAUCUGAGGUCUCGAACAGUGAUUCGAUUGAUGAUAAAGAAAGAGAAUUCUUAGUUCAAUUCUCCACCUUAACGACCUAAAAAAGGAUUGAUCAAAUUCUAUUGAGUCAUACUCAUAAACAAAACGAUAUUAUCAACACUAACGAGGCAGGGGAUUAUGUUAAGUUUUAUAAUGAGCUAGCUAUAAUAUGGUUCAAAUUCGUCUUUGGCGAAAAUCGACCUCUCACUUUACAAGUGAGGAGGGAAUACCACUAAACCAUAAUACUAAUUAGCUUGUCUAUUUAUUAGAUAACCGUUACAAGAUUUAAUUAAUUUUUUGCUCAUAUAAUUUUUAAAUAGUUUACUAGACAUCUUGAUCAUCGAACAACAUUUCACGAUGAGUUGGAGAGCUGAAGUGAAUUGAUCGAAAAAUACGUUGGGGGGAUGUAUGUCCUAAUCCUCUUUGUAAGGAUUCCGUUCAUCGUAAAUUGUACAGUCAAUUUUUGUCAAGUACUGUGUAUUUUCAAUUUAGAUAAAAAAAAUUUACAAUGAUUUCUGAUCGCACAAUAUAUAAUGAACAAAUGUAAUUUAAAAAUUUUCGAAAUCUUUACAAAAAUGAUCCGGGGGAGAAUCCUCACCCUUUUGCAAGGAUGGUCCAACUCCAACAGGUGGGUGGCGUGGGUCCUUUCGUUCCGUGUCAGCGUUUGCGAUGACGCGUACAAACUACAAAUUGUAGGAGCGAAGGAAGGAGCAUCGUGCGACACCGUGUGGAAUCCGAGUCAAACCUGGCUUUUGGCUUUAGCUUUUCCCGCAAGCCAACCCCUGAACCGACCCCUCUCCCUCUAUAAAUAAAAUUUAAAUUCCCCCCUUUUGCUUACGAAUUGUGUUUCUUUUCAAAAUUUAACAAACUGAAAAAUCAAAUUACGAUCAGGAUGAUGGGAGGAACAGAAGCUUUUCCGGAUUUGGGUCGACACUGCCAGCUCUCCGAUUGCCACCAACUCGAUUUCCUCCCCUUCCAAUGCGACGGUUGCCGUAAGGUUUUCUGCGUUGAGCAUCGGUCUUACAAGUCCCACGAGUGCCCCAAAUCGGACCACAACAGCAGAAAGGUGGUGGUUUGCGAAAUCUGCUCCGCCUCCGUAGAAACCACAGGCUGCGACGGCGAACAAGACCACAAAUUGCUGUUGCAGAAGCACGCCAAGUCCGGGAAUUGCGACCCCAAAAACAAGAAGAAGCCCACCUGUCCCGUUCGCCGGUGCAAGGAGACUCUCACCUUUUCUAAUACCAGCACCUGCAAAACCUGCCAGAUCAAGGUCUGCCUCAAGCACCGGUUCCCGGCCGACCAUGUUUGCAGGAAGCAAACGGCAGCUCAGCCGUCGUUGCUGGCGGGUAAUGGCGUCAGCUGGAACGACAGGUUCAUGGCUGCUUUUGCUUCGAGGAAAGGGAAAGAAUGCGGGAAGAGUGAGCGGGAUUCCAAGUCUUCUGCUUCGAGUGGGCCAUCUGUUCGAGCGUAUUGAGAGAUUGUUCAUAUGCUUCUGCUGGGUUUGUUUAUCAUUCCGCAGUUUCAUGUUUCUUCGAAACAGCGUCGUUUCGUUGUAAUUCUUUUAACUGGUCAAGAUUUUAAGACCCUUCAUCAUUAAUCUACAAAUUACGAUUCAUACUUUGAUCCAAUUGUAGUACAUUAAAGAACGUUGGAGUAAUCCUCUGUAACUGCAAAUCACAGUGUUACGAGUAUUUUAUGUACAUGCAAAUCACAGUGUUACGAGUAUUUUAUGUACAAAAGUACACCUACAAAACGAGAAACUGAUGUGCAAUGAACAAAUAACUAAAGAUUAAAUUUUGUAUAUAAAAUACAACCGCACAAGCCCUAUCGAAGUUAUUCAACCUAAUCAACCCCUCGCAACCGCUAGUAGAUGAGUUUUGAAUGAUUGAGGUUGCGCUUAAGUUUGACUUCUAAUCAAGAGAUUGUGCCAUUGAGUGAGAGUGGCUCAAAUCAAGGUUCUUUUUUUGCCUUAAAGAUAAGGACUUUACUUAUAUGGAGAACUGUAACAACUAAAUGACAAGGUUGCUGAAAGUACGAAUGACUGAGGAAAUUAAAUGACUAGAAAUGAAUUGUACAGAAAUGUAUUUAUUUAAAGUACAAAGCAUUUUAAGUACAAAGGGAUGCCAAAUACAAGGUUUGAGCUUGUUCGCGAGGGAUCGGGCAAGUUGCUCUCGUCUUGUAGCAAUUUCUGGUGGUUUGGGGAAUGACUUUGAGGGUUGUAAAUAAAACUACAAAUGAGAUUGAUACUACUAGUGAGCAGCAGAGCUAAUAAAGAAGGAAAGCAAAGGAUGCUUGGCUAAAGCUAAAUGUCUACAAGGAGAUUGAUGAGCUGAUUUGAGUAAGUUGAUUUGAUUAUUUGUUUGAGUGUCCUUGCCCCCGUUGUCUCUUCUUCCUUUUAUAAGCAAUGUAGCCCGACUGCUGUAACUUUUGCUCUUGCCCAAAAGACUUGGAGGGUAGUGAGUUGUCAACUUUCUUACUUGCAAUGCAAAUGAAAAAUGUUCUUUGGCUAAUAGUAGGUUAAUCUUCAUCACUUGUCACUUCACUUAUAGACACGUGCACGUGGCUUAUGUCUCUUGGCUGAGAAAGCCUUAAUUUGCUUAUGGGUUUAAUGCUGGGCUUCGGGUAAGUCCCCUUUUAAUUGGCAUCCUUGGACUUUCUUUUACUUAAGCCCAAUGUUCAAAUAUUAACCAAAAUAGUGCUCCCUUUAAUCAUUGUUGAGUCUGCCAAUCGAGGCGUUAAUAAUGAUUAAACCAUCGCCGCAUGCCUUCACUCGGGAUUUGCACCAUUUAAGAUGGUUGUUGUUUAACAAAACCUUUGCACUAACCCAUCAUGUCCAACGUUAACUAACCGUUUACUAUAUAAUGCUCACUUAAACCCUUCGGCCAACUACCUUAGCAUUCCCAAACCUUCGAAUUUCCAGAACUUCCCAGAUUCUUCAACUUUCCCAGUACUCUUUUGUUCUUAAUUCUUGCUCCUAGUCUUAACUUUCUUCCUAUUCUUCCUUCAACUCUACUCAGUGGCACCCAAAGUUGCUCGAACUCAAUCUUCUUGUGAGACUGGUGAGGGGAUUUCCACCAUGCUGUAACAUCUCACAUUGCCCAGGGGAGUGGAUCCUGUAAGCCUUAUAUAUAUAUAUAUAUAUAUAUAUAUAUAUAUAUAUAUAUAUAUAUAUAUAUAUAUAUAUAUAUUCUCAUCUUUACCUAGCACGAGGCCUUUUGGGAGCUCACUGGCUUCGGGUUCCAUAGGAACUCCAAAGUUAAGUGAGUUCGCACGAGAGCAAUCCCAUAAUGAGUGACCCACUAAGAAGUUCUCAUGUGAGUUUCUAGAAACAAAAUCAUGAAGGCGUGGUCGGGGCCCUAAGCGGACAAUAUCGUGCUAUGGUGGAGCCAAGCUCGGGAUGUGGUGGGGGCCCGGGUUGGGACGUGUCAAUUUGGUAUCAGAGCCAAUCCUUGGUCGGAAGUGUGCCGACGAGGACGUCGGGCCCCUAAGGGGGGAUGAUUGUAACAUCCCACAUCGCCUAGGGGAGUGGAUCCUAUAAGCCUUAUAUGUAUAUUCUCAUCUCUACCUAGCACGAGGCCUUUUGGGAGCUCACUGGCUUCGGGUUCCAUUGGAACUUCGAAGUUAAGCGAGUUUGCGCGAGAACAAUCCCAUGAUGGGUGACCAAUUGAGAAGUUCGCGCGAGAGUAAUGUAGAGGAAGCUACAUGGGAGUUAGAGAAAGAAAUGCGUACGAAAUAUCCAGAACUUUUCAUUGUUUCGGGUAAGUUUAAAUUUCGAGGACGAAAUUUCUUUUAAGGAGGGUAGAUUGUAAUAUCCUUCGUUUAAUUAAGAGUGAAGUGUGAUUAUAAUUGUUUUUAUACAAAAUUUUAGUCUACUUAGUUUUUAUUUGUGUAAUAGCUUUUAAUACUAUACUUUUUAUUUAUGAGAUUUUUUAUUAUUGUUAUUAUUAUAAUUGUUUUAGGGUACAAAUAAGGAUUUAUUUUUGGGUAUAUCAAUGAAAUAGUAUUUAAAAGUAAAUAAAUAAAUAUAUUUUACAAAAGAAAGGAAAAGAACGUUCUUUCACGUUCUUCCUUUCUGUGCAAUGGAAACAAAGAAGCUGGGAGGAGGUGGCUCUUCCACAGCUUUAGGAAAGAAAAAAAAAUUAAUAAAAAAAAUUCUUCUUUCUUCUUACCCAAAUCGGAUAGAGAUUAGGAAAUCUUGUGAUAAGUCGAGAUUUGAUUGAUCAAAGGAGUGUGUUAUAGAGAGUUGCUCAUCUCCUAUCGCACUAAGGAGUGUGUUCGGUAGAGGAUGAACUGAGAAGAGACACAGAGGUCUAGAAGCAGGAGGUGGAUGGCCUAGGAAGCUAGGUUUUCAUCAUGACUCUGAUAGGAUUGAGUAGGAUUAGAGAAACUAUAAAAGGGGUUGCAGAGAAGUGGGAAAACAUCAGAAAUAAAAAAGGGGGCAGAGAAAUUGAGAGAUAGAGAACAUGAUUUUGAAGGAAGGAUUUAGAGAUUUGAAGGGUAAAUUUCUUGUUCCUUGAUUAUUUAGAUUUUUCAAAUUUAAUUUCCUUAGUUGAAUUGAAAUUGCCAUGAGAUAUAUUUGGAGUUCUUAGUUUUAUUUAGGGUUUUCUACUGUUCAAUGAACCAAUCUGAACUUGAAUUAGAGUUGGGUAAUUCGAAUUGGGUGUGUAGAUCAAAUUUCUUGAUCAAGGGUUUGUUUCAAAAGGUUAAUUUCUUGUUAAUUUUGAGUCAUGUUAUAUUUGGGUGUUGUAUACAUGAUUUUUGGACUACCUGGAAGUAUUUCGGGUUUUGUUAUAUGAACUGGAAGUGUACUAUCAUGUAAUAUGCAGAAAAUUGAUUUUUUUGCAGAGAAAACUCAAGUUUCGAGUAGCCUUAUUUUGCUCUUAAUUUAUAGGUCUUUAUGUGCUCCUUUAGAGAAAAUGUUUUGUGUUUUGAAAAUACAUAUUUCCAUGAUCGUAACCCAAUUGUUUUCACUCAGUUCCGUUGAGUUUUGAUUGAUCAAAACCUUAUUUAAACUUGGGUCGUGAGCUGCCAAACAGCAGCAGAAAACUGGGUUUCCAGUUUCAAGACUCCAAUUUUCUUUUGGCAUAACUUCCAAUUUAGAGCUCCGUUUUCUACAAAACUUUAUAUGCUUUUAAAGUACAGAACACAAACUUCAAAACCCAUUCAAUAUUAUAUGAUUUGGUUUAGUUUUGAAUGUUCGAAAAGGAGUCUAAACUUGGUUCAAUAGUGCUGUUUUCUGCAGAUUUUGUCGAGAUGCAAAGUACUGUUUUUACCACACCUAAUUUCUUUUCCAGAUUCCUUUCUAGUCUUCUUUAGUUGAUUUGAGUGACAUUAUUUGAGUUAUAAGAUUCCAUAAUUUAUGUACUUUCUUUAGAUAAUAUCAAUUUUGUGAUUGAACACUUAGUUUGGUUUCUAAUGUGUUACUUGUGUUUGUACUUUUGGUUGUAUUUUUGUGUUCCGAUUAGGUUCUUCAGAGGAACAAAAUUAAUCGAAUUCAAGGUAGGGGGUUCUGGGAAACCUUCUAUAUGUAUUAAUUUAAUUAUUUCUUACUUAAGUACACAUACAAGUUUGAUAUACUUAUUGAAUUCAAAUUGAAUAUGAAUAUUGUUUCUUGUGGUUGUUUGAGUAUAAAUGUUUGAAAUGCAAUUUAAAUCUAUGGUGUGGGAGUAAAGUUUGAUUGUUGGAAAGAACUUCGGGAAUCUAAGGUUGUGACUAUUAGUUUUUGUGUAGUUGAGCCAAACUUUUAGUAGGUACCAUGUCUCAGGCGAGCCCACAGUGCACAGAUUCUUUAAGGGUAAUUCGGAACUGGAGACGAAGAGUUUAGGCAAGAUGACUCACAAAAGGGGAGUUCGGGAAUGUUUAGGGAUGGGGGUUAUUUCAUAUAUUUAAACACUCGGGAUUAAGUGAUAUAAGUACGGAAUAGGACGUACAAGGUCUGGGUGUUUAGUUAUGUGGAUUAACGGGUAUAGUUAAGGCAUUUGCAUUGCAUUCUUACGCAUUGUUCUGAUUUUGGUUUUAAUACUGCUAUAUUAAUUAUACUUUAUUAUUUUAGUAAUGAAGGUAUAUGUCCCUACUGAGCUUUUUAAGCUCACCCUAACGAAAUUUUGCAGGUACAGAAUCAGAAACCUAAAAGUCUGCUUGCUGUCUGUUGUGUAACUAUGUAUAAAGAAAUAAAAAGAUGAGCUUGUUGGCUUUUGCUCUCUUGUUUGAAUAAAGAAGUACUUUUGUGUGAACUCUGAGUAGUUCAUAAGUUGUAAUUUUGGCUAAAACUUUCAAUAAUAUGUUAUUCAGUUCAAUUUGAAUUUUAUUCCAAGAGAGUUAUACAUGCUUUUAUUUCAAGUCACAUUCAUAAUUAUAUUAGUUAAGAUUAUAAUUAAGGUGUGAUUCGCGUUCUGAACCAAGGUUUACGUUAAUCCUUGGCUUGGGGCGUGACAAUUUGGUAUCAGAGCCAAUCCUUGGCCGGAAGUGUGCCGACGAGGACUUCGGGCCCCUAAGAGGGGAGGAUUGUAACAUCCCACAUCGCCCAGGGGAGUGGAUCCUGUAAGCCUUAUAUGUAUAUUCUCAUCUCUACCUAGCACGAGACCUUUUGGGAGCUCAUUAGCUUCGGGUUCCAUCGGAACUCUGAAGUUAAGCGAGUUCGCGUGAGAACAAUCCCAUGAUGGGUGACCCACCGAGAAGUUCUCGUGUGAGUUCCUAGAAACAAAACUGUGAGGGCGUGGUCAGGGCCCAAAGCGAACAAUAUCGUGCUACGGUGGAGUCGAGCCUGGGAUGUGAUGGUGGCCCGGGCCGAGAUGUGACAUAUGCGCCGUUUGUCAAUGACCUUUAUCGCCCUCGGGCAGGCUUGCAUACUGAACUUUUCUUCGAGGAGAGAUGAGUGCAUGGACAUCUCUAAUAUGUGCCCUCAAUACCCUUGAACCCUGUGGUCAAACCUUGGCCCUUCAGAGGAUGGGCAAUGGACUUCAUCAGGUAAAUUUACCUAGCUUCUAGCGGGGGGCAUACAUUCAUAAUUGUGGCAACAGAUUACUUCACUAAGUGGGUAGAAGCUUCAGCUGUCAAAACUAUCACCUCAACUGUAGUAAAGAAGUUCAUUGAGACCAAGAUCUUACACAGAUAUGGGGUGCCCGAGACAAUUGUCACAGACUGCGGGCCAUCUUUUAUUUCAAAGGAAGUAGAAGAAUUUGCAAGUAAGUUCAAGAUAAAGAUGAUCCAAUCUAGUCCUUACUAUCCCCAGUCAAAUGGUCAAGCAGAGGCCAGCAACAAGAUCUUGGUAAACAUUAGUAAAAGAAUGGUGGCAGAUAGUCCAGAGAAGUGGCAUGAGAAGUUAGGAGACACUUUGUGGGUUUAUGAUAGGAGCAUAUUUAUGCGACUUAGUUAGCUUGUUCUUGUGCAUUUGUGUUGUUAUUUCUUAGUUAAUUAUGUAUUUUAAGCUAUUUUCGUGUGUUUGUAGGUCAUAAUAACAAAGUUGGCAAGAAAGUGCAUUUUGGAGCAUUUUAGAGCAUUUUUGAGCCAAGAUUGGAUAGUGCAAGCAUGGAGACAUGAGGAUGGACGUUUUUGAAGAUUUGAAGGCUAAAAAUCAGCAUGUGUGUGUGCAAGUGUGUUGACCUACAACUCCAAACAUCCACCCACUACACCCAUUACAUCCACUCAUUACCACAACACUCACACACUACACCUAUUACAUCCACUCAUUACCACAAUACUCACCCAUUACACCCAUUACAUCCACUCAUUACCAAACAUCCACCCACUACACCCAUUACAUCCACUCAUUACAACCACCUAACACAUUCACCUACCACUACACCCACUCAUUUCAACCACCCAACAACACUCACCCACUACACCUAUUACAUCCACUCAUUACAACUCCAUACACUCCUCUCCCUAGCCUAUAAAUACAUCCACCCUUCACCAUAACAAGGGAGAAGAAAACCAAAGAGAACACAAUCCACCCAUCCACCCUUCACCAUAACUCACCUAUAUCCAUCCACCACCAUAAUUUACCACUCAUCCAUCAAACCACACCUUGUGCCGCAACAAAGAGAAGAAGGAGGACCCUUGGACGUGUUUGCCAUUCAAGUUGGAUUGUUGGAGCGUUUUUAGGUGUUUUCUUUCUUUUGUUUUCAAUGUCUAAAUUUGUUUAUUUUUGCUUUGUAAGUAUGAGGAACUAAACCCCCCUUAGCUAGCGGGGAAUUCGAAACCAUGUUCAUGCUUGCAAUAUGGUUUGAUUACUAUCAGUUGUGAUUCAUAAGUUGUGAAUUCAAUUUACUUAUCCAUUUGAAUUAAAACUGAUUUGUGUAUGUUGUUUGAGAGUGCACGCUUAAUUUCCAUGCAUAAAUAUGAUGCUAGGAUAUAAGGGAGUUUCACCUAAUCGUUAUGAACUUAUAUUCACAAGUAGUAAAUGUUGUUCGUCACAACCGUGUUAAGUAAAUUCUUGGCAUAAGUUUCAUGCAAUUCAUAGUUACAAGUGUUUCGUCAAUGCUUAUGAUUUUCAUAGAACUUAAUGAUUCUUGCUUGUAUCUCUAUUAUGCAAUUCAUGUAGGGAACUUGUGGGGAAUGCUUUGGGUUGUUGUAUGCAAUAAUCCAAUUCAAUGAAAUUAGGAAAAUCUGAGGAUUAAUUUAAUCGUACCUAAUUAAUUUGGGGUGUUGAGGUUCAUGGUUUAUUGAAAAGCAACUGGAAAUCGUUUUAUAUGCAAGUGUGUUAUGUGUGGAGAAAGACCUUCUAGCUAGCCCAUCAUCCAUUCAAAUCACCAAAUUCGUCCAAAAUCUGUUUUAAGUCUUUAGUUACUUGUUUUUACUUAAAUUCAUCCAAAACCAAAUCCCCCUUUACUUUAAAGUGUCUGUUAGUUAGUACUUAUUUUAGAUGGUGUUUUUAAGUGUUUUAAGUCAAGAUAAAAUCAAUUUUCGUCCAAAGUCAUUCUUAGUGUCUAGUUUGAAUCUAAUUAGUUGUUUUGAGUUCUUUGAGUUUAGUUUAGUGUUUUUAACUUUGUUUAUAUGUUUUUAAGUCAGUUUAGAGGUUAUUAGCAAGCCCUCCUAAUCCCCGGUCCAGAACGAUCCCUACUUACAUUCUUUACUACAAUUGAUAUAAGAGGGUUUAAUUUGUGUGUUAAGUUAAUUUUCGCAUCAAAUUUUUGGCGCCGUUGCCGGGGAUUAGCAACUUUGCUAAUCCCCCGUUGUUUCUUUUUAUUUCUUUUACGUGUCUUUUGUUUUAGUUACUGACUUUGUUUCUUUUCGUGUCAUUUGUUUUUAGUUUCUUAUUUGGUUUUGUUUUGUUUAUUUUAAUUUUUGAUAUUUGAUUUAGUUCUCUUUCUUUGAUUUAAGAUACUAAAGAAGUAGGACAUGGAUUUUGCUAGCAUGCACGCUCAAUUGGCAAAUCUUACUUCUCCAUUGUGGCAGUAUGCCGAAAGGACCACAAUGCAAAGUGUCCCUACAUUUGGUACGUCUUAUAAGCAAGGAUAUCAAGCCAAUCAAUGUCCACAAAGAGAUUGGAGUGAUCAUUCAAACUCUAUGUGGUGGGAAGCUCAACAAGUUCAACACAAAGCAUAUUGGCAGCCAUAUGAGGAGUUCUAUUCAAGACCUAUGCAACCACUACAACCUCAUAUACAAUAUGCCCAAUCAAACUCAGAUUCGUCAAUAGAUUACAAUCAAAUUCUUAAUGAAUUAAACUCUUUGGUGCAGGGCUCACAACAAGAAGAAUAUUUGCCGCCAUCGAAGGAGUUCUAUCACUGGCCAUAUAAACCAUCACAGCCACCACAACAAUCUGCCCAAUUCAAUUCAGGUACGUCUUUGGAUAAUGAUAUGUUUAAUAAGUUACUCACAUCUUUGAACCAGGAAGUAGAAAAUCAAAACAAAGAGAUGCAAAAUCAAGCCAAGAAGACGGGUGAAUUGGAGAAGCAAACUGGGCAGAUUAUGGAGUUCAUGGCACAAAUUCAAGAGCAAAGUGAACUCCCCAACUCAACUAUUGAAAAUUCGAAGGAAGAUUUUGAAAUCCAUCAUGCUAUCACUUUGGGAAGUGCUAUGGAGGUUGGAGCUAACCUAAAAACAUCCAAACAUAGCAUAGAAGUGGAUGAGGAGCUGCUGAUUGAGGAUGAGGAAGAAGACAUACACACGAAAAUGGUAGAACAACCCUUGCCGCAACCCCCUAAGCCCUCUAAACCACCCACCACAAGUAAGGACGUCCCAAUUUCAGUUCAUUCUAAUGUUAUUCCUCCGAACAUCCAUUUUCCUUGCAGGUUUUUGAUUCCCAAGAAAGAAGAGAGUAAAAAAAACAUCGUGGAAGCCUUCUUAAAGGUGCAAAAUGAUAUUCCAAUUCUUGGUGCAACAAAUCAAGUUCCAGAUUGUGUUGAAAUGUUCAAAGGACUUUGUACACCAAGAAGAAUGAUUCAAGAGAAAGUAGUGGCUGGAGAAGAUGUAGAAUGCAUAAAAGAGGAUGUGAUUGAGACAACCAUUCCUAAAGAAGUUGAAUUCUAUGACACGGGACAAGUCCCAACCAUCACAUUCAAUCUGGCCAAGUCCAACAUCCCUGAAACUUUCAAAGAAGUGGUGUUUGUCAUUGAGUUCUUGUUAGACAAAGCAAGUAAGUCAUCUUCUCCAAUUUUACAUACGUUUUCCACUAACUUGCUGAUUUUGAUGAUUCAGGCACCCACACUAGAAUUUACACCAUUGCCCGAUCACUUUAAGUAUCACCUUCCAUUUGAAGAUCACUUCCAUGCCAUGGGACCUAGAUGAGUGUGACUGGAGGUAUCGUCCGGCUGCAAGACGUUAAAGCAAGCACUUAUUGGGAGGCAACCCAUGUAUUCAAAUAAGGAAGAUUUUUGAAUUGCUCCACAAUCAGUUUUGCGUUUCUAAAAACCUUCCUAUUUUUGUUGUUUUAUUUUGCCAUGAUUGUCAUUUUUAUUUGUUGCUUGUUUAAUUGUUUUUAGUGUGGGUUUAUUUUUGAAACACUGACAGUUAUGCAAAGUAUUUUUACAUUCAUAAAAAAGAAAGGAACAUUAAGCAGAUAAAUACAAGAGGGAGCCUUCACAAAGGCUGCUUAGGAGAAGUCUCAGUAGUCGGCGGAGCCUCAGCAGUCGGCGGAGCCCCAGAAGGAUGAGGCAUCGGAGGUUGAUCAUUUGGAGCUUCAUUACACGGUACAGCCCCAGAAGACGAAGGCAAAUGUUGUUGGAACAAACCCACAAACCUCCGAUGAUCAAGUAAAAUCUGACCAUCAGAUUCCUGCAUCUGGUCAAUUUUCCUCUUCAUGUUUGUGGCAUAGUUGUGUGCGAGCUUGUGCAACUGUUUAUUCUCAUGUUUGAGCCCUUUAAUCUCCUGUUUGAGACUCAUCACUUCAGCCGCCAACGAUUCAACUUGACGGGUUCGAGCAAAUAGGCGUUGGCCAUGUUGGACACAGAACCCUCACACUGCACACUAAGAGCCAGAGACUCCUUAACAGCCAACUUAUCAGACCGUUUUGAAAACAGUCUGUUAUCUUUAGGAGUGACAAGGUUCCGGGCCACCACCGCAGCAGUCAGGUCAUUCUUCAUCACCGAAUCCCCAACGGUAAGGGGACCAGUAGGGGAUAUGAAAGAUGGGCGCCAUAUGUUGUCUGGAGAAGGUGGGACUGCCUCUUCACCAAGGUUCAAGUCAAAACGACAAUCGGAGGGGCCAGACAUUUUCAGAGGUGUUAAAGAAAGAAGAGGUCGGACAAGUCAAGAUCGUAGAAGUGCAAUAAGGGAGUUUCUACAGGCAGAAAUUCAAGUGUGCUUUGAACGUUCUGCGUACCUCUAUAAAAAUCAGCACUCGAUGGGAUUUCAGAGAUCGAAGAGACGAGCUCAGAAAUCGAAGAGACCAACUCAAAAAUCAAAGAGGCGCUAGCUUUCUCAAAAGCUGGGCUUACUUAGAAACCACGGCCAAUCUUCUUUUCCAGACGUGUCAGCAUCUGUCACAUGCAGAGUAAGCUUUGCGAAAAUCACGGGCAGUUUGUCGAAGCGUCGAUUCCAACCAUCUGUUUUUCGAGACGUGUCAACAUUUGUCACAUGCAGAGUAAGCUUUGCGAAAAUCACGGGCAGUUUGUCGAAGCAUUUUUCCAGACGUGUCAACAUCUGUCACAUGCAGAGUCAGCUUUACAGAAAUCACGGGCAGUUUGUUGAAGCGCCGAUUCCAGAUAUCGAAGAGGCACUUACUUUUCCAGACGUGUUAGCGUCUGUCACAUGCACAGUCAGCUUUACAAAAAUUACGGGCAAUCUGUCGAAGAUCUCUUGUGAAGUAGAAAGCACGUUAAGUUUACUAUUCAAUCAUCCAACGGUUGCCGACAAGAGUGAAAGAACAGUACCUGUUAUUAUUUCCUAUAAAUGUCGACCUUCACCCUCCAUGGCAAGGCAGACAUACAUUACCUUCCGUCAUCUCCGAGAAUGCCUUUCCAACAAACCCUCUCGAGUCACUCAGUGUUCCUUAUUCCUUGGGGUACCUCUGCAAACAACCCAUUCAAAGCAAAAGUAUUUCAUAUCAUGAAGGUUGAAAGCAAGAGUAUCUCAUAUCAUGCUUUCUCCCUGUCCUUCUCAUUGUCGUUGUUUUAAGACAAGGAGAAAGAGAGCAAUCAGCCAGCACUUGGUAUCAAUUUUCCGAUUUGGAACCGACUGCCUGGAACCCCUUCCUGAUUGCUUACCUAGCCUUGCUCUCGAGUACUCAUCUUCAUCAUUUUAUGCUUCCUCUUCAUCUACCAUAUCUGCCUGAGGAACAGAUAAGGGAAGUGAAAAUGAUACCUCGAAGCAUGUGGAGAUAAUUUGCCAAUUCAUCCUCAGCUAAGGACAAGGAGAAAGAAAGUAAGAGGUGGGCACUUGGAAAGAUUGAAGAAAGAAACAGACCAACACCUUUACCUCGUGCCUUCCCGGCGUGCAGAAGAAACAAGCAAAGAAGAAUGCAGACUGCACAAUCAAAUCAACCCAGCAGAAGGAGUCUGAUUUGAAACCAAGGAACUAUCAUAUUCCUCGCUCAGAAUUCCAAACCAGUUCGAGAUCAAAGCUGUGGAAAAAUAACAAGAUCAUCUAUCUCCAAAACCAAAUUUGCGUUCUUAAACUCUACUCUGUGUAAUUUUUACUUUGCCAUACUUGUCAUGUUUAUUCGUUGUUUGUUUGUGUGAGUUUAUGCUUGAAACAUUGAGGACAAUGUUUGAUUUAAGUGUGGGGGGGGGGUAACCAUUGUUUUGCAUGAAAUUCGUAGGAGUUUAUCACCCAUUACUUCUAGUGUUGUUCCUUGCUGUUUUAAGUGUUUUAAGCUGUUUUGGAGUGUUUCAGUGUGUUUUGACAUAAAAAUCCGAAAAUCUCAUAAAAAUUUGAAAAAUUGUUUUUGUAUGUUUGUUUGUGUCUUAGGGUACCUUCCAACACAAUGAUGAGGAUUUGGUUUUUAAUUACAUGACUGUUAAAGAGAGUUAUAAACAUGGAUGAAAAUUUGAUUUACUCUUUGGUGUAUGCUUGGUUGUGGUUAUAAUUUAUGAAUUCACAUGCAAUCAUAAAAGGAAAAAUCAGUUUUUUUUUGCAACAUGCUUGAAAGAAGGAACUCAAACUAACGUUACAUCCUUGAGAGACUUGGGCCUAAACGUUUAUUUGGAGAGUUAUUAAUCUGUGCAGUUUUUUUUGUUUUCUAAAGUCGUUGCAUGAUCUCAUUAUUCUUUGCUUGGUUGCUACUUAGAAGGCGUUUCAUCAUUUAGUUCCAAAUGCUAGAACUCAUGCCUAUUUCAUUCAAAGCAUGUUUUUGAUUUGCAUAACACAUAUUCAAGAUGAAGUUGUUUAGUGAGCCAAGAGCCAAAAAGCCUACCCUGUUCAUUAUGUGUUUAAGUUUAACCCCGUUGAGCCUUGUGUAGCCUAUGUUCUUUGUUAACCCACACUAUCCUCACCUAGCCUAGAUUAGGACCAUCCAUACCAUUGUUCUUGAAGCAUAGUAAAACAUAAUUUAGAAGGAAUUCCUUUUGUUGAACUUUUGCAGAAAAACAAGUGUGGGGGAAGUGAUUCUUGUGUGUGUGUGUGCGCCAAAGUCCUUAAUAAGGCACGGGUAGAAAGAAAAAGAAAAAAAAAAGAAACAUUCGUGGAAAAUAGAAUGAAAAGAAGAAAAGUGGUGAAAAAUAGCUCUAAAGUGUUGUUUGUUGAAGAAAGGGUCCAAAACAUUGAAUUCGGCCCUAAGUACUGCUUGAAUCUUCCCGUUGUGUUUAAAAGUUAAUUUCUGCAUUAUUAAGUAAAUUCCAAGCGUCUAUUUCAUUACGUUGCUUACUAUUGCUUUUAGAAUGUUUGUUAUUCCUAUCCUUUUUUUGUUAGCCAUUACCCCCAAGCCAUGUUACAACCCUUAACUUCAAUCUUGAGUGUUAUGUGUUUCAAUUUGUGGAGUUUGAAAUUGAUAUGAGCAUAUGGUGUCACUGGUUCUCGCAUCUAAGUAGUAGCAUUCCAUUCAUGAGAUCAUAUAAAUACAUGAAUUAAUAAUUCCAGAAAUUGCUUCUUUGUUGAAAAACAUAUGUGAGUACUAGUUUUCAUGUUUACAUCAAUCUUCUCACAUAUACCUAGUAUAGGGAGUGUAGUAUGAAAUUCUUGUGUGAAAAUAAGAGUGUAUCUAGUAAGGAAUUGAGGAAAUUCUCAAGGCAUGUUACUAUAUUCAUAAUGCUGUUUUAAUUGAUUAAAUGUGAGCUAGUGAAUGGUGACUAUGAUUAAGUAUGCUCGAGGGUAAGGAAUGCUUAAUUCUAUGUAAGUGGUGAUCUUUGGCAUGUCAUGUUUCAUUGAAAAUCCCUAAGGCAAAUGUUGGAAGGUUAGGUUAUGUUUUGUUUGUUUUGUUUCGUUUUAUUUCUUUUGUUUUACUCGAGGACUAGCAAAAGCUAAGUGUGGGGGUAGGAGCAUAUUUAUGCGACUUAGUUAGCUUGUUCUUGUGCAUUUGUGUUGUUAUUUCUUAGUUAAUUAUGUAUUUUAAGCUAUUUUCGUGUAUUUGUAGGUCAUAAUAACAAAGUUGGCAAUAAAGUGCAUUUUGAAGCAUUUUAGAGCAUUUUUGAGCCAAGAUUGGAUAGUGCAAGCAUGGAGACAUGAGGAUGGAUGUUUUUGAAGAUUUGAAGGCUAAAAAUCAGCAUGUGUGUGUGCAAGUGUGUUGACCUACAACUCCAAACAUCCACCCACUACACCCAUUACAUCCACUCAUUACCAAACAUCCACCCACUACACCCAUUACAUCCACUCAUUACCACAACACUCACCCACUACACCCAUUACAUCCACUCAUUACAACUCCAUACACUCCUCUCCCUAGCCUAUAAAUACAUCCACCCUUCACCAUAACAAGGGAGAAGAAAACCAAAGAGAACACAAUCCACCCAUCUACCUUUCACCAUAACUGACCUAUAUCCAUCCACCACCAUAAUUUACCACUUAUCCAUCAAACCACACCUUGUGCCGCAACAAAGAGAAGAAGGAGGACCCUUGAACGUGUUUGCCAUUCAAGUUGGAUUGUUGGAGCGUUUUUAGGUGUUUUCUUUCUUUUGUUUUCAAUGUCUAAAUUUGUUUAUCUUUGCUUUGUAAGUAUGAGGAAUUAAAACCCCCAUUAGCUAGGGGGAAUUUGAAACCAUGUUCAUGCUUGCAAUAUGAUUUGAUUACUUUCAGUUGUGAUUCAUAAGUUGUGAAUUCAAUUUACUUAUCCAUUUGAAUUAAAACUGAUUUGUGUAUGUUGGUUGAGAGUGCACGCUUAAUUUCCAUGCAUAAAUAUGAUGCUAGGAUAUAAGGGAGUUUCACCUAAUCGUUAUGAACUUAUAUUCACAAGUAGUAAAGGUUGUUCGUCACAACCGUGUUAAGUAAAUUCUUGGCAUAAGUUUCAUGCAAUUCAUAGUUACAAGUGUUUCGUCAAUGUUUAUGAUUUUCAUAGAACUUAAUGAUUCUUGCUUGUAUCUCUAUUAUGCAAUUCAUGUAGGGAACUUGUGGGGAAUGCUUUGGGUUGUUGUAUGCAAUAAUCCAAUUCAAUGAAAUUAGGAAAAUCUGAGGAUUAAUUUAAGCGUACCUAAUUAAUCUGGGGUGUUGAGGUUCAUGGUUUAUUGAAAAGCAACUGGAAAUCGUUUUAUAUGCAAGUGUGUUAUGUGUGGAGAAAGACCUUCUAGCUAGCUCAUCAUCCAUUCAAAUCACCAAAUUCAUCCAAAAUUUGUUUUAAGUCUUUAGUUACUUGUUUUUACUUAAAUUCAUCCAAAACCAAAUCCCCCUUUACUUUAGAGUGUCUAUUAGUUAGUACUUGUUUUAGAUUGUGUUUUUAAGUGUUUUAACUCAAGAUAAAAUCAAUUUUCGUCCAAAGUCAUUCUUAGUGUCUAGUUUGAAUCUAAUUAGUUGUUUUGAGUUCUUUAAGUCUAGUUUAAUGUUUUUAACUUUGUUUAUAUGUUUUAAAGUCAAUUUAGAGGUUAUUAGCAAGCCCUCCUAAUCCCCGGUCCAGAACGAUCCCUACUUACAUUCUUUACUACAAUUGAUACAAGAGGGUUUAAUUUGUGUGUUAAGUUAAUUUUCGCAUCAGUUUACAGAACCUCCAAGAGGGCAGAAACUGGAACUACUCAUUAUAUCUUAACCUUCAGGCAGGAUGUUGUACUCCCCAUGGAGAUUAAUGUCAGUUCUAUUAUAAUUCAAAAUCAGUUUGGGCUGCAUAAUGAAGAAUACAUUUAGGCUAAGUGUCAAGGAGUUGAAAACCUAGAUGUAGCCCAAAUUGAAGCUCUAAAUAAAAUUCAGGAAGAGAAGAGAGCUGUUGCCCGAGCAUACAAUAAGAAGCUGAAGUUGAAAAACUUCAAGGAAGGAGAAUUAGUUUGGAAAGCAGUUUUGCCCUUAGGAGCUCAAGUGAGAUGCUUUAGGAAAUGGAGUCCUACUUGGGAAGCUCAUUUUAUUAUUCACCAAGCACUGGAUAAAUGAGGAUAUUACUUGGCAGAUUUGGAAGGAAACUUGCAAAGACAUACAGUUAAUGCUAAGUUUCUAAAGAAAUACCAUUAAACUCUGUGGGAUGUUAGAAAUUGUUAUAUUGAGAAGGGUUAGUUAUCUCAAGGAAAAUUAAAGUUAGAUGGUGCAGUAAGACUUCAAUGUAAAGCAAGAAGUGAAAUAAGUAAAGAUGAAGAAUACUUUUAUUUCACAAAAAGGAAGUUACAAUGGCCCUAGCCUAACAGAUUUACAUCUUCACCCAAAGUAAUUAUUCUGGAGUGGUAAGUUUGCAUAAUUAAAAAUUCUGGUAGGCUCGGCCAAAACAGUGCUGCUAUUAACAAGUUGAGACUCAGCAUCUUCCAGUUCCAGAUUUGCCUUCUUCACUUCUUCAAUUUGUUGUUGAAGUUUGCCAAGGAGAGUCACCUGUUUAGACUUCAGUACAACAAGUUGCUCUUCUAACUUCUGGAUCUCAGAAGUUACCACAUUGAUCCUCUCCUUCGUUGCUGAACCUUCAUCUACCAGCUGUUGAAUAUGAGUUGAAGUACUAGAUUGUUUCUCCUUAAAGCACCUCACUUGAUUGGCUUGCCUCUCUGCCCUCUGAUGUUGAUCCCUCAAAGCCCUCAAGUUCUCAAAAUAAGAGAGGAAUGAUUCAUAUUGAGCUUUGGAUAGCUGAUUAGCCUUGAACAAAUCAAUAAUAGCCUUCUCCACGUCGUGGAGAGCCUUGAGGUUAAAGGAUGCUGAGAAAUCCCUCAUAGACCACUCUUGGAAGACUCGGCGUUGAUCUUGAAGGCCUGAAGACUCAGAGGGAUGCCUUGAAGAUCUCAACUUUGUCUUAAGAAGCUCGAACUCUUUAAAAAGCUCAGGCAAAGAUGUUGUUGUAGAGAUAGGUACAGAGGAAAAUGGUAGUGCUCCUGCUCCUUCAGAGGGUGCAUCAAUGGAGGAGGUCUCAAUGGAUGAAGGAGCCCAAGAUGUAGGAGCAGUGGUGGUCUUGGUUUUAUUCUUAGGCCUAGGGAUAUGAAUCCCUAUGACCCCAGAAGCUAAAAGAGGUUGUGGAAGAUCAGAUUUAAGUAUCAAGGGUGGGGGAGAUCUGCCCGAGCCCUCUUCAGAGCCCUGUUGGAAACCAAGGAAAACAAAUUAAGAAGAAAGAUUACAAAUCAGAGCAUACAACAGGAAGGCGAGAAAAGGAAAAUUGAUAUACCUGAAGCCUUGGAAGAAGGAGGAUGAGUUGUGACACUUGGAUGCUGAGAGGGAUCAUUCACACUUGCAAGUUGGGGGGUGUUGCCCGAACCUUCAACAGAAGCCUACAAAGGUCAAAAAAAAAAAAAAAAAGACAAGUGUCAGUAAUGUGGUUUGAGGAAAAUAGAAAAUAAAAAAGCUUAAGUAAUAGUAUACCUGAGGUUGGGAGAUAGGCACUUUUGAUGCCACGACUGUAUCAGUAGAAACAGCCCCAGCAGCCUGUGGGCUAGUCACUUCUGAGACCACUGGGAUAUCAGGGACUAUAGGCUCCCCGAAGGCUGUUGCAGCUAGUUGCUGUGACUCAUGCCCUGGGAAGGACUAAAGAAAGAAAAUGGGAUAAGUAUAAAAGAAAGAUAAGGCUUUAAACACAGAAUGUCAAGACAAAACACUCACCGAAUUACUGUUGUCUUCCACAAAGUGCAGCAUCUCCCCACUUGACGGGUCAAAUUGAGAAGUAGGAGCCACCACCAAAGAAGGAGAGGUUGAAGGAAUAGAAGAAGAACCUUGCCCGACUUGAGAAGCGAGCUCUCCAACCUUGGCCUACAAAAAGUAAAAGUGUUAAAGCUCUGAAAUUGGUGAAGAUACAAGUUUAAGGAAUGAAAAAGAGAUAUACCUUUGAAGGCUUAGCCCGAGAGGGGGAAACAUGCUUUGGUCGGGCAGAAGGAGAAGAAGCCUCGGGCUUAAUGGACCCCUCACCUCUAAUGUCCUAUAUAUAUAUAUAUAUAUAUAUAUAUAUAUAUAAAGAGGAGAAAGCAAGUGAGGAGAUAGUGCAGAUAUUGAGAGAGAGAAAUCUGAAGAAGAAAUGAUCUUUGAAACUAUACCUCCAAUUCCUUGAGGGUAGCAUCAAUAACGGGCUUGUCUUUUUUAUAUAACUUUGCUCCCAAUGGCUCCUCUCUUGAGACAACUGUGGGCUUCUUGGUAGCUUGAGGUCCUGAUUUCAAAGAAAAAGGAGUGGUUAGUCUACUGAGAAAGACUGAAACUAAAUAGGAAAAGGACAACUUACUAGAAGCCCUUUGUUUUUUCCUACCCGCCUCAGGAGCAUGAGCAACAGAAGACCUCGAAGAUUGAGAGGCUUUGGAAGCCUGUGCCCUUGUCUUUUUCUUAGUUGGAGUUGCUUGCAGACCAGGGAUGGAGAGUUGAGCUUGAGGUCGCUCUUCGGGCUCGGACUCUGAAGAUUCACUACUUGCAUUUGUUUCAAAAGUAUAACCAGCUUUGUCCAAAUCAUGCAUAUUUUCCUUCAUAUGUUUGUCCCAUACUAGAUUAACCCCCGUUUUCUGCAAUAUCGUAGAAAAAUCAAAUUCUGGAAAAAUUAUAUCAACUUCAACUUUAUCCCCGACUUGCAAAUUGAGCUUAUUGUUCGAUAAUUGUCCCUGCCAAAGAUAAUUGUCGUCAUAUAUUAGCUCCUCCCAAUCUUUAUUGCCCAUGCAGACCCGUAACUUAGUACGCUUGGUAUUAUUUAUAACAGUAAUGGCAAGAGGAAGAGGAGGAUGAACUCUAUUGCCUGAGCGGUUAUAGCAGAACAAAGUUAUCCCUUCAAAAUUAUGAUCAUUGUCACUUUGGCGAAUAUCAAAACUGACUUUAUUGCCAUUGUUGACAAACAUAAACCAAUUAGGAAGAUAAUUCCCAUGGAGGAAAAUGCCACCAAAUCCGCAAGAAGUCCAUCCCUAUAUAUACAAUGCAAGUGUCAUAUAUAUAUAUAUAUAUAUAUAUAUAUAUAUAUAUAUAUACAUGUACAUGUGCGUUUGUGUGUGCAUGCGCACGAUAGGAAGGAAAUGAGAGAGAGAGAGAGAGCGAUACCUACCUGUAGGAUGUUCUUCCUGAAAUCAGCAGUGAGAUUGGUGCAACUUUGCAUAUCAAUCCAUGUCAUGGAGUUUAAUGACUUAUCCAACCCUGGAACCUCAGUGAGUUUCGGAGAAUCACUUAAAUGCAGUUCUCUCAUAUUUGACAUUUUCGAAAAAUUGGGCAUUGUUUCCAAUGCAGAGCAAUGAAACGCAUACAGAAAUUUCAAAUUUGUUGGUAAACCAAGCAUUCUAUGAAGAUAUCUGCAUCCACUUAACCGUAGAGUUUCAAGCUUUGAAAGACCGCUGAGAUCGGGAAGGGUGUGAAAUUUAUUCCCUUGAAGAUCCAAUUUUUGUAAAGAAUUUAAACUCCCAAGAUCCUCAGGCAUUUCGUUAUCGGCUAAUUCGCAAAAUGAGAGAUCUAAUUCUCUUAAAGAGUGUAAGCCAUGUAACGAAUGGGGCAAAUGAAGAGGCAACCCCAACGGUUGCACUUGCAUAUUCAUUCGAGAUAAACGAGCGAGAUUCUUCAAUCUUGACCUUUGAGAUAAAUGAUUGAGACUCUUCGAUCCUAACCUUACCGAUAAACGAGUGAGUUUCUUCAAUCUUACCGUGGAAGGUGGUACUUGUCUUAUGCCUGUUAAAUCUGCUUCAAGUAUUCUCAAUGAGAUCAUCUCCCCUAAAUUCUCAUGCAAUUCUGUGAAUUUUGAACACCCAUUAAGACAAAGAGUCUCAACAGAUUUUGACUUGUAGAAAUCCCCAGGAAGAGAAAUAAGCAUGCAGCAUCCUUUAAGGUUCACCAAAGAAAGUCUUUUAAGAUGACCAAUGGAUGGGUGAAUCUCGGACAACCACUCACACCCUUCCAAUAUUAACUCUUCAAGAUCUGGGAGUUGUGAAAAGUCCGGUGAUUUUUUUAAGUGAAGGGAAUGACUGAGAAUAAUGAUUUUCAACUUCUGAAGAGACUGUUGCACAAAAUUAAAAGAAAAUUGAAAUUAAUAUGCAAAAGAAAGAUGUUAUAAAAAAAAGAGAAGAAAAUCUAAAAUCAAACAGAAACAGAACAUCAUCAUGUGUAAUUGAUUGUACCUUGGAACCCUCCCAAACUUGUACCAGUUUGCUGCCCUGCAUGUCUAAAACAACUAGUUGUGGUUGAUUUAAAAAGUUAUCUGGUAUGGAAUGCAAAGGGAAUCCACGCCAGCACAACCAUAUUAACUUUUUGGGAAGGUGUUUGUAGUCUCCAGUGAGGCCUACGUAGUUGAGCUGAAGCAAUCUCAGUUUCUUCAUAUUGGCAAAUGCUUCUGUACUGAAACUAGCAUUGUUAGAGCUGAAGCAAUCUAGAAUUAGUCCUUGAAUUUCUCCAGUUCCCUGUUAAACAAAAGGUUACAUAAUGAGUAAUAAAGAUGGGUAAUCUGCAUAUGAAAAAUAAUUUAAAAAAAUAAUUUGCAUAUGAUUGUCUUUGUAUGAUGCAUUAAUCUACAAAUUUAUUUAAAAAAAUACUUACAGACAUGUCUGUCAAUACAUCUGUUACUUCUUCAGGAUGCCACAAUCUACUCCAUUUUUCAGGGGAACUAGGGGAUUCUUCAGAAAUGAUUACUCUGCCCAUAUCUCGAAGCAAAUCAUGCAUCCUCAACUUGUCUUCAUCAACAGUUACAAGGCAACGUUCACAUAAGACACUAAUUCCUAUUUUUGCAGAAAAGCCACAUCCAUCUAGUAUUUUUGUGACAUAGUUCUUGUCCAUUCCAAUAAAGAAACAACAUAUAUCAAGAAAAAUAGCCUUUUGUAUAACAUCUAGCCCCACAAAACUUAUUCUGAGUUUUUUUAGAAUUUCUCCUUCAGGAAUUUUUUCCAAUUUCUUCAGUUGGCUUUUCCAUUCUUCUAAGGCUCUAUCAACUAGUAAAGAGCCUAAGACUUGUAGUGCCAAUGGCAAACCUCCACAAUAAGAAAUUACAUUUUUUGACAGUUCAUAAUAUCCUUCAUCUGGACAACUAUUCUCAAAAGCAUGCCAACUAAAGAGCUCAAGAGCUUCUUCAUCAUUCAUUUUAUGAGCCUCAUGUACCUUGUCCACCUUCACUUGCUUUAGUAAAUGCUCAUUCCUUGUUGUAAUGAUAAUUCUACUUCCCGGACCAAACCGAUCCCGAGUCCCAACAAUUGCAUCUAGUUGGUCAAACUUAUCUACAUUGUCAAUAAUGACAAGUACCCUUCUAUGUUGGAGAUGUUGUUUUAUAACACUGACCCCUGCAUCAACGCUGCUAAAAUUUUGAGACUUGGGAGGUUGUAAGAUGUCAAAAAGAAACUUUUCUUGCAAAUAGACCAAACCAUGUUGGCUUGCAAUGUCACGAACGUCAACAAGGAAACAUUUGGAUUGGAAGUUACGAUGAAUUUGGUUAUAAAUGGCUUUGGCAGCUGUUGUUUUGCCCAAUCCACCCAUCCCCCAAAUUCCAACCAUGAGAACAUCAUCUGAUCUACCACUUGAAAGAUCAUUGAUAAUAUCUUGAAUGCGAGAAUUGAUUCCAACUGGGUGCUUGGCCACAUGUAAUUCGGUUGUGUUGGGGAGCAAUUCCCAAAUAUUCUCAUAAAUAAUUCUCCUAAUAAGCUUUGCUUCAUGCCUGAAAACUCAACUAGUAAGUAAUACAAAGGGGGGUGUAGACUUGCAGUGACUUACUAUUUGCAAAAAUUAAUUAAUCAGAAGAAAAUAUAGACUUAUUUUAUUAACACCCCACAUAUUGUUGAAUACACCUCACAUACUUAAUACACCUCAUAUUUUCUCUUUCAAUUAAAAAAUUUAUUAAUCUACCACCCAUAUUUUUUCAUAAUAUCCUCACAAUCCACACUCUCAAUAUACAUGCUACAUUUUCUACGUACACCUCACUCUCUUCACAUCUUAGGUUCAAAUACAUAUAUUAUGUAUUUAUUUUAAUUUUUUACACCUCACACUAUUCACAUCUUCAAAUUAUGAGGUUGUUUUGAUGUUGUUUCUCCUUAUUUUCAAAGAACGAAAAUUUAGAUUUGAGAAUUCAUGAUUGACGAAAAAAAAUUUGAAAACCACACGAGAAACAUGAAAACAUUAUUCAUAUUUUUUUGAAACGUCGAUUUCAUGUUCCAUUUGUUAAAAAGAAAUUUUUUUAAUCAACGUGUUUUUAGUUCCAUUGAUUAGAGUUUUGUUUUACAAUGGAUGGUGAGAGUGAUUUUUAGAGUUAAAUAAGAUAAAUAAUCUUAGGAUAUACACGUUAAAAGUGAUUUGGGAUAUAUUUAGAAAUUUUUUAUUUUUUUAAACCUAUGAGGUCAAAAUUGUCAUUGCAUAUGAGGAUAUAAAUUAUUUAAUAUUAAAUUUUAAUGUGGGUGUAUUCAAUAUUAUGUGGAGUGCUAAUAAAAAAAAAGCUUUUUCUUUGUAGUGUCCAUUAAAACGUUUCAAAUAUGGAAAGGCGGAUCAUAAAUAACAACAAUAUUAACCAAGUAAUAAAGGAAAUUAAAGUUCAAUAAAAUAAAGGGAUUUUUGAGCAUUAAACCUUGAAAAACAUAGAAAUUUAAAAAAAAAAUGGUGUUAGAUUACAUAUUAAUUUUAAACCUUUGAAGUGUACUUUUAUUAAAAUUCAUAUUAAAAUUUUGUUAUUUAAUGUCUCCAUAUUAAAAAUUACAAAGGUGUACAAAAAUGAUUGUACCGAUACAUAUUAAAUUGACUUGUUUGUACCGAAAUGUCUGUGCCUAAAUGUUUAUAACGAAAUAUAUUAUAAUUUAUUAGUAUGCCAAAAUGUUUGUACCUAAAUAUAUGUACCGAACUAUACUAUAUUGAAUUUGUGUACUUAAAUGUUUAUAACGAAAUAUAUUAUAAUUUAUUAGUUCUUCAGCCAUUGCUGUGUCAAAGAAUCCAGUUUUUAUCAAAGGUUGAAACAUAUGAAGAAGAAGUUUCAUUUCAUCAGGGAUGCAAUUCAAGAAGGGAUCACUGAUUUGCAAUACUGCAAGAGUGAAGAGCAGCUUGCUGAUAUCUUCACCAAACCAUUGGUAAAUGACAGGUUCAAUUGCUUGAGAAACAAGUUAGGAGUGAUUUCACUUUAGACCCUAGAAGGGAUUAUUAGUUGUUAAGGUCUAAACUGACUUAUUUAGCCUUAAUUAAUAGUUUGUUGAUGUGGCAAGAGGUUGUUAAUGUUCAAAGGCUAAGAUUAAUUCAUUUUCUCUUAGGCUCAGAUGUGAGCAAGUGGCAAGGUCUCACAGGGCUUUGUAAUAUACGGUUGGAUGAGCUCAUACGUUCUUGUAUAUUCCCUCAAGCCUAACGGCUAGUUUUGUACUGUUGUGAUGAAUGAAUAUACACACACAGAAAGCAUGCUUUGUGCUCUACGAGAUAAGAUCCAAAGUUUUGCAUCACCUUCCUAAUCCACCACUAUUCCGCAUACUUGGCUUCUGAGCAUCAACUUGUGCCCAAGCUUUAGAAUUAAAAUUUUGGGGAUACUCACUUCCGAGACAUCUUUUUCCCUUGAAAUUUCCAUCACUUCUUCUCAAAAUCAUCCUAGCAAACAAUCCCUUUUCUAAUUCAAAUUGGCGCGGUGUUUCGGUUGGGGUAUGAAGGGGUGGUGGGUUGUGGCGCGGAGGAGGGUGCAGUGGAGAGAGUAAGGGGAGGAAAGAGGAUGUAAAAUAUACUUUUAUCAUGUGGGCUAUCUUCCAAUUGCCUUAUCAUCAUAGAGACUAUUUAUCUGAUUAGGCCUAUGAUGAUUAGUGUAUUUAUCUGAUCAGCUUCUCUCAACUCCGACACCACCUAACGGUUCUUGUUGAGGCCAAAUCUUCAAACAAAAGGUAUUCAAUUUUAGGGAUUUAGGAAGAGUAACUUAGGGUUUUUUAGAUUUAGGGAAUUUGGGUUAUUGAUUUGCUGCUAGGGUAUAAGUUCUAAAUAUUUAGAUUUUGUGCUAUUCGUGAAGAUGUGAUAAAGUUUUCAUUUCAAUUAUAGAGAAGAAAAUGGGUGGAGAUGCAUAGAGAAGUGUGUAGAUUAUGUAUUGGUUUUAGAUUCAAUAGAUGGGACAGAGAGCAAAGAAAGUAUGGGUUGCAGAUUGUGUGUGGAGAUGCAAAGAAAGUCUAUCACUACAGAAUUUGUGUUUGUUUCUUUCCAUCUGAUUCAAUUCAAGUUUUUAUUUAUUUAUUGUGUUGGAUAAAAAAUUCAUGUUUUGACCAAAAAAUUAAUUUUUCCAUCUCAUUCAGUUCAAGUUAAUUUUUCCAUCUACUUCUUCAUUGGAUAAAAGGUUCAUGUUCUCACUCGGCAAGGAGAUAAUACAUAGAUACAGUAAUUUGUUCCAAAGGGCCCGUGGACACGGCUAGAACCGGCCCAUUUGAAAUGGGUCGGGUAAGGUCCGGUUCCAAAUUCAAAAAUUCCAUUACCCGUCCCGGCCUGCCAUGUUGCAUUUUUAAACGGGCUAGGUCCAGUUCCUCUGAAUUUGGGCCCGACCCGUCCCGUGCCCACCCCUAAUAUUAACUACAUUAAGGAGAGGGAGUGGAUUUAACCUCACAAUAAGCUAGCAAUAAUGUGGUUCAAAUUCGUUUUUGGCGAGAAUCGAACCUAAGAAUGUAUUACUAAGUGAUGAACAUUUAAAUUGAACCAAGGGACUAAACUCCAUUUUGAAUCUUUUACCAGACAUUAAUAUAAACUUUAUUUUAAUUAAGAAUUAAAAUCUAGUUCUACAUAAAAUAAAUGGUUACCCGUUGUCAAUGUUUUUGAGAUCUUGACCGGACAAGUUUGCAGCCUGAGUAAGAGCCUCUCUCCAUUGCUUCACCUUUUUCUUCUUGUGUUCGCGUUUUAUGUCAUCUUUUUCUUCACGGAUAUCCUCUUCGUACUUCUCAAAUAUUGGGGCUAAACUACCUUCCUGCUUCCUGAUGUCUGAAGCUUCAACAUGAUAGAAUAUUGGCAAAACAUGUCGCCCCAGUUGGGAUCUACACUCCAUGAUCUUCACCAGCUCGUCGAGACACCAACUUGAAUCCGCAUAACUCUUUGAGAACACAAUAAUAGAGAUCCUUGACUCUUCGAUUGCCCGGAACAGUUCCUCUUUUAUUUCUUCCCCUCUUUUCAGAUUGUCAUUAUCAAUAAAGGCUUCGUAGUCCUUUUCUUUCAGUGCUGCAUGGAGAUGGGCCGUGAAGCCCUUGCGUGUGUCUUCGCCUCUGAAGCUCAAGAACACGUCGUACUUCCAGAGUUUUGAGGAGGAUGAUGAAGAGGAGGCUCCGUGGGCUGUCAUGGUGGUAUCCACCAUUAUCGCACUGCAGUAGUUCAGCUCACGACCAAAAACAAAUGGCAAUGGUUGUUUUUGUGUUGCCGAAUGGACGAGGCUGAAGUUUAUACAAAAAUGCCUAGUUAAGCUACUUCAGUCUACAAAAACAAAAAGUCAUCCAUAAUAAUAUAAAUCUUGGCAGCUAAAGUUGAGAAACGACCGAGUCCUGGUUAGGGGAAGGGAAAGAGGCAGGAAAAAGAUCAGGAAAGAAACAAACGCAAGUUGUAGAGACUAUGUAUUAUAAUAUAACAACAGCUAACAAUAUACACCACAGCAAGCAAUUAAUGCGAUUCGAUCCUUUUCUGGACGGAUUUCCCAAAUAUUUCAUGGAAAAAAAAAGAUUAAUUAACGAUUUAAUCAAGCAAUUGGAAACUUUAGCAUAAAAAUACGAAAAUAGAAUGAGGAACACAAAAUAGGGAGAGAAAUAAAGACCUUGAUUCGAAGAGAAAUGGUGAAGCCCUAAAUCGAGGUGCUUGGUGCAGAGAAGAGAGGCGAGGAGGGAGACGGGGAGAGCAAAAGUCGAGAAGGUGGGGUUUAGAGUCUGAAACGGUGGGGAAGCAUCUAUAGCAAAGCUGGGUCGACAUAUAAGAAAGGGCAAAGUUGAAAUAACAAAAAAGAAGCAGGGGUGAAAAUGGAAGAACACUGUUAAUGAACAGUGUUUUUGUGUGUUGGGUUUUAGCAUAUGUAUAAUGUCUUAUAAUAUAACAACAGCUAACUAUAUACACCUCAGCAAGCAAUUAAAUAAUAAUGUUAGAAAGUUCCAGCAGCUAGUGGUUAAUUACUAAUUAUUUUAGAAGUCAAGUUGUAAUUAAUUAGUAAUUUGCAUAAUUACUCUAGAGAAGUUGGUGAAGGUGUAACGGGAUUGGGAAUCUGAGAAAUUACAGCAAGCUUGUUGGUGAGACGCUUCUUGCAGAUAGUGUAUCUAGUGAUGGAGGGAAAUAUAAUGUGUAGAGGAGUGGUGAAUUGGACAUGGGACUCCGGUUGGAAGAAAGGAUUUUCGAGAAAUGAAGCGGAGGAAGUAGUGAACGAGAAACACAAGUGAUUACACAAAUUACGAUAAUCUGUUCUAAUUUACAAAGAGGGAUCAAACUAAGUUGCAAUAGGUAAAUUGAUUAAAAAAAAGGCAGCCUAGAAGAUAAAGAAAUUGAGGGUCACCGGAGUAAACGUAGAAGUACUAGGUGUAUUAGUGGUCUCAUAAAUCAUUCAAUCAUAUCGAAUUGCAAUUCCAGUGUAUUUUCUUUUCUCUUAGGAAAAGUCGCACAAACUCGAAACUAACCAACAAUUCGUUAAUUAUAGAUUCUUGAAGAAAAUCAAGAACCACAACAAAAAGGAGAUCCAAACAAGCUAAUAAAACUAUUUAUUAAAUCCCAUAAAAUAAAACUUUUCAUUAAAACCCAUAAAAUAAAAAGAACAACAAAAUGCAGAAUGCAUAAAGAAAACCAAAAUUCAUACUCUAAAUCAAAAGAAUUGACAGCUCUUACGGAGAGUGGAAAGAACAAAUCAUUUUCAGGUACAAUCAAAUCAAAACUAUCUUUCACCUUCUACUAUCCGUAGAAAGACAACAAAGCUUAUGUGCCAAAAUGCAGCACAUACUGUGUUAAGAUACGGGUAUCCGACUUUUCGAGUAGGCUUCAAACUAAAUUAGGGAUGACAAUAGAUCGUUUUUAGGACAUAAAUGUUAUAUCUAUUCAUAUAACCAUGAAAAUUAACCAUAUUCAUAAUCACAAAUUAACCAUUGGAGAUUAUCUAUAGCAUACUCACCGAGUAACGGAUUCUUAUCACUUAACGGUUAUAUUCAUCUUUAUUAAUGCAAAAAAAUUAUUAGUUAAAGAAGCAAAUACAACAGCCACUAUGAAAGAAAAACAAAACAAAUGAUCAAAAAAUUUCAAUAAUUGUAAAUAUACGUAUAUAUUAUAUUAAUUAUGUUAUGUUAUAUUAUGUUAUAUUAUGUUAUAUUAUAUUAUAUAUUUCCGGACGGAUUUGGGGAUGGGUAUCAUUGGGGAUCCUUAUUAAUAACCAUGUUGAUAACCAUAGCUAAGAGCAACUCCAGCGGAGGCUGGUUGCUCGAGCGACAGGCGAGGACAAAGGGCCCGAGGGCCGAUGGAGAGAGGUCCAGCGGUGUGGAGGCCGAGCGACGGUGGGAGCCCGAGCGAAGGUGGGGUGGGGAGUCGACGGGCCUAUGGCUCGAGGGCUUUGCAAUUUUUUAUUUUUUUUGUGUCAGAGAGAGAGAGCUUUUGUAAUUUUUUAUUAUUUAAACAAACAAAAAAAACUAUUAUUUUAAUUGUUUAUUGCCAGGUGGAGGGUUCCAAUGGUGGAGAUGUAAAUGGCAAUUACUGUUCAUUAAUGGUAGUUACUAUUCAUUUAAGGCAGUUACUGUUCAAUAAGGUGGAUUGAAUAGUUGAUUGUCAGGGGGAGGGCUCCAUGGGUGGAGUUGCUCUAAACGGGUGAUAUUGAAAUACCUAAACCCAAGUCAAGCUCCUUCAGUCAACAAAAACAAAAAUUUAUGAUAUAAUAAUGUUUGCGUAUGACUUGAGAAACCACCUACUGCCAGCCUUGAUGUUGCAGUAAAAGACAAAGAGAGAGUAAAGUAAUGGAAAGAAAUGAACUCGAAAGGACAAAGAUAAUUCAAAAGAUUCUUGGCCGUGAUUACAGCUAUUCAAACAUCAAUAAUGCAUUAUUUUAGAUUAGAAAUUAAAGCAUUUGAGAAAUAGCAUGACAACAACUACAUAAUUAUAAACAAAAGUGAUUAGAGAAAAGACCAAAUGUGAAAGAAUAAUUAAAAAUGCAAGUGGCUCUUUAUUAUAGUGGUAAAAAUGAGUUAAGCCUUUACAUAAUGACGUAGGUUCGAAUCCUGUAGGCGGCUAAUUUAACAUCCAAUCUAAAAUAAUCUAUCAUUUGACACAAAAAAAAUAUUAAAAACAAUUAUUCAAGGUAAGCGGUAAGUUAUUUACAAAAUUUAAACUUAAGACCAUGAUGUACUAGAUUAUUAUAUUACCUAUUUAGUGGUGCUCUACUGUACUUAUUAAGAAUGGACCACUUUUAGGCCCCACUGCUAAAAACUAUUGCAAAAUGCGCAUUAGGAUUAAACAUCUGUUAGCUAUCUUUCCUUAAUAGUCAAAUGAACCAUAUAAUACACCCAAAUGGAUGCCAGAUAUGCAUAUAUAAACAAGAGUUUUUAUCAUAAAAUGGUCACUGAGAUUGAUCAAACUACUUCAGUUUACAAAAACGAAAAGUCAUCCAUAAUAAUAUAAAUCUUGGCAUCUAAAGUUGAGAAACGACCGAGUCCUGGUAAGGGGAAGGGAAAGAGGCAGGAAAAAGAUCAGGAAAGAAACAAAAACAAGUUGUAGAGACUGUCUUAUAAUAUAACAACAUCUAACUAUAUACACCUCAGCAAGCAAUUAAAUAAUAAUGUUAGAAAGUUCCAGCAGCUAGUGGUUAAUUACUAAUUAUUUUAGAAGUCAAGUUGUAAUUAAUUAGUAAUUUGCAUAAUUACUCUAGAGAAGUUGGUGAAGGUGUAACGGGAUUGAGAAUCUGAGAAAUUACAGCAAGCUUGUUGGUGAGAGGCUUCUUGCAGAUAGUCUGUAUGCAGUGAUGGAGGGAAAUAUAAUGUUUAGAGGAGCAGAGGCUGCUCGUUGUAAUAUGUUUAGAGGAGUAGAGGAGCAGAGGCUGCUCGCAACGAGCAGCCUCUAGGUGAGAGGCUUCUUGCAGAUAGUCGAGCAGCCUUGCAACGAGCAGAGGCUGCUCGCCGAAAGCAUAGCCUCUAGUCGAGCAGCCUCGCAAUGAGCAUCGCCUCCAACCGAGCAUUCUCGUAACGUGUGAUACCUCUAGCCGAGUAUUGCUUUAUGUUGAGCAUUGCCUUGGGUUGAGUACUGGUUCAAGACAUUUAGCCACCUCGGCCCUUACAUGGAUUGGAUUUGAAGUCUUCAGCCAAAAGACUCUCUUGACUGAAGACUUGGAGGACUACUGUUGGUACCACAUAUAUUGGGCCUCAGUCCUUGACACAUUGGGCCUCAACAUUUGGGCCUCAUUACCCAGCCCAUAAUUAUGUAAAAGGAGGAGCCUCUUAUUCUAUAAAAGGGGACUCCUCCCCUCUUCAUACAUCGGACUCUGUGAACCCAACAGAGGGCAAUACCCUCACAAACUCAACAACACUCUCUUUCUUUGGGGGACUCCCCCUCACCUUUGUAAUCCAUACAUACAGUCAGAGAAAUACAAUCAGUGUGGACGUAGCCCAAAUAUUAGGGUGAACCACGAUACAUCUUGUGUUAUUUACAUUUUCUGCAGAUUCACAGUUGGAUUUACGUUGUUCCAAGACCUCCGAUUUUGUGCAUCAACAUCGCUCAUCCCAAAGACCCUUCAAUUUGGUAUAGUAAUCACCAAUAUUCAUAUUGCCUUGAACGCAUCCAUGUAUCUCUUGUUCAAUAUGAAAGAGAUGUACGUUAUUCACAUGUGAAAAACGUUCCUUCAAAUCAUCCCAGAUAUCAUGAGCAAUGUUAUUGUAAAUCACACUUGCUCUAAUAUCUUGGGAGACCGAGUUGAGAAGCCAUGACUUGACAAGAUUAUUGCUGCGUGUCCACCGUUGAAGUUAUGUGGCAGAAGUUCCUCUUGGCCUUUUGAUGGUCCCAUCAAUAAAACCUUCCUUAUUUUUAGCACUGAGAGCCGUGAUCAUGGCACGACUCUAGGUUGGAUAGUUUUCUUCAUUUAGUUGUUAAGUAACUAAGAUAACUCCAGGCUGAUCAGAGUGAUGGAGAUAAAGCGGAUCACUGGGAUCAUCAUACUUGCUCAUCUCAGGCUUGGCUAAGGAUUUGGUUAUGGUGGUAUCUUCGAGCGCCAUGGAUGUCGGCGAGAAGAAAUAUGGUUGUUAGGGUUUCUUGCUGUGUUGUAAACGGCAAAGAAAUUGGUUAUCAGAGGCCCAGAAGCUCUAGUACCAUGUAAAGAAUUCGAUAAUUGUAUAUAUGAAUUCAUUCACUUUACAAUAGAUCAAUACAAGGAUAUUUAUACAAUACAAUGAUCAAUUAAGAUCCUACAAUCAUGCCUACAUAAGUUGUUCCUUAUUCUACACAUCCAUAUAGAGGGAAAGCACUCAAUCUAGGUGAUUGAUAUCAUAUUACAUCAAAUUAGCCCUAACAUGCUUUACUUUCCUCAACAAAUGCAAGUAGCUAUUUACCACAAUGGUGAAAAUGAGUUAAGCCUUUGCAUAAUAGUGUGGGUUAGAAUCCUGUCGGCGGCUAAUUAACAUUUAAUAUAACAAAAUCUAAUGUUUGACAAAUAAAAAAAAUAUUAAAAACAAUUAUUCAAUGUAAGCGGUAAGCCAUUUACAAAAGGGAAAUUUUAUUUAAACCCAUUUAACCUCUUUUUACACCCAACUUAAAUUUUAAAUGUUAAUUGUUUAUUUUACCCUAUUGCAUAAUUACUAUUGAGUACAAAAUGAAAUUAAUAAUAAAACUCAAAUUUAUCAAUAAACCCAAACACUAUAAUUAAACCCUACGAUCACUCUUUGUUUGUCCUACGUUCAUCUUGGCUAAAACCCUAAUAAUUGUCAUGGAGAAAAAUAAGUUUUUUUUAUUGAUGGAUUGUGAUUUUGAAGUUUUGAAUCCUCCAACCAAGGUAUAACUCAAUUUAUGAUUUUUUUUUAUCCGAUCGUAUUGUUAACUACCUCUCUAAUUCGAGUUUUCCUUUCUCACCGUACUGAUAAGAGCGAUUUCAUCCACUCAUAUAUCACCCCAAGUCUACGGUAUAUAAUAUAGCAACACUCCUUAAAUUAUUGAAAAUUGAAUUAGAACAAGGCUGCAAUUGCAAUAUGAUAUGAUGGAUAACCAAAGUCAAUGGAUGAGCCAACCACUGCCUUAUCAAAUCACUUUCAUAUUUUCGUUCUCCUUGCAAUCCAGAAAGUCGUCUGCAACCUAACCAGAAAUAUUGCACACAUAAUUCUAAAAUGUUCAUAGUUUCAUGUAAAGCACAUAUUUUGUGCAUGUAAUACGCCUGCCAGAAAAGGCAGGGUACAAAAAUGGCAGAAUUAGUUGUAUGCUUUGUGAUCGAUAAGUUAAUUUCACUGCUCAUCACCACAGUAUCACAUGAAUGAUGGGUCAACUGAAUGCCCAUCUUUAGGAUAAAGCCUAUUUAGAUAUUAACUUAUGAAGCAAUUGUUGAAGAAAUGUGUGUAAAAAUAAAUCCACAUAUUGAAUUGGGUUUAUGAGGAUAUAUUAGGUAUUAAAUAUGGGUUUAAAGAGAUAUUAAUAGUUUAGUUAAAAAUCAAAUGGGUGCAAAGAGUAUGUUGGGUGUAGAAAUAGGUUAAAUGAGUUUAAAUAAAAUUUCCCUUUACAAAAUUUCAAGUUAAGACCAUGAUGUACUAGAUCAUUAUAUUACGUAUUUGGUGGUGUUGUACUAUACUUAUUAGGGAUUUUAAGGAGGCAUAUGAGGGUGGACCAUAUAAUACACCCCAAAUGGACCACUUUUAGGCCCCACUGCUAAAAACUAUUGCAAAAAUGCGCAUUAGGAUUAAACGACUAUUAGCUAUCUUUCCUUAAUAGUCAAAUCAACCAUACAAUACACCCAAAUGGAUGCCAGAUAUGCAUAUAUAAAUAAAGAUUUUUAUCACAAAUGGUUACUGAGAUUGAUCAAACUACUUCAGUCUACAAAAACAAAAAAUCGUCCAUAAUAAUAUAAAUCUUGGCAUCUAAAGUUGAGAAACGACCGAGUCCUGGUAUGGGGAAGGGAAAGAGGCAGGAAAAAGAUCAGGAAAGAAACAAACACAAGUUGUAGAGACUAUGUCUUAUAAUAUAACAACAGCUAACUAUAUACACCUCAGCAAGCAAUUAAAAAAUACAGUUAGAAAGUUCCAGCAGCUAGUGGUUAAUUACUAAUUAUUUUAGAAGUCAAGUUGUAAUUAAUUAGUAAUUUGCAUAAUUGCUCUAGAGAAGUUGGUGAUGGUGUAACGGGAUUGAGAAUCUGAGAAAUUACAGCAAGCUUAUUGGUGAGAGGCUUCUUGCAGAUAGUCUGUAUGCAGUGAUGGAGGGAAAUAUAAUGUUUAGAGGAGUGGUGAAUGGGACAUGGGACCCCGGUUCGAAGAAAGGAUUUUCGAUAAAUGAAGCGGAGUAAAUAGUGAAUGAGGAACACAAGUGAUUACACAAAUUACGAUAAUCUGCUCUAAUUUACAGAGAAGGAUCAAACUAAGUUGCAAUAGGUAAAUUGAUUCAAGAAAAGGCAGCCUAGAAGACAAGGAAAUUGAGGGUCACCGGAGUAAACGUAGAAGUGCUAAGUGUAUAAGUGGUCUCACAAAUCAUUCAAUCAUAUCGAAUUGCAACAAUCUGUGAUAAAUUUGUAUAUGCUAAUAAAUAAUAAAAUGUAAAUAGUGUAUGAACAAUGAAAUAAUAUUUAACAGAAAUAUUGAAGAUCAAAGCUUGCGUACCGCAAUGUCCUUGAAACAGAAAUUUCGCCCCUACUCAGUGCUUGUAGUUUUACGGACGUCUGCUUCAUCAAGAUUCAACGAUCAAGUCAGAAUUCCAACACCGGAAAACUUGACUUCUGGCGAAUUUCUGUGUGGUUCUCACAGAAAUGAUAUUUGUGAUUGUAGAAGAAGAAUGUUAAUUUUCUAUGUUCUAAAUGCCAUACAGAUAGAUGUAUAUAUAAUAUGAUUAUGCCUGUUCGCAACAGGUAUGAGGAAGGGAUGCAUAUGUUUAGAGACAUCUUCUCAGAUGGGUGUUUUCUUUCUGUGUUCUUUCACACUUCAAACUUCAUCUGAAAGGAUGAGUCUGUUGAUAAAAUAAUAAAAAAUUAAUUAAUUAAUUAAAUUUAAAAUUAAUUAAAAAUAAUUAAUUAAAUCCGAAAAUAAUUAAUCAAAAGAAUUGAUUGUUCUUAUGGAGAGUGGAAAGAACAAGGGGCUUUUAGAUCCAGGUCCAAAAACAUAUAGUAUUUUUAGGAGUAAGUUCAGUUAUCUAAUUAUUCAUGGUAAGCGGUAAGCCAUUUACAAAAUUUGAACUUAAGACCACAAUGUACUAGAUCAUUAUAUUACCUAUUUAGUGGUGCUCUACUAUACUUAAUAGAGAUUUUAAGGAUGAAUAUGAGGGUGGACCAUAUAAUACACCCUAAAUCGACCACUUUUAGACCCCACUGUUAAAACUACUGCAAAAUGCGCAUUAGGAUUAAACUUCGAUUAGCUAUCUUUCUUAAUAGUCAAAUGAACCAUAUAAUACACCCAAAUGGAUGCCAGAUAUGCAUGUAUAAACAAGGGUUUUUAUCACAAAUGGUUUCUGAGAUUGAUCAAACUUAUCAUUUUGGUCCCUUACAUUCAAAAUCAAUCAAUGUCAUCCUUAACAUUCACUAUCGCACAUCAAUUUGGUCCUUAUGUUAAUAUUCCGUUAAGGGAUACUUUGGAUACGGUCCCUAAUCCUUAACAUUCUUUGACUAAAACCUUAAUGAUAUUCAAAGUUUGAUCAAAAUCCCUUGAUUUUGUACACCUCAUUAUAUUACAAUUAAUAUUUAUGUUUUUAUAGUUUUGACAUUAAUUGUUUGAUAUUUUAUGAGAGUUAUAAUCCUAUAAAUUUAAAAUCCCUCGUUAUAAUACUAUUAGAAACGGUUACAACAAAAAAAAUCAAACAUUUUGAUUGAAUAAAUGGAUAAAAACUAUGUAAAAAUAAGAAAUAAUAAAUGGCAAAAGAAUGUAUCCAUAGUGUUAAAAAAAAUUGGUACAUAUCACAUAUAACAAAGUGGUACAUUAAUAAAGAAGAAUGGGUACAUUAUAAAUAAAUUAGGGUAUAGAUAAAAGAUUAAAAAAUUAUGAGUACAAAUGAAUUUUUAAAAAAUAUAGGCACUAAAAGAAAUUAAUACACUGGUACAAAAUAAAACUAAAAAGAAAAUAGUACAAAUUUAAAAAAAUGUAGCAAAUUAAAAGUGGGUACAAACUAAAAAUAUAAAUAUAUGAUACAAAGUUUAGGCAUAAAGCAUAAACAUACCAUAUGUAAUUUUUCUAUUAUUGAUUAAAUAUACAAUGUCACGUGAUGGUAUACACAUGAGUACAAGCACAAAUAAAACUUUAAAAAAUAUGGGCACAAAAAGAAACUAAUAUAUGGGUACAAAUUAAAAAUGAAAAAAAAAUUGGUACAAAUUAAAAAUAAAAAUAUAUGAUAAAAAAUUUAGCCAUAAAUAUAAAUAUACUAAUUGUAACAUUUUUAACACUAAAGGAAUAUAUUUUAAAAUAAAAAUAUUUUAUUAUUCAAAUAAUUAAUGAUGUUAUUAACAUCCAAGGACCUUGAUCAAAAAUUGAAAAUAAAUAGGAUUCUAAUCAAUGGAGUAGCAAAAAGAAGGAUGUGAACCUAAUUUCUCAUUCCGUUAACUAUUAUGUUAGUUUGUACGUAGGACCCACAAAUCCAAUGAAAUUGUGACACGUGGAUUACACAAAAUAAGGGUUUUUAUCGCAUAUGAUCCAUGACAUUUAUCAAACUCCUCAUUUUGGUCACUGAGUUUCAAAAAUCAAUAAAUUUGGUCCCUUACUUUCAAUACCACAUGUCAAUUUAAUCAUUCCGUUAAAGUUUCGUCAAUAUUUUUAUCUCACUAAUCCAAUCAUAUGACAUCACGUGGAUUAACUAUAAGAAACAAUUUUUUUGAGAUUUAAAACUUAAAGUAAAAUAAGAAACUAAAAAUCAAAACUAAAAGAAAAAAAAAAGUCAUCGUCGUCUUCAUCAGGAUAUCUCAAAAAGAAAAUGAAGGCACCAUGACACCACUAAAGUACUUAAUUGGCCUCCUUAACUCACUCUUCAUUCUCUAUAGUUAGUUAUAAUCAUAUCAAAUUUGAAUUGAACUUGGAUUUGAUUUUAUCAAAUUUAGAUUGAGUUUUUUUUCUUCAAUUGGGAUGCAAGAAAUGUCAGUGCGGAAUACUCGUUCGUCGGUUCACUUUGAAAAAAAUAGUUUCUGAUAAUUAAUCCAAGUGGAGCCAUAUGGUUGGAUUAAUGGGACCACAUCAGCACACAAACGAAAACUAUUGACGAAAUUUUAAAGGAAAUACUAAAUUGAUGUGUGGUAGUGAAAGUCAUGGACCAAAUUUAUCGCUUUUUGAAACUCAGGGACCAAAAUGAGGAGUUAGAUCAAUGUUAGAGACCAUUAACGAUAAAAACCCUUAUUUUGUGUAAUCCACAUGUUACUAUUUCAUUGGACUUGUGGGUCCCACAUACAAACUAAUAGAAUAGUUGACAGAAUCUUAACGGAAUGACUAAAUUGAUAUGCGGUAGUGAAUGUUAGGGACGAUAUUGAUUUAUUUUGAAAGUGGGAUCAAAAUGAUGAGUUUGAUCAAUCUUAUGAACCAUUUGUGAUAAAAAUCCUAUAAACAAUGUUUUGAAAGGACGAGGAGCUAACAGUGUCUUUUUAUAUGACUUGGACUUGGAGUUCUGGUUGCAAAUUGCAUGCAAUGACUUCUUGGCGGGCAAGUUGCCAAAUCAGUUCGAGCAAUUAUAAGGAAGAUAGAUUUCCAAAUGCAAGAUUCGACACUACUACAAAGGGCCUUAUAGUGUUAGUGAGUGAUGUCGAUUUAAUAUAAUAUAGUGGCGGACAAGACAUUUAUGACACUUACGAAACAUGACGUUGGAUUUACUGUCGCUUGUAAGCAUCAUAAACUGUCUAUGUCGCUUUUAACCAACGUAAACAUUUAAUGUCGCUUAUGACCGACACACAUUUUAAUAAUUUUUAAAUAAUGGUGUCGUUUUAAAAAAAAUAGUGUCGCUUUUAAGCGAUAUAAAGUAUUAGUGUUGCUUCUAGCCGACACUAACUAUUGUUUUUAAAUAUUUUAAAGCUUGUGUGGGUUCUGAGCGACAUAGAUUUUAGUUUUUUUUUUAAUAUUUUGAAACCCCGAUGUUGGUUGAAAGUGUAACAUCCCACAUCGCCCAGGGGAGUGAUCAUUAAAUGUAUAUUCCCAUCCCUACCUAGCACAAGGCCUUUUGGAAGCUCACUGGCUUCGGGUUCCGUCUGAACUCUGAAGUUAAGCGAGAAUGUGGCCAGAGCACUCCCAUGAUGGAUGACCCACUGGGAAGUUGUUCGUGAGUUCCCAGAAACAAAACCGUGAGGGCGUGGUCAGGACCCAAAGCGGACAAUAUCGUGCUACGGUGGUAGAGCAGGCCUGGGAAGUGGUCCGUCCCAGGGUCGAGAUGUGACAGUAAGCGAUAGAUUGAUGGUACUCUCCCACGUGUUUUCUUCUGUCGUUUUCGUGUAACACUCGUUAAGAAAAAUAUAUUUUUUUUCUUAAAUUUGCACAUAACACACAUUGCCACAUAAAUAUUACUUCAAAACAUUAAAACACAUUUGUCAUUUAAGUACUACAUCUACACUUGAAAAUAAAGGUCUAAUAAACAAACAUCCAUACACUACUAGUCUAUUACAAAAUGUUAAAUGUGCAAGGAUAUACAAAAUGAAAGAGUUUUUUUUUUUCAAGGUUGUGAAGCCUUUCGCAAAAGUUUAAAUCUUGCCAAUGGAACUCAAAGCUUGCAUGUUAUUGCUUUUACAAAAUCCUCAAUUUUCAUUGAUCAUCAUGACAUAAGAUUUUGUGGUAUCCAUUUCUGUAAAUAUUUUAAAUUGACGAUCACAUUAGUUCAUUGUAUUCAUAUAGGAUCAAGGAGUGUAGCUGUAAAAAAUCAUCAAAAUCAGAGUUAAAAUAACCGUUAAAUCGUGAUUUUUCGUUUAUAACUGUCGAAAAGUUUUGUCUCGUUACUUGAUCUCUAAAUAUUUAUUUUUGCGAUUUUUGGCGUAUACUAUCUCGAAGUAUAUACAAACAUGUUUGACGGUUGGAUAGUUGAAACUAGUUUAGUAAAAUGCGUAUCCUAUCAAAACAAUAGAUUCACUAACACUUAAGAGCUUAUUCGUACUUUCAUUAAGUAUAACAUAAGAUUUUGUGAUAUCCACUAGUGUAAAUAUUUUAAAUUGAAGAUUGAGUUCAUUCAUUGUAUUCAUAUAGGGUCAAGGAGUGUAGUUGUAAAAAAUCAUCAAAAUCGGAGUUAAAAUAACCGUUAAAUCGUGAUUUUUCGUUGAUAACCGUUGAAAUUUUUUGUCCCAUUACUUGAGCUCUAAAUGUUUGUUUUUUUCGAUUUUUAGCGUAUGCGAUCUCGAAGCAUAUACAAACAAGUUUGACAGUUGGAUCGUUGAAACUAGUUUCGUAGAAUGUGUAUCCCAUCAAAACGAUAGAUUCACUAACACUUAGAGUUUAUUUAUACUUUCAUUCAUCCACUAGUGUAAAUAUUUUAAAUUGAAGAUCGAAUUCAUUCAUUGUAGGGUAAAUUACACCUUCAUACCUCAGGUUUGGGGUCUAUUUCAAUUCCUUACAACAUCUUCAAAACAUUUCACUUUUAUACUUAAGUACUAUUUUAUUUCAAAAUAAUACAUCCAUUACAUUUUCCAUCUAUUGAUCUAUUAAAUGCUGACGUGGUUGCCAAAUGUUUGCCAUGUGGCAAAUAAAAUAUUUUUUUAAUUUUUUUUUAAAACCUAAAUUUUCUCAAAAAAAUUGAAACCCACUAUCCCCCCAGUGACCCACAUCCUUAUCCCUAACCCAAAACCCAAAAAACUUGCAGCAGCAGCAACAAGAAGAAGAAAAAACCUGCAGCGGCAGCAGCAAGAAAAAGAAGAAGAAGAGGGAGGAAGAAGGAGAAGAAGAAAAAAAAAAACCUGCAGCAGCAGCAGCAGGAGGAAGAAGAAGAAGGAAAAAAAAUCCCAAACCCAGUUCGUCCCCCUCCCCCCCCCCACAACCCGCGACCCAAACCCAGUUCUUCCUCCCCCAUCUCGCGACCCACCUCCCUUCCCCCCCUCCGGCGUCGCGCCACCUUCCCCUUUUCCCCUUCCCCGCGGGUUAGGAUCUCGUGAUUUUCAGUAUGGGUGAGUUUUGAAAAUACUUUGAGUUUGAGAUGAUUUUUGGACUGGUUUUGUAGUAGAUCCACCUAAUGUCAGGUGGAAUUUUUGGGGGUGGGUGAUUGGGGAUUUUUGGGAGGGGUGAUAGGGGAUGGGAGAAAGGGGUGGCUUGGGUGGGAUGAAUUGGGGCUUUUUUUUUUGAGAAAAUUCAGGUUUUUAAAAAAAAUUAUUUUAUUUGCCACGUGGCAGACAUUUGGCUGCCACGUCAGCAUUUAACAGAUCAAUGAAUGAAAAAUGUAACGGAUGUAUUAUUUUGAAAUAAAAUAGUACUUAAGGUAUGAAAGUGAAAUGUUUUGAAGAUGUUGUAAGGAAUUGAAAUAAACCCCAAACCUAAGGUAUAAAAGUGUAAUUUACCCUUCAUUGUAUUCAUAUAGGGUCAAAGAGUGUAACUGUAAAAAAAUCAUCAAAAUCGGAGUUAAAAUAACCGUUAAAUCGUGAUUUUUUGUUGAUAAACGUGAAAAAGUUGUGUCCCGUUACUUGAUCUCUGAAUGUUUAUUUUUUGCUAUUUUUAGCGUAUGCAAUCUCGAAGCAUAUACAAAUAAGUUUGACGGUUGGAUCGUUAAAAUUAGUUUCGUGGGAGAUUAUUUAUACUUUCAUUAAGUAUAACAUAAGAUUUUGUGGUAUCCACUAGUGUAAAUAUUUUAAAUUGAAGAUCGAAUUCAUUCAUUGUAUUCAUAUAGGAUCAAGGAGUGUAGCUAUAAUAAAUAAUCAAAAUCGGAGUUAAAAUAUAUUAAUUAUUUUAUGUAUUUUAAGUAUUAAUUAGACUAUAUUUCAAUUAGAAUGUGAUGAUAUUAUAUAAUAAAAUUAUAUUUAUGUUUUAUAUUACGUAUUUUAUUUAUUAAAAUCUUAAAUGUAAAAGCUGGUUAUUUUUUCUUUGGAUUAAACAUUUUUUUAAAACUAGUAUGUUGUUGCUUUUAGCCGACGGCAUUGGUCGGAUAAUUUGAAAUAUUAGGCGGGAAAUUUCCCACUUGUUCUGCACGAGGAAAUGGAUGGAGAGACUUAAUGUCGGUUUUUACCGAAGCUAUCAUCUUUGAAUUCGACGCUAGUUUCAUUAAACUAACGUUACGUGAAUUUCAAAAGGUGUGUCAAAAUUAGGACCAAUGAGCUGUUGGAUCACUUGUUUACAUGCUCCAGUAUUAGGACCAGUGACCAAAAUGUCAUCCACAUAGAUGAUAAUGAAAACCAAAUAUGGAGCUUUUUUAAUGAACAGAGAAUGAUCACUGUGAGAUCCUACAAAUCCAAGAGAGUGAAGAGCCCCAUGGAGCUUCUCAUACCAAGCUCUCGGAGCUUGUUUUAAACCGUACAAUGAUUUGUGCAAGUGACACACAUAAGAAGGCUUAGUAGAAUCUUCAAAACCAGGAGGUUGGUGCAUGAACACUUAUUCAGAUAGGCUACCAUGUAAAAAGGCAUACUAACAUCAAGUUGGUUUAAGAACCAAUCAUACUGAGCUGCAAGAGUAAGGAGAAGCCGAAUAGUCACUGGUUUGGCAACAUGACUAAAUGUUUCUUUAUAGUCAAGACCUUCCUGUUGGUUGAAACCCUCUGCAACUAACCGAGCUUUAUACCGGUCAACAGAACCAUCAGGUUUCCUCUUAAUACGAAACACCCAUUUGCAUCCGACAACAUUCUGUGAAGAAGAUUUAGGAACAAGGGACCAGGUUCCAGUAGUGAGAAGUGCAGUGACUUCUUCCUACAUUGCUUUGCGCCAAUGAGGAUACUUUGAAGCUUGAAGAUAGGUUGCAGGUAGAUAAUCUACUGAAAGAUGAGAAGGUAAGGGGUGUUUAGUAGCAGUGAGGGCUUUAGGCUUGAAAAUUCCCGAUUUGGACCUUGUUUGCAUUGAAUGAGUGUUAAUGGGUUGGGUGGGGUUGGUGGUUAUAGGUUCGGAGACUGCUACAGGAGGACUUGGAAGACGAGUGAUGAAAGGAGCAGAGUGUAAGGAAGAAGGUAAAGGUGUAUUGAGGAAGUGAUAGGUGAAGUGGUAGGUGAAGAAUGAAAAGUAAAGGUUAAAGUUGAAGGAAUGGAGGAUCCGGAGCUAGAAGGUGAAUUUGUGGCAGGUUUGAGAGGCAAUAUAUGAUGAAAAGGAAAGCUGGAUUCAUUAAACAAAACAUGUCUGGAAAUGUACAGUCUUUUGGUGGCAAUAUCAAACUAUAGCCAAGAAAGACACAAGCCUUGCUUUUAGGAUCUAACUUGGCGGAUGUAUAAGGCUUUAACCAAGGGAAACACGCACAUCCAAAUAUUUUCAAAAAAACAUAAUUGGGUGGGCGAUGAAACAAUGAUUCCCAAGGAGAUGAUCUAGAAACUGUAGGCAAUCGAUUGAUGAGAUAGAUUGCAGUGGUAAAGGCCUCAACCCAGUAAAUGUGAGGAACUUUAGAAGCUGCCAAAAGGGUUCGAGCAGUCUCCACUAAAUGGCGAUGCUUGCGUUCUGCACACCCAUUCUGUUUGGGGGUGUGAGGACAAGUAAGUUGGUGCUGAAUGCCAUGUUGAGCCAAGAAAGUUGAGAAAAAGGUAUUCAAGAAUUCUCCACCAGAGUUAGACCUUAAGGCAAUAAUCUUUGUGCACAAAGCAUUUUCAACCAUAGAUUUGUAUUGACUAAAAGUGGACAGUACAUCAGACUUGUAUUUCAAGGGAUAGAACCAGCAAUAUCUUGUAUAGUCAUCCACAAAAAUGACAUAGUACUUGAAACCUUGAUAAGAUGUGAUGGGUAAGAGGCCCCAAACAUCAGUAUGAAUGAGUUCUAAAGGUUUGCUAGUUGUAGAAAUAGUAGAUACAAAAGGAAGCCGAGAGCAUUUGCCUAACGCACAAUCUGAGCAAAAAAACUUAGCAGCAUUAGGUAAAACUGAAAUACAAGAUUGAGAGACUAGUUUAUUGAUAAUCUUUACAGAAGGGUGACCCAAUCUGUUGUGCCAGAGAUCUUUUGAGGCUUUCACAAAGGCAGUAAGAGCUUUAGGAGAACCAGUUGUUGAGGAUGAGAAUGGAAAUGGAUAGAGACCAUGCUGAACAGGUCCUUUAAAAUGCAUCCUCCCCGAAGAAAGAUCAUUCACAGUGAAGUAAGAUGGAUAAAGAUGCAAUGAACAAUGAUUGUCAAUCAGAAACUAAUUUGCAGAUAAAAGAUUGUGUUUUAAAUCAGGAACAUAUAAGACUUUAUUCAUAUUAAACACACUAUUGGGAGUAUACAAAAUAGAAGAACUAGAGUGAGUGAUGGGCAAACCUUUGCCAUCACCAAUGUACACUUAUUCAGGACCAGUAUAGGCUUCAGGGUUUUACAGAGUAGCAUAAGAAUUGGUCAUGUGUGAAGUGGCUCCAGAGUCCACAAUCCAAGUAGGAGGGUAUGAUGAUGUGUUUGCCACCAUUGCUGAAUGAGAAGAUUUGCCACCAUAGGCCGGAUUCAUGCGAUGAGGAAAAUCACAAGCCUCAUGAUCAAACUGAUGAUAGAUUUGACAAGAGUUCUUCUUAUUGUAAGAGAAAGUAGUUCGACCUCCACGAUUAGAACGCUGAUUAGUAUUCUUAAAGUGAUUGAAGUUACUUGACCUUUGAUUGUUAAAGAAUCGGGAGUUGCCACAAUUGUGAUUACGAGCCAGUCUAUGGCCUUGAUUAGUGAAGGUAGAAGACUGAGCAACAAAGGCCUGAGAGUUAGGGUUUGAUGCAGGAAGUGGAAGAAUACUAGCAUAGGUUUGUAGAGCUUGAAACGGUGAUAAAUCAGAUCCACUUUUCUUGCAAUUGGCCAACUGGAUCUCUUUGCUGAGGAGCAGACUAUAUAGUUCAUCAAUUGUGGUGGAUCCAAGGCGAAAUUGAAUAGCAUCAACAAACGAAUCAUACUCAGGAGGAAGACUAUGAAGAGUGACCAAGAUCAAAUCGGAGUCUUCAACCGGAAAACCAGCACUAGCAAGGGCGUCAGCAAUGGUCUCAAUUUGCUGAAGAUAAUGAGCAGCAGUGGAUUCACCUUUGGUAAGAUUACGAAGGCGAGAUCGAAGCUCAUGAAUGUGGGAUUGAGAAGCCGUGGCAAGUCUGGAUUCCAAUUUCGCCCAAAGUUCUGAGUCGAAUUCACACCGACAAUAUAAAGAAUGAGAGAUUUGGAGAGCGUAGAGUUGAUCCAGAUGAGCAUAUUCUGAUCAUUCUCAUACCAAGAAACAUAGGCAGGAUUGAGGAUGCGAUUUCCUGAAGAAUCAAAAGUAAACUGAGGCGGCGCCGCCAUGGAUCCAUCAAUGAGACCAAUCAGAUUAUACCGACAAAAAAUUGGAGCAGAGAGAGCACUCCAGGUUAAGUAAUUGGUGGUGGUGAGCUUGAUCGGCACCAUGGAUCCAAUGUUUUGGAUCGUAAUGGAGGAAGAAACGAAAGAAUUAGGGUUUAAAGGUACAUUCGGAGAAACCGAUUCCGACGAAGGAGAUGCAGAGGUCGCCAUUGAUAGAUAACGAUGAAGGAGGAUCGAAGAACACAAACGAUGAUCAAGAAAUUAGAGACGAAGAUCGUGCUGCGACCAAGAAUCAGAGAAGAUCGCAUAAGGAAGCGCGACGGUUGGGAUCGAAGAAAGAGGAGUCGUGAGACAGAAAGCUGGGUGAUACCAUAUUAGGAAAAAUAUGAUUUCAUUUCAUGAAAAAUAAAAUUACACUUUGGGUAUUUAUAUACAAGUAUAUUGUAACCACUAGACAAGCAAAAUGUAACAAUCUAAUAGAAAACUUAACCACUAAGUAAUAUCUCUAGAUAGUGUAGUUACAAUAUUAUCCUUUAUACUCAGCUCACAGGUAUCAAACUUUCAACAGAAAUAUCUGAUUUGAUGAUGAUUUUGGGAAAUGGUUUCCUCACAAACCUGUUUAUUUCCAUCUCUUGAUUCUCCUUUGAUUUAUUUAAUCCAAAGACUAGAAAUAAAGAUGGGAGUCCAGGGGGAGAAUAUGAGUUUGCGGAAAUCACAUCCCAUGUUUACUUCUAGCUACUAACUUUUCUCUCAACUCAUUUGUAAAAGUCAUUGUAGCCGCAACAACCCAACAUAGAAUUCGGAAGUCUGAUGAACAAGAUGGUCACUCACGAACGUAAACUAGCGGUGCAGAAGACGAAGGUUUACAGGUCCUACUUGAAACUGAAUGAGAUUGAAAAGUACAUUGCCUACAUGGAAUGGUACAAGAAGUCGUCCAAAGAAAUGGGAAUUGGAUACUAUGACAGGUACAGAAACAAGCACUACAACAAAACAUUAUAUUUACCACGACAAUUUUAUCAUGGACUUUAGAAGCUCAUGGUAGAAAGGAAGCAAUUAUCACGGUCAAAGUCGGCCCGUGGUAAAUAUGAUUAAUUCAUCGUGGUUAUAUUCACGUCCGUUUUCUUUUAAGCAUUACGCGAGUGACAUUAUGGCCGAAGAGUACAAGAGGACGCUCUCAAGGUAUUGGCAUGACACGGUUGCAGAAGCUGGGAACAAGCGAGUAAUCCAGAUGCUAAGCCAAUGACCGAAUUUGAGCUUUACGUUCUGAAUAUGCUCGAGAAUUUCGCAGUUACGGUAGAUAUUUUCUUGGAGAAUAGUAGCUUCAUGCAUUGGUGGAACAAGUAUAAAGUAAUUGUGGGAAGCAACUACUCCUCAGCAUUUACCGAGGUCAUGAAGCGUAAGACAUAUCGCAAAUAUGCGGAUUGGGUCUCAAUUCGUACUGAUCAAUAAUCCAAGAUAAUUAAGUUUUAAGCAAGCAAUUAAAUCAGAUAAAGCAAGAUUAAUUUUGUUGUAUUGCUUAUGAUCUUCAUAGAGAGACGUGCAUUACUUUUUUUUAUUAUUUAUUUAAUUCUUUUUUUUGGAAAACCUCAACGGUACGAGAGGAAUUUUAUUGAUAACGAAAAAACAAGUUACACCUAGUCAGCGGGGACAUAAACCUUACCCCUAAAAAACAGAGACAACGAAAAGGAAUACACUAGAAAGAAGGGGGGAUAUAAAUCUUACCCUUCUAGAAACAAAAAACGAGAAUGAUACAAAUAAAAGAGGGGGGAACAUGAAACCUAACAUCUCUAGAACCAAACAUGAAGGUCUAAACCUGCAAAACAAGUUAAACAACACCAUAAAGAUAGGAGAAAAAAAAAGAAAGUGAGGCAAACCUAGAUGCCGACAUGCACAUUAAUUUGAGAAGCGGUAACCAGUCAAGUCAACAUAGUCAGAAAACAAAGCAGCACGAACUGCCAUCGAAGGAGAAUCAUGUCAUGUUAAAGAUGGAGAAGAAAAGCCCAUGUUCGCAAAAUUAUCCACAACAAGAUUUCCUUCGCGAUAUAUGUGAGGUGCGUAGAAAGUCAUUUUCCGAAUGCGAUCCAAACAAAUAGACCAUUGCUUAUUAAGAGGCCAAGGAGGAUCAAAAUUAGACGAUUGAUGAGCAAAAAUAACACUAGAACUAUCACUUUCCAACCAAAGACAAUGCCAACCCCGCUGAUAAGAAAACUCAAUACCAAUAAUAAUUGCUGAUAACUCUACAAAAAAAGAGUUGCAAUGACCAAUCCGUUGACAGAAACCUCCAAGAAAACGACCAUGGCAAUUCCUGAAAACUCCUCCACAUGCAGCAGGACCAGGAUUUCCUUUAGACAAACCAUCUUAAAUUUUGUGGUUUUCAACAUUUAGUACAUAAAGUUAUUUUUGUCCCCGAGUUAUACUAAAGUGUUAAUUUUGGGAUAGUCUCAUACAUUCGUUAGUAUAGCUGUUAAGUCUCCCGUUAAUUGAUGAUGUGAUGCUUAUGUGAACAAUAACUGGACGCCAUGUGUCAUUAAAAGGUCUACGUGGAAAUUCAAAAAAAAAAAAAAAUCGAAAUUUCAAAAUUCAAAAUUUAAAAACUUCAAAAAUUAAUAAAUUAAAAAAAAGGUGGGGAUAAUUUCUUCCUCUCUCACCGUCCUUUUUUCUCUCUUCUGCAAUUAUUGAGCUCUCUUUUGAAUCUCAGAUCCCCAGCAACCCUUGCCCUAGCGACCUUGUAACCCUCAGAAAAGGUUUGCAAACCUCGUAACCAUCGCCCUUUGUUAUGAUCCAAUUCUCUAAGCCCUUAAUCAAUUGGCAAGUAACAUAGAGGGUAGAGAGGAGGAGGGAAGGAGGAAGGUAGAAGGAGCAGAGCUCCAAUAUUUUUGUUUAUAUUUCUUUUUGUGUAAAUUCUCAUCUGAUUACAAUAGUGAGAGCUAGUGCUCUUAUACAAGUCACAACUCAUCAUGCCAGCUGGCUAAUUAUAACAAACUUCACUAAAACAGGAAUAGGCCUAAUAAUCCCAAGAUUAAAACCUUUAAUAAUGAUUAAGCUAAUCACUAAUUACAGAUCAUAUCAUUACUCACCCUCUUGAAAAACAACCUUGUCCUCAAGGUUAGGAUUAGCACUUGAAAUCUGGAACUUUUUCGCAGUGAAUUCAUCAUAAGCCUCUCUGCUUUUAUUGUCUAACCAAGGCACUGCACCAAAACUUGGAUUGCAAAAAUCUUGGUUGAUAUCUGCAACCCAUCCCAAAUGCUGAAAAAAAAAAGAACAAGCUUUGGAGAUGACUCCCCGCGAAGCCUUGAUGUCUUAGCUGGAAAGAAUUUAUCCCCGUCAUCGGAUGUAUGCAAAUUAUCCCUUACAAUCAAUUCUGAACCUUCCAAGCUGAGUCUCCUCGAAACAGAUGGGAAAUUUAUUAGAAAAAUAGAUCAGCCCACAUGUGUGUAAUCUAUAUACAAAAAAUCUCUCUCUUCAUUAGCCAAAUCGUUUCACAAAUCCCAAAACACAUAAUUAUAUCUUGAACAAUGCUAAUUAAUGAUUUCCCAUUUACUUAAGCCCAACAUCAACGCCAAUGAACUGAUGAAAGAGCGAAAAGGAGAAACAAAAAAACCUCAAUGAAGCAAUUAAAUGGAGAAUUACUUGAUAAUGCUGGAAAAUUACUACAAAAGGUUUGAAAAUUACCCGGUAAGAUUUAAAAAAAAAAAUAAAAAUAAAAAGAGUUGAUGUGGAGUGGAGUGGGAAUCACAUACCGCCAUCACCUUUAAAUAUGUAGUGCUCCCCUGAGAGAGCAUCAAUAGUGACUGUGCAGAGAAACAAAUGAUUGAGAAAUUCAAGCUAUGAGCUCAGAGUUGGGGCUUCCACUUUCCAACUGGGUAAGAAAUAAUAGAGAAAACACAGAGAGCCAAUCCACCAAAAAUAUUAAUCAAAUGGGUUUCUUCCAAUUCAAAAUUCGGACCACCCAAAUUCUGAUGAAGCAAUAACCAUUCAAAAUUCCAAUAGAUUGAAGCUCUCACAGACCACAAAUUAUCAAUACCCAGCAAUGAAAAAUUUGAUAACAGUAAUAAUGAAGGAAAAAGAAAUUAAAGCAACGAGCCAUUCUCUAAAUCUCAGGCACCAAUCCAAAUUUACAGAUGUGUUUUUCUUUUCUGUAAUCUGAUUAGAAAUUAUUAAAGAUGAUUACAUGAACCACCAAAUUCACCACCAAAUUUCAACAAAGAAGUAGCAAAGCACAACAAAAAAAAAAAAAAAAAAAAAAAUCAAAUAUUUGGCUUUCGGGUAGUUGAGAAGAAGUGAGAUUUAAUUACCUGUCAAAGGCUACAGUAAUUGGGAGCACAAUGGGGUGGCGAGGAGAUUGAACAGAUGAGGAAGCAAAGAACGAACAGAUCUCACAAAGCGAAAUCGAAAUCGCCAAUCGUGUUGCAGAGAACAGUUUUUUCCUUUUAGUAAAUAUAAUAUAAUAUAAUUUCUAUGCUAAAACCCAUGGUUCGGAGAAGAAUCUUGCAUGAUCACUAACAACGUAAGGGAAAAUCAAACUUCGUGGUGCUUGUUUUAUGAAUCUCUUUAUUUUUUAUUCCAAAUUUAAGAGUGUCUCACUUUUCCACAGUUUCUAAUCUGUUAUUGUUUUGGGAAAGUGGCUAAAAUGGUCUGAAAUCAUAUCUCAAUUCUCAAUUUAUGAACUUAUCAAAAUUAAAUAUCAACAACAUAUUGAAAAACUGAUAAUUUUAGUGAUUGGGUAAAAAAAUGAUCAUUUUAGCCAAAUUCCCUCUUAUUUUCUGUCGUCGUAAUUUUAGAUUGCAACUUUUGUAAGUUUUUCUGAUUUUGGUGUUGGUUUUUGUAGUUAAGAAUCAAGAAAUGUGUCACGCCCCGAUCUCGACAUUCGUCCAGGAUUGACACGUGACGUCACCAAAUACCUGUACAUCUACCAUACCACUCCUCCGGGAUACGGGCCAAACACAACUCACGAUCCAAAAGCGUAGUAAUUUUUUUCGUAUACUUUAUGGCUGCAUCUAACCUUCUCAUUAGAUUGCCUACGUACCCUAAACAGGGAUCAAGCCAUUCGUAGUUCGUCCUUCACUACCCUAGAACAAUCAUCACAUAAAUCAAUAUGUCUCAACAUAAUACCUUCAUCUAUAGCAUGUAACAUAUCAAAUAACCAAUGAAGCACAAUAAUAUUCUUUAGUCAUCAUGCCAUUCACCCACACAUAUGUUUUCCAACACCAUCCAACAAUCACACCAAUCAAUAACACAUACAAUACAUCGAAAUGCAGGGCUAGAGUGACAAAGUUCGGUCGAAUCCUACAUCCCUGAAGCUGAAAUCGAAUCCAAGGAGCCCAAACCACCCCUAGCCCGUCCCAUAUUCCUUCCCGAGCCCAGAGCUUAAACUCGAGCAACUCUCGGACCUCACAUCGGAGAAAACAGGAAAUGGAGAACUCCGGCAAGUUAUCAAAUUUUUCCGAUCGAGGUAAACUCGAAAUACCUUCAAUCUCUACCUUUUUGAUGUUCUGAUUCAAUUUUUGAGUUGUAUACGUGUUGUGACGACGUUUGGGUGCAAAAAUCAACUCUGGGAUGAACUCCUCGGUUUUCUGGCGAAGUUCGCAAGUUUCAGACCAUUUUUCUGGCCAAAACCUUUGGGCCAUUGUUCUAACCCAACCCAAUAACUCAGUUAACCUAAUCCAACCUAGCAAACCUAGCCCAACCCAGUGACUUGGAUAUGUGAAAUCGGCCCAAGCCCAGAUUCGUGGGCUAGAUCCGACUUGGGAUCCAGCCCGAUCCAAUUCCCAAAUGGAUUUGGAAUAUUCUUGGAAAUAUUCCUUGUGUUGACUUUUAUGAUAUUUUCUCAGGAACCUUCCUAGACUAAUUUCGACGCCUUGAGUCCCUUUUUUACAUCUAUUUAGUGAAAUUCUAAAGAUUUAGUGUAGUUGAUCAGCUCGGUGUCUCAGUUCACUUUUUGGGUCAAUUGUUGACUUUUUCGUUGACUUUUUACAAAAUUUACCCGAAACUACUCUUAGGGUAAUUUGACGCGCUGAUUCCGAUCCGCCAUCUGUUUCUCCAAAUUCAAAUGUUUUAAUUAAGUUUUUACUAAUGGGCCUCUAUUAUGCUUAGGUACUAUUUAGCAUUGGCGAAUUCGUAUUUACAUGUUCGAAUGGCAGUAACCUCGCAAGUACCUGUGAGUGGACCCCUUCUCAAAUUGCAUGCUUUCAUAACUAUUAGGCUUGCAUUCAUGAAAAUAAUAUUUUUAUAAUUCUAUAUUUUAUGAAUUAUUUAUGCUUUAUAUUUGAUUUAUAUUGCUUUCACGAAGUCUUUAUGAAUUAUCUUAAUAGCUUUUGAAGAAUUAUUUAUAAUCCAUUGGUUUAAUGUUUAUGAGAACUUGUAUUUAUGGAAAUCACGUUUAUGGAUUUAUAAGAUUUGAGAUAUGUUUUUUAUACUUAUCUAGUGGGUUAUUAUACAACACAUACACACAACUCGACUAUGUAGACUGACACACCCCGUUCCGAAGGAGGGCAUGCUGGCCGUCACGUAAGAGUGACGUAACCAUUUACACAGUUCGGAAGCUUUAAAGAUACAAUUACUAAGAUAUAACACCCGAGGGUGAAUCCUACUUUUGUGAAUUCUGUCAGAACACCGUUGGAUUCCUCGUGGCUACCAAAGCUCUGUUAACUUGAACCUGGAGGGGCGCAAACAAAAUUGAGUGGGUCAGUACAACAAAGUUUUUCGAAAACAUUUCAUUUAAAACAUUACUAACCCCUCGCCGUAAAACCUAAAUACUUUCCCAGAAAAUAACAUAAUAGUAUAUAAACAUAUAUAUAUAUAUAUAUAUAUAUAUAUCUAUAUAUAUCACCAAAAGCUCAAUUUAUAAUCCUUCAACGCUUUUCAGAAAGAAUAUGCCAUGCCAAGCCAUAUGCCAAAAUAUAAUAAAAAUGCAUCAAUAUAAAUCAGGUGAAAUAAUAAAUCAACCGGAGAUCCUACAGUGGUCCUGUACGGCUGAUUCUAUAGCUCAAUAUUCCAACCAGCCGGAGUCACCAACUGUGACCUGUACGGCCCUGCCGGAGUCACCAACUAUGACCUGUACGGCACUACACUGCACAUAUGCCGGAACUACCUAUAGUAGUCUGUACGACUAAGAUGGUGAAAUAAUACGCUCUAGUGCUUCUCUUAUUAAUCAUAUGUGCACAUAAUCUAAGGUCACCUACCAGUCGGAACCCCUCUAAUGGUCUGUACGACUGGCAUGUCGGAACCACCUCUAGUGGUCUGUACGACUAGCAUCUACUUGGAUCCUAGGUGAGCGUGUGAUGCAGGGUGAAUAACAUAAGCACUAACACCAGGGUUGCAGGUUACGAGCUCUCAACGUAAUUCACAUCAUCAUUCAUUCAUAUAAACCAUAUAAACUCACCUAAUACUCACAUGUGCGUCCACAGCACCAAUUCACAUAUAUAUAUGCAUCAAUAUCAAUUCAUAUAAUUUAUAAUAUGCAUCAUGGCAAUUGAAAACAUACUUUCAUAUAAUUUCAAUUUCUGGGACAAUUAAUAGUAUAUAGGUAAUACGAAAAAUAAAAACUGCCCACUCACCUGGAGUUCGCCCUACAACUCCCUAGCACAACACAUCAAGGCGUCAAGACGAUCGGCGCCUAGAACAAUAAUCAAAUCCAACCUCAGAAUCAUAUCGAUAGAAUAUAUAACUUAUAUAAAACACGUCAUUACGUAGUUCGAUCCGGAAGAUUUGCAAUUCAGAUUUCAAAUCCAUAACUUCCAGAGGUCCACAAUAUACCUCUAGGACAACAUCCUAAAAUUUCAUUAUCAUCCAAUGGUCGGAUCUCCGUCAAUCCCAAAACUAAGUGACGGUUAACAUUCUAUAUUAUGAACUUACAACUCCAAUUCCGAAAGAUCCAUAAAUCAGAUUCCCGAUCCGUAAUAUUUGAGGAUUAUAGGAUCGUGCUACGGUGGUAAAGUGGGCCGGGAUGUGAUCCACCCCGGGCCAGGAUGUGACAAAUGGUAUCAGAGCUAAUCCCUGGCCGGAAGUGUGCCGACGAGGACGUCGGGCCCCUAAUGAGGGUGGAUUGUAACAUUCCACAUUGCCUAGGGGAGUGAUCCUUAAAUGUAUAUUCUCAUCCCUACCUAGCACGAGGCCUUUUGAGAGCUCAAUGGCUUCGGGUUCCGUAGGAACUCCGAAGUUAAGCGAGAAGGAGGCCAGAGCACUCCCAGGAUGGGUGACCCACUGGGAAGUUGCUCGUGAGUUCCCAAAAACAAAAUCGUGAGGGAAUGGUAAGCCCAAAGCGGACAAUAUCGUGCUACGGUGGUAGAGUGGGCCCGUGAUGUGAUCCGCCCCGGGCCAGGAUGUGACAUAGACGUCUAUGGCCAUAGGACACAGUUGAGGAUAUUUAUGACAUACUCUCAGCUUCAUUGAAAAAAUCAGUGUUGGACAGCUUCACUAGCCACGACUAGUGUCGGUGUGUUAUGUUUAUAGUUAUAUUCUCUUCUCUAGCAUAACCCAGAGUCGUACAGCUUCACCUUAGGGUGAUGGGACCUACCAUGUUUCUUCACUAGCGUAACCCAGUGUCGUACAGCUUCACCUCUGGGUGAUGAUUAUGCCUUCAGGCGACUAUGAUACCUAUAGUUGAGUAUAUCACAGAGUUUAUUUACAAGAUUCUCAUAUCUACCUUCGGGUGUUACGAUACGAUUUCCAGAGAUGAUUUUAUCGUUACAAAAUUUUUAGCAUGCUAGAGUUUCCAGAAAAAACUAUUAUGUAGUAUUAUAUGGGUUUUCAAAUAGAGAGUUAAUAUGUUCAGAAAAAGAAAACGGUUUUAGUAUUAUCACUAUUAUUAUAAAUUAUGGUCCACUCACCCUUUCAUUCUUGUGCCUCUUUUAGGAUUUAGAAUCGAGGAGCAUGAUCCCGGCGUCAGUGCACUUCCGCAUAGGUAUCUUCGAGUCUUCUCAGUGUAUGACCUAUUUCCCUUGUUCGUACCUUUUUAUAAUAAUUCAUUCACAUUAUUCUUGCUUAGUUGUAGGUUUUGAACACGUUUCUUUCUUUAUAGUUACAUAUUUUAGUCACUUUCGUUUACUGAUACCACUUGCAUGCAUGUUAAAAUGGUUUCGUCACCUUCGGGUGUCAGCUAGCACGUGCCUACCCUGGUAUUUGAGGAUAUCGGGGUUGGGGCAUGUCAGCCUGGGUGGUCGUACUAUGCACAGGGGCGCGUGUGGGCCAGCAGACCUUGGGCCUACGCUGCGUGCUGGGCUAGUGCUUGCUCCUCAUGGGUCUAGGCCUAGCUAGUAGUGAGUUGGGCUCGACUGGCAACGAGUUGGCCUUGGGUCGUCUGCCCAUGGGCUCAUAUUGCUAGUUGGCUAGCGAUCUUUCGUGCACCUGGACCUGCUGCAGUGGCUUAUGCCUCAUUCCUUGGGCCUAAUAUGGCAGUUGUCACGCUUUCGGCCUCUUACAUGUGGUCCGUGAGUUCAUGUUCAGUGCAAGUGGCCAUUGUAGCACGCGUCUGGGCCUCGGCUUGGGCUGCUGUUGUGAAAUCACAUUCUUGGAUUUCACUAUUAUAAUUUCCAUGCUUCAUAUUCGUGAAAUUUUAUAUUAUUUUUUUGCAAAUUUAAUUUAAUUUAGUUAAUUUAGAAUAUUAAUUCCCUUGUUACAAAGUUUGAAAUUUUGAAAAUAAUCAUUUAAAAUUUGUAGACCUUUUAUGGUCAAAAUUAAUGUUUUCAAAAAGAGAUCAAUCAUACGAACGUGUAGGCGAAGGCCGUUCACGAAUCGAAGCUAUAACAAAGAAGUUAUGAGCAACGGAAGUUUGAGAUAAAUGUUAAUUUAGGACUUUCUCUAAAUGAAAGGUUACUAUGUUUAUUUGGAAGAGGGACCAAUUAGAUUGGGGGAAAGCCCAUUUAAUGGGAGGAUGGACCAAUCAGAAAGGGGAUGAGGGUUAACCAAUCAGAAAAGAGAGAACCAGCAGAGCCGGAUCCUCCCUCAACCCGCAUGACUCGGUUUCUGGCGACUUUUGCUUCCUUUUCUUUUGUCGAUUUUUUUGACGAGUUGGAGACAUCCAUCACCACCACAUGACUCACUAGCCUCCCCUCUUCAAUUCUCAACCAAACUCAACUCAGUUUUACUCUAAUUUCAUGAUGACCUCAUUCGGCGAGUCCAUGAGUCCUGUGUUGGUGAUCUGCCGUUUUUGAAAGUUAUUCUUUUGACCACCACCACCCACAGACACCCCUUAAGCCCAGGAACAUGACCCAAACAAGUUUGGGAUGGGCAGAGUAACAAAGAUGACGAAUCAAAGUGCACCAUUUUUAGGGUUUUCCGAUGGAUCAUGGUAUUAUCAGGCCUUAGACCUCGACCCAUGUAUAAAACUUACUCCCUUCUUCAAGAUCUUUAUUUUGGUAUACUUUGAGAAAUUUUGGAGUUAGGUGGAUUUUCCGGCAAAUCAGGGCGAUUAACCACCUCGUGCGGUGGUGCAUGCCGGUGGCGCGUAGCUCGAGGACCCAGUUGAUCAUUCUUGAGUACAUUCGAUGUCCAAUUCCAUAUUUGAUAUCCGAUUGACAAAAUUUUGUUUCUUGAACAUAUUUUCGUUAGGGUUGUUUGUACCAUACUUGAUCAAUCCCGAAACUACCGAGCAUCGAUUAACGUUAUACCGUCAAGGACCCAGAAGAGUUUCCCACUAACCAGGAGGCCAAUCACAGCGAGACACGUGUCGACAUCAGAAGCCAAUUAUAGCAUGACACGUGUCAACAUUGGAAGUCAAUCACAACACGACAUGUGUCAAUGUCAGAACAAAGCUAGAAACUCUCUUCUAUAAAAGGAGAUCAUUCUCCCACAAUAUUGCCUAAUGUCACUUGUACUAAAUCAUUCACUAGUACUCACUAAAGGAGAGCUUGAACCUAUGUACUUGUGUAAACCUUUCACAAUUAAUGAUAACUCAUCUACUCCGUGGACGUAGCCAAUCUGGGUGAACCACAUAUAUCUUGUGUUUGCUUCAUUGUCUCUAUCCAUUUGCAUACUUAUCCACACUAGUGACUGGAGCAAUCUAGCGAAAGUCACAAACUUAACACUUUCUGUUGUACCAAAGUCCUCACUGAUUUUAUGCAUAAACAUUUGGCGCCGUCUGUGGGAACGACACUUAUUCCCACUCUCUUCAGCUUUGUCAAGCUGGUUUCCACCAUUCGUACACUCUCUUUUGACCAAGCAUCCCUCUCUAACAUGGGGAGCGAAAGAAGCCACAGCACACAGAAUGACACCCAUCUUGCACCUAGUGCGAAGCAACGAAAGAAUGAAGGAAAGAGGGUUGCUCUUCAAGCUAAAGUAAAUGAGCUAGAAGCUCAGAACAACAAGUUAGCAAUGAAGAAUGAGGUCCUUUAGGAGCAGUAUGAGAAGCUCUUUAAGACUCUCCACGAAACUAGGCGUACUCAAACACGCGAGCUCGUUACCCCUGUGGACAUCAACCAUCAUCUGGAUGCCCCCCAACACAGAGGGUCACAUUCAUUCGACAUGGGUAUCCCUGAUAAGGAGUGAGCUAAUCAUCAAAACAUUGAUCAACAUGAGACUUCUCUUAACCCAGCUGCUUCGACCUGAAGCAGGAGAAGUGGAGGAAGACACAUCCUUGUAGAAGGGUUAGAAAGAUCGAAAGCCGUUUAUCGUGACUGCCGAGACUUCCUAAAGUAACGUCGAGAGAAUCCCUCCCCCACAUAAGCUCGAAGAUCAAUGACCCAAGAGUUUCUAAAAGACUCGGUCCUCUCCCACGACCCAGGCCAGCUGCCAAUCUAGGGAAGGAAUGACAUGUCCCAGAGGAACAUGAAGGUACAGAAGACUCGGAGGUAUUCCGACAGACUCACCUUAGAAGUCAAUACGGCAAGUCCAAGGAAAAACCACACGCUCUUGCUCAAACUUUCCUACUUCCAAAAGGCGAUGGAAACUUGCGGAAGAAAAUUCCAGUGGUACAUGACUCCACUCAGGACCCCUUUGUCCUACAGCUUCUUGAAGAAGUAAACAAGUUGAAGGCCAAACAUCAGGCCGAGAUACCUGACUGGAACCAACCCAGGCCUGACCCUCUCACAAGAAGGAUCCUUGACACCCCCUUCAAGCGAAGACAAAACAAAAGCUUGAUUUACAACUCUAUACUGAAAUAGAGGACUCGAUUGAACACCUUAACCUCUUUGAGUCCACCAUGGCAUAUCAGAUGCUCUAAACUGAUGACUUGUACAAUAUUAGCCAAAAGUUGGAUGAGUUACUACGUUCAGCCAUAAGUAUUCUCGCUGCGUUGAGGCAGAUGACAAGACCGCCCUCAAGGCCUACGUGAUUGUUUCUUCAAGUACAUGAUCAAUGCCAACACUUAGAGGACUUACUCUGAGGUGAUGGCACAGGCUUACAACCACGCCUCUGCCUAAGCAAGGACAUACCAAAGGAACCCCCAUAUGGUUAACCCCUAUCAACAAGUAGGAAGUGGAAGUCAAGUUCUACCAAGUGAGGAUAUAUUGACCAUUCAGACACCCAUUGCAUUAUCUCCUAGCUCAUUUAGCUACUCGCUAAGUCACCAAACGUAUUUGUCUCUUGGUAAGAGGAAUGAUUUUUACUCUCAGCAAGCCCAUUACAACAAGAGGGAUAAUAGUUCGUAUCAAGACAACCAGGGGUGAAUGUACCAUUGACUAUUAUGACUAUGGGGCCAAGCCUCACUCUUUCAAAGCAGAGGACUAGGUACUGAAGGAAAUGCUAUUAUAAGAAGGCAUAUACAUUACAAAUGUUUUGACCCUUAAUCGCUUGAGAUAUUUUGUCACACAAGCCAUUCGGCAACUAUUUAAAGAAGAAGGAAUUCAGACAACUUCUCUUGAGUCUUUUGCAUUCCUAGCACUGGAACACUUGGUCUAUGCUGACUACCCCUAUACUCCAACUCAGAGCUUCAACAUGCAUACUUUGACACAAAGUAUGUGAUACUAAGUGUUACAACCAACAUGAUUCACAUAUCGAAAGCAUGGAUCCCUUCAUGCAUAGCAAAACAUUCAUAAGCAUCACUCAUGUCAAUCAACAUAAACAUCAUACGUUCCAAUACAUUCAUACAUAAACAUCAUACAUUCCAACACAUCCAUACAUAUGCCAACUGUGCUUCGAAAAGGUUCAACAUACUUUGUGUCAUUCAACAUUUGCUACAAUGUGCCUCGACACCUUGUCCUUAUUCUAACUAACCAGGUGAUGAAAUGUAAAAGAAGGAACUCAUCUUCAUGCCACCAACCAGGUGAUGAAAUGUACAACCCGUACUCUAAUAUCAUUUGGCAACUUGCCACUCAUGCCACCAACCUGGUGAAGAAGAAACUCAUCUUCAUACCACCAACCAGGUGAUAAAAUGUACAACCCGUACUCUCCUUCAUGCCAUCAACCAGGUAAUGAAAUGUACAACCCGUACUCUAAUAUCAUUUGUCAACUUGCCACCCAUGCCACCAACCAGGUGAAGAAGGAACUCAUCUUCGUGCCACCAACCAGGUGAUGAAAUGUACAACCCGUACUCUUCUUCAUGCCACCAACUAGGUGAUGAAAUGUACAACCCGUACUCUAAUAUCAUUUGGCAACUUUCUAUUCAUGCCACCAACCAGGUGAAGAAGGAACUCAUCUUCAUGCCACCAACCAGGUGAUGAAAUGUGAUGAAAGGUAAUGAAGGAACUCACCUUCGUACCACCAACCAAGUGAUGAAAGCAACUCACCAUUCAUUCCACCAACCAAAAGACGAGUGGUACAACUUGUACAUGUGAACUCCUAGCAUUCACAAAUAAUAAAAAACCCUCAAGCUUCACACAGUCUUAUGCCUAACAAGAGUUAUAGUCACCAACAAAGUCUUAUUGCAAGCCAACAAUGGCUUCAGUGCAUGGUAUACGAAGAUCAAGCUCUUCAGCCCUCUUGCAUCUGCUCCAGACAUUUCUCUUCUGUAACAAUGCCAACACUACAACUCGUAGAAAGCUUCACACACUCUUGAUCAAGAUUGUUCGAAGCAAAUUAAAUUUAUAUGGUUCAUCCAAACCUUCGACUACUACAAGGUGUGGCUUGCAUCACAAUCUCUUGCUCAAUAGUGUAGAAGCAAAAUUUGUAAAUGUUAUCUCUCCCACAUUUUCAAAUUUCUAGUUUCCAAAAAAAAAAAAAAAUUGGGAAAUUCAACAAAACUUCAUUAAUGGAGGACAACUACAAAUUCUCAAAAGCUUCAUACUAUCUUGAUCAAGAUAGUGUGAAGCAAAAUCAAUUCAUGGUACCUAACAAAGCUUCAACCUCAAAGCUUCACAUACAAAGCUUCAACAAAUGGAGGGCAACUACAAAUUCUCAAAAGCUUCACACUAUCUUGAUCAAGAUAGUGUGAAGCAAAAUCAAUUCAUGGUACCCAACAAAGCUUCACCUACAAAGCUUCACCACAAAAGGUUCACCAACAAAAGCUUCAACAAAUGGAGGGCAACUACAAAUUCUCAAAAGCUUCACACUAUCUUGAUCAAGAUAGUGUGAAGCAAAAUCAAUUCAUGGUAUCCAACAAAGCUUCACCUACAAAAGAUUCAACACCAAAGCUUCACCUACAAAAGCUUCAACACCAAAGUUUCACCUACAAAAGCUUUACCUACAAAAGCUUCAACACCAAAGCUUCACCUAUAAAGUUCAACACCAAAGCUUCACCUACAAAGCUUCAACACCAAAGCUUCACCUACAAAGCUUCAACUCCAAAGCUUCACCUACAAAAGUUUCAACCCCAAAGCUUCACCUACAAAGCUUCAACAUCAAAGCUUCACCUACAAAGUUUCACCUACAAAGCUUCAACAUCAAAGCUUCACCUACAAAGCUUCAACUCCAAAAGUUGCUUCACCUACAUAAGCUUCAACUCCAAAAGCUGCUUCACCUACAAAGCUUCAACUCCAAAGCUUUACCUACAAAAGCUUCAACUCCAAAAGCUUCACCUACAAAGCUUAUAUAUAUAUAUAUAUAUAUAUAUAUAUAUAUAUAUUUUUUUUUUUUUUUGAAAAUUCGAAAAAAAUAAAAUAAAAAUUCCAAAAUUUGAAGAAAAAAAAAUUCAAAAAAUUCAAAAAAAAAGAAAAGAGAGCCUAUACCUCACAUUUCUUUGGGCGUAACAACUUUCAUAACAAAUGUACAUGAAAGAGAGGGGUUUUGGGGCUACCACUUAGAAAGGAAAAUGGUGAAGUUUUGUUACUUUUGAAAACUUGGCUACUAGCAAGACACCUCCUUCGUCAACUCCCUCGACCGAAGACUUGGGGGACUCCUACCAUAAGCUACUACACCUCGGUACUUAGAAGUUUCACGACUACUCAGUGACUUGGAUCUUUCAAGUCUCCAAACGAGAAGUUUUCCUCACUCGGGAAAUUAAGGGAGCACUACCUUAACCUACAUGCUUCACUCACAAAGCUUCAACAUACAAGCUUCAACAAAAGAAAAAAAAAUUAAAGAACUUAGUGAAGGAGGCCUUGGUGUAUUUAACACAAUACGUUGAAAUGAAGCAAAGCUUAUUUAUUGAUAUCUCCGAUAAGUUACAAAUAUGUAUAUAUACAUGAAUCAAAAUAAACAAACAAAAGGGAGCCUUCACAAAAGUUGCUCAGGAGAAGUCUCAGCAGUCGGCAGAGCCCCAGAAAAAGAAGGCACCAGAGGGUGAUCAUUCGGAGCCUCAGUACUGGACAGAACCCCAAAAUGAGGAGGCAUCAGAGGUUGAUCAUUUAGAGCUUCAUUACGCGAUACAGCCCCAGAAGACGAAGGCAAUAAAUGCCUUUGGAACAAACCCACAAACCUCUGAUGAUCAAGCAAAAUCUGACCAUCAGAUUCCUGCAUCUGGUUAAGCUUUCUCUUCAUGUUUGUAACAAAGUCAUGUGCGAGCCUGUGCAAUUGUUUAUUCUCAUGCUUAAGCCCUUUAAUCUCCUGUUUGAGACUUAUCACUUCAGCCGCCAAUGAUUCAACUUGGUGGGUUCGAGCAAAUAGGCGUUGGGCCAUAUUAGACACAAAACCUGCACACUGAACACUGAGAGCCAGAGAAUCCUUAACAGCCAACUCAUCAGACCAUUUGGAAAGUAGUCUGUUAUCUUUGGGAGUGAGAAGGUUCCUGGCCACCACCGCAGCGGUCAUAUCAUUCUUCAUCACAGAGUCCCCAAUGGUAAGAUGACCAGUAAGGGAUAAGAAGGAUGGGCAUCAUAUGUUGUCUUGAAGAGGUAUGGUUGCCUCUUCACCAAAGUUCAAGUCAAAACGACGGUCGGAUGGGCCAGACAUUUUCAGAAAUGAUGAAAGAGAAAUGAGGUCCAAUAAAUCUCUGAAGUACGAAAAUAAAGGGAAAAUUCCUACAAGCAAUAACUAUUUAAACGUACUUCUUGCACAUAAUUGGUGGUCCUAUAAAAGAAAGGGCAGCAGGGCCGUUUGUUCAAAAAUAGAAGAGGCACCAUUAUCUGGAUUUCGAGAAGCAGAUUUUUCCUGAGUAAAAUAUGUCGACAAUCCCCACACACAACAUCAGCUCAUCGGGUACCACAGAUAACUUUUGCGAAAGAUCUCUGACAAAGUUUAUACACAUAAAUUUUGAAGGUCCAGCUACCUUACCAUUACCCACACUGGUAAAGGAACAGCACCACUGCUUGAUAACUGGAAAGUCCCUAUGUGUGUCAACCUCCGUGCUCCGUGGCAAGGUACACAACAAACAACAACAACAAAGCCUUUUCCCACUAAGUGGGGUCGGCUAUAUGAAUCCUAGAGAACGCCAUUGCGCUCGGUUUUGUGUCAUGUCCUCCGUUAGAUCCAAGUACUCUAAGUCUUUUCUUAGAGUCUCUUCCAAAAGUUUUCCUAGGUCUUCCUCUACCCCUUCGGCCCUGAACCUCUGUCCCGUAGUCACAUCUUCGAANAAAGUCUUAUUGCAAGCCAACAAUGGCUUCAGUGCAUGGUAUACGAAAGAUCAAGCUCUUCAGCCCUCUUGCAUCUGCUCCAGACAUUUCUCUUCUGUAACAAUGCCAACACUACAACUCGUAGAAAGCUUCACACACUCUUGAUCAAGAUUGUUCGAAGCAAAUUAAAUUUAUAUGGUUCAUCCAAACCUUCGACUACUACAAGGUGUGGCUUGCAUCACAAUCUCUUGCUCAAUAGUGUAGAAGCAAAAUUUGUAAAUGUUAUCUCUCCCACAUUUUCAAAUUUCUAGUUUCCAAAAAAAAAAAAAAAUUGGGAAAUUCAACAAAACUUCAUUAAUGGAGGACAACUACAAAUUCUCAAAAGCUUCAUACUAUCUUGAUUCAAGAUAGUGUGAAGCAAAAUCAAUUCAUGGUACCUAACAAAGCUUCAACCUCAAAGCUUCACAUACAAGCUUCAACAAAUGGAGGGCAACUACAAAUUCUCAAAAGCUUCACACUAUCUUGAUCAAGAUAGUGUGAAGCAAAAUCAAUUCAUGGUACCAACAAAGCUUCACCUACAAAGCUUCACCACAAAAGGUUCACCAACAAAAGCUUCAACAAAUGGAGGGCAACUACAAAUUCUCAAAAGCUUCACACUAUCUUGAUCAAGAUAGUGUGAAGCAAAAUCAAUUCAUGGUAUCCAACAAAGCUUCACCUACAAAAGAUUCAACACCAAAGCUUCACCUACAAAAGCUUCAAACACCAAAGUUUCACCUACAAAAGCUUUUACCUACAAAAGCUUCAACACCAAAAGCUUCACCUAUAAAAGUUCAACACCAAAGCUUCACCUACAAAGCUUCAACACCAAAGCUUCACCUACAAAGCUUCAACUCCAAAGCUUCACCUACAAAAGUUUCAACCCCAAAGCUUCACCUACAAAGCUUCAACAUCAAAGCUUCACCUACAAAGUUUCACCUACAAAGCUUCAACAUCAAAGCUUCACCUACAAAGCUUCAACUCCAAAAGUUGCUUCACCUACAUAAGCUUCAACUCCAAAAGCUGCUUCACCUACAAAGCUUCAACUCCAAAGCUUUACCUACAAAAGCUUCAACUCCAAAAGCUUCACCUACAAAGCUUAUAUAUAUUAUAUAUAUAUAUAUAUAUAUAUAUAUAUUUUUUUUUUUUUUUUUGAAAAUUCGAAAAAAAUAAAAUAAAAAAUUCCAAAAUUUGAAGAAAAAAAAAUUCAAAAAUUCAAAAAAAAAGAAAGAGAGCCUAUACCUCACAUUCUUUGGGCGUAACAACUUUCAUAACAAAUGUACAUGAAAGAGGGGUUUUGGGCUACCACUUAGAAAGGAAAAUGGUGAAGUUUUGUUACUUUGAAAACUUGGCUACUAGCAAGACACCUCCUUCGUCAACUCCCUCGACCGAAGACUUGGGGGACUCCUACCAUAAGCUACUACACCUCGGUACUUAGAAGUUUCACGACUACUCAGUGACUUGGAUCUUUCAAGUCUCCAAACGAGAAGUUUUCCUCACUCGGGAAAUUAAGGGAGCACUACCUUAACCUACAUGCUUCACUCACAAAGCUUCAACAUACAAGCUUCAACAAAAGAAAAAAAAAUUAAAGAACUUAGUGAAGGAGGCCUUGGUGUAUUUAACACAAUACGUUGAAAUGAAGCAAAGCUUAUUUAUUGAUAUCUCCGAUAAGUUACAAAUAUGUAUAUAUACAUGAAUCAAAAUAAACAAACAAAAGGGAGCCUUCACAAAAGUUGCUCAGGAGAAGUCUCAGCAGUCGGCAGAGCCCCAGAAAAAGAAGGCACCAGAGGGUGAUCAUUCGGAGCCUCAGUACUGGACAGAACCCCAAAAAUGAGGAGGCAUCAGAGGUUGAUCAUUUAGAGCUUCAUUACGCGAUACAGCCCCAGAAGACGAAGGCAAUAAAUGCCUUUGGAACAAACCCACAAACCUCUGAUGAUCAAGCAAAAUCUGACCAUCAGAUUCCUGCAUCUGGUUAAGCUUUCUCUUCAUGUUUGUAACAAAGUCAUGUGCGAGCCUGUGCAAUUGUUUAUUCUCAUGCUUAAGCCCUUUAAUCUCCUGUUUGAGACUUAUCACUUCAGCCGCCAAUGAUUCAACUUGGUGGGUUCGAGCAAAUAGGCGUUGGGCCAUAUUAGACACAAAACCUGCACACUGAACACUGAGAGCCAGAGAAUCCUUAACAGCCAACUCAUCAGACCAUUUGGAAAGUAGUCUGUUAUCUUUAUCUUGGGGAGUGAGAAGGUUCCUGGCCACCACCGCAGCGGUCAUAUCAUUCUUCAUCACAGAGUCCCCAAUGGUAAGAUGACCAGUAAGGGAUAAGAAGGAUGGGCAUCAUAUGUUGUCUUGAAGAGGUAUGGUUGCCUCUUCACCAAAGUUCAAGUCAAAACGACGGUCGGAUGGGCCAGACAUUUUCAGAAAUGAUGAAAGAGAAAUGAGGUCCAAUAAAUCUCUGAAGUACGAAAAUAAAGGGAAAAUUCCUACAAGCAAUAACUAUUUAAACGUACUUCUUGCACAUAAUUGGUGGUCCUAUAAAAGAAAGGGCAGCAGGGCCGUUUGUUCAAAAAUAGAAGAGGCACCAUUAUCUGGAUUUCGAGAAGCAGAUUUUUCCUGAGUAAAAUAUGUCGACAAUCCCCACACACAACAUCAGCUCAUCGGGUACCACAGAUAACUUUGCGAAAGAUCUCUGACAAAGUUUAUACACAUAAAUUUUGAAGGUCCAGCUACCUUACCAUUACCCACACUGGUAAAGGAACAGCACCACUGCUUGAUAACUGGAAAGUCCCUAUGUGUGUCAACCUCCGUGCUCCGUGGCAAGGUACACAACAACAACAACAACAAAGCCUUUUCCCACUAAGUGGGGUCGGCUAUAUGAAUCCUAGAACGCCAUUGCGCUCGGUUUUGUGUCAUGUCCUCCGUUAGAUCCAAGUACUCUAAGUCUUUUCUUAGAGUCUCUUCCAAAGUUUUCCUAGGUCUUCCUCUACCCCUUCGGCCCUGAACCUCUGUCCCGUAGUCACAUCUUCGAACCGGAGCGUCAGUCGGCCUUCUUUGCACAUGUCCAAAUCACCAGAGCUGAUUUUCUCUCAUCUUUCCUACAAUUUCGGCUACUCCUACUGUACCUCGGAUAUCCUCAUUCCCAAUCUUAUCCUUUCUCGUGUGCCCACACAUCCCACGAAGCAUCCUCAUCUCCGCUACACCCAUUUUGUGUACGUGUUGAUGCUUCACCACCCAACAUUCUCUGCCAUACAACAUCGCUGGCCUUAUUGCCGUCCUAUAAAAUUUUCCCUUGAGCUUCAGUGGCCUACGACGGUCACACAACACGUCGGAUGCACUCUUUCCAUCCAGCUCGUAUUCUAUGGUUGAGAUCUCCAUCUAAUUCUCCGUUCUCUUGCAAGAUAGAUCAUAGGUAACGAAAACGGUCGCUUUUUGUGAUCUUCGCUAGAUUGCUCCGGUCAUUAGUGUGGAUAAGUAAAUAAAUGGAUAGAGAUAGGAAAGCAAACACAAGAUGUACGUGGUUCACCCAGAUUGGCUACGUCCACGGAAUAGAAGAGUUCUCAUUAAUUGUGAAGGGUUUACACAAGUACAUAGGUUCAAGCUCUCCUUUAGUGAGUACGAGUGAAUGAUUUAGUACAAAUGACAUUAGGAAAUAUUGUGGGAGAAUGAUCUCGUAAUCACGAAACUUCUAAGUAUCGGAGUGUGGUGUCGUCUUGACUUGCCUUAUCUGUCUCAUAGGUAGAUGUGGCAUCUUCUCUGGAAGUACUCUUCCUCCAUCCAGGGGUGGUAUCUUUAACUGGUGGAGAUGCACAAGGUAAUGUAUCAAUUUCACUUGAAGCUUACUUGUAGUUUCAGGCUUGGUCAAGCGCGAUACAAACCAUGUAGUAGAAGUCCCCCAAGUCGCCGAGCUAGGGGGUCUGCUGAAAGAGGUGACAGACAAGGUAAGCAAUCAGAGCUCCGACUGAUUGUUCACCUUCUCCCCAUCUUGCAGCAGCAUGAAGGAUAAAGAGAAGAAAAAUGAGAAGAGAUGAUAUGAGAUACUUUUGCUUUUGAAGAAGUAACUUUCCACAGGCUUAUUCUUGAACUAAGCUGGAGGGUUUUCUGGUUUCCUCCAGAGUAUAAGGCCGACUGAAGAAUUUGAGGGUCAAAACAAGUCCAUCAAAUCUAGAGUACGUUCCACCCUGCUGAUAUGGGAUACUUUUGCUUUUGACAGAGUAAUGGAUGUAUCGGCACGUGUGCUGUUACGCUUGUCUCCACAUGCUUCCUUGUAUCCUUCGCACUUGCCCUAUCUGUUCCUCAAGCAGAUGCGGAAUCUUCCCUGGAAACAUAAGAUGUUGAAGAUGAGUACUCGAGAGCAAUGCCAGGUAAGUAAUCAGGUAAGGGGUUCCAGGCAGUCAGUUCCUGGCUGGAAGCUUGAUUCCAAGUGCUGACUGAUUGCUCUCUUUCUCCUUGUCUUGCAGGUAAAAACAAGGCCAAAAGAAAAAACAGGAAAAAAAGCAUGAUAUGGGAUACUCUUGCUUUUAACCCUGAUGAUAUGAGAUAUUCUUGCUCUAGUAUAGCUUGUUUGCAGAGGUAUUAUCGGGGGGGAAAAGAAAGCUGAAUAUUUCGAAAGGCUUUGUUGGGAGUGCCCUCUCAGAUAUGAUGAAGGGUUGAGCAUUUUUGCAGGUCUGCCUGUCCGUUGGGGAUGGAGGUCGACAUAUAUAGGAGUCUCCCUAACAACAAGUAGUAAUGCUAUUCCUUUACCCUGCUUGGUCAUAGCACGGUAGUGGGAGCUGCCAGUUUCACAUGUUUUAACUCUGUCAGAGCACUUUGAAAAAAGUGGUCUGUGGUAUCUGGCUCUCGAGAUUCGAAGAACGAUGCCUCUUCGAUUUUUGAGAAAGCAAUCAUGUUGGGGGUCUGACUCUCGAGAUUCGGAGAGUAGUGUCUCUUCGAUUUUUGAGGAAGUAAUCAUGUUGGGAGUCUGGCUCUCGAGAUUCGGAGGGCGGUGCCUCUUCGAUUUUGGAGCAAGCAAUCUUGUUGGGAGUGUUGUCUCGAAUGUGAGUAAAGGUUGGACAUGUUUGCUAGUCUACCUUGCCACGAAGCACAAAGGUUGACACAUAGGGACUUUCCAAUUAUCCAGCAAUGGUACUGUUCCUUUACCCUCUCUUCGAUUUUGAGAAAGUAGUCAUGUUGGGAGUCUGACUCUCGAGAUUCGGAGGACGGUGCCUCUUCGAUUUUGGAGCAAGCAAUCUUGUUGGGACUGUUUUCUCGAAUGUGAGUAAAGGUUGGGCAUGUUUGCUAGUCUACCUUGCCACGAAGCACAGAGGUUGACACACAGGGACUUUCCAAUUAUCCAGCAGUGGUACUGUUCCUUUACCCUUGUGGGUAAUAAUAUGGUAGCUAGACCUUCAAAAUUUAUGUGUCGACAUGACACAGGAUCGAGCACAAUGGCGUUCUAAGAUUCAUAUAGCCGAUCCCACUCAGUGACUUGGAUUUUCCAAGUCUCAAACCAAGAAGUUUUCCUCACUCGGGAAAUUAAGGGAACACUACCCCAACCUACAUGCUCCACUCAGAAAGCUUCAACAUACAAGCUUCAACAAAAGAAAAUUCAAAGAACUUAGCGAAGAAGGCUUUGGUGUAUUUAACACAAUACGUUGAAAUGAAGGAAAGCUUAUUUAUUGAUAUCCCCGAUAAGCUACAAAUAUGUACAUAUACAUGAGUCAAAAUAAACACACAAGAGGGAGCCUUCACAAAGGUUGCUUAGGAGAAGUCUCAGCAGUCGGUAGAGCCCCAGAAAGAGAAGGCACCGGAGGGGGAUCAUUUGGAGCCUCAGUACUGGACAGAACCCUAGAAGGAGGAGGCAUCAGAGGUUGAUCAUUUGGAGCUUCAUUACGCGGUACAGCCCCAGAAGACGAAGGCAAUAAAUGCCUUUGGAACAAACCCACAAAUCUCUGAUGAUCAAGUAAAACCUGACCAUCAGUUUCCUUCAUCUGGUCAAGCUUCCUCUUCAUGUUUGUAGCAUAGUCAUGUGCGAGCCGGUGCAACUGUUUAUUCUCAUGCUUGAGCCCUCUAAUCUCCUGUUUGAGACUCAUCACUUCAGCCGCCAAUGAUUCAACUUGGCGGGUUCGAGCAAAUAGGCGUUGUGCCAUAUUAGACACAGAACUUGCACUCUGAACACUGAGAGCCAGCGAAUCCUUAACAGCUAACUCAUCAGACCGUUUGGAAAGUAGUCUGUUAUCUUUGGGAGUGAGAAGGUUCCUGGCCACCACCGCAGCGGUCAUAUCAUUCUUCAUCACGGAAUCCCCAACGGUAAGAGGACCAGUUGGGGAGACGAAGGAUGGGCGCCAUAUGUUGUCUGGAGAAGGCGGGGCUGCCUCUUCAACAAGGUUCAAGUCAAAACGACGGUCGGAGGGGCCAGACAUUUUCAAAGGUGUUGGAGAGAGAAGAGGUCGGACAAAUCAAGAUCUUAGAAGUGCAAGAAUGAAGCUUCUACUGGUGGAGAUUCAAGUGUGCUUUGGAACUUAAUGUCAGCCCCUAUAAAAAUCUGCACUCGACGGAGCUUCAGAAAUCAAAGAGGCGCCUGCUCAGAAAUCGAAGAGGCGUUUGCUUUCUCAAAAGUUGGGCUGCUUAGAGAUCACGAGGGUUGAUCUCAGAAAUCGAAGAGCCGUUUGCUUUCUCAAAAGUUGGGCUGCUCAAAGACCACGAAGGCCGAUCUCAGAAAUCGAAGAGGCGCUCGCUUUCUCAAAAGCUGGGCUCCCUAGAGACCACGAGGGCCGAUCUCAGAAAUCGAAGCUGCACCUACUUUUCCAGCCUUGUCAGCACCUGUCACACGCACACUCAGCUUUGCGGAAAUUAUGGGCAUUCUGUCAAAAGACUUCUGGGGAAGUAGAAAACACAUGAAUCUUACUGUUCAAUCACCCACUUCCCACACGCAACAAUAGCUCAUGGGUACCACAGAUAACUUUGCCAAAGUUCUCUGCCAAAGUUGAGCACGUGAAGCUUGCAGCUCCCACUACAUCGCUCUGACCAAGAAGGGUAAAAGAAUAGCAAAGAAACAGCACUAACAAAGUUUAGACCCAUAAAUUUUGAAGGUCUAGCUACCAUAUUAUUACCCACAAGGGUAAAGGAACAGUACCACUGCUGGAUAAUUGGAAAGUCCAUGUAUGUCAACCUCUGUGCUUCGUGGCAAGGUAGACUAGCAAACAUGCCCAACCUUUACUCACAUUCGAGAAAACACUCCCAACAAGAUUGCUUGCUCCAAAAUCGAAGAGGCACCGCCCUCCGAAUCUCGAGAGCCACUCUCCCAACAUGAUUACUUUCUCAAAAAUCGAAGAGACACUGCUCCCCGAAUCUCGAGAGCCAGACCCCCAGCAUGAUUGCUUUCUCAAAAAUCGGUGAGGCACCGUUCUCCGAAUCAAUCGAAGAGGCGCUCGCUUUCUCAAAAGCUGGGCUGCUCAGAGACCACGAGGGCCGAUCUCAGAAAUCAAAGAGGCACCUACUUUUCUAGCCUUGUCAGCACCUGUCACACGCACAUUCAGUUUUGCAGAAAUUAUGGGCAUUCUGUCGAAGACUUGCCCAACCUUUACUCAUAUCGAGAAAACACUCCCAACAUGAUUACUUUCUUAAAAAUUAAAGAGGCACCGCUCCCCGACUCUCGAGAGCCAGACUCUCACCAUGAUUGCUUUCUCAAAAAUCGAAGAGGCACCGCUAUCCGAAUCUCAAGAACCAGACUCCCACCAGGAUUACUUUCUCAAAAAUCGAAGAGGCACCGCUAUCCGAAUCUCGAGAGACAGACUCCCACCAUGAUCGCUUUCUCAAAAAUCAAAGAAGCGCCGCUAUUUAAAUCUCGAGAGCCAAAUCCCCAAUAGGAUUUCUUGUUCAAAAAUUGAAGAGGCAACGCUCUCCGAAUCUCAAGAGCUAAAUCCCCAACAGGAUUGCUUGUUCAAAAACCAAAGAGGCACCGCUCUCCGAACUUCGAGAGCCAGAUUUCCUUGGAUAGAAUUUGUCUGCAAUCUUCACACGCAACAUCAGCUUUCCAGAUACCACAUACCACUUUUUCAAAGUGCUCUGACAAAGUUACACAUGAAGCUUGCAACUCCCACUACAUUGCUAUGACCAAGACGGGUAAAUGAAUAGCAUUACUAUUUGUUGUUAGGAAGACUCCUAUAUAUGUCGACCUUCAUCCUCCACGGACAGGCAGACAUACAAAAAUGCUCAACCCUUCCUCAUAUCUGAGAGGGCACUCCCAACGAAGCCUCUCGAAAUACUCAGCUUUCUUCCCCCCAAUAAUACCUAUGCAAACCAGCCACACCAGAGCAAGAGUAUCUCAUAUCAUCAGGGUCAAAAGCAAGAGUAUCUCAUAUCAUGCUUUUUCCCUUCCAUUUCCUUUGCCCUUGUUCUUACCUGCAAGACAAUGAGAAAGAGAGCAAUCAGUCAACACUUGGAAUCAAGCUUCUAGUCAGGAACUGACUGCCUGGAACCCCUUGCAUGAUUACUUACCUGGCAUUGCUCUCGAUUACUCAACUUCAACAUCUUAUGCUUCUAGAGAAGAUACCACAUCUAUCUGAGGAACAGAUAGGGCAAGUGAGAAGGAUAUAAGAAAGCAUGUGGAAACAAGCAUAACAGAACACGUGCUGAUACAUCCACUACUUUGUCAACAGAAAAAGUAUCUCAUAUCAUCAGGGUCAAACGUACUCUAGAUUUGAUGGACUUGUUUUGACCCUCAAAUUCUUGAGUCGGCCUUAUACUCUGGAGGAAACCAGAAAACCUUCCAGCCCAGUUCAAGAAUAAGUCUGUGGAAAGUUACUUCUUCAAAAGCAAAAGUAUCUCAUAUCAUCUCUUCUCAUUUUUCUUCUCUUUAUCCUUCUUGCUGCCUGCAAGAUAAGGAGAAUGAGAACAAUCAGCCGGAACUCGAAAUCAAACUUCUAAUCUGGGACUGAUUGCUUGGAACUCUGAUUGCUUACCUUAUCUGUCACCUCUUUCGGUAAAUCUCCUAACUCGGCGACUUGAGGGACUCCUACUACAUGGUUUGUAUCGCGCUUGACCAAGCCUGAAACUACAAGUAAGCUUCAAGUCAAAUUGAUACAUUACCUUGUGCAUCUCCACCGGUUAAAGAUACCACCUCUAGAUGGAGGAAAAGUACUUCCAGAGAAGAUGCCACAUCUACCUAUGAGACAGAUAAGGCAAGUGAAGAUGAUACCACACUUCAGUACUUAAAAGCUUCAUGAUUACUCAGCUGCUUGGAUCUUGCAAGUCCCCAACCGAGGAGCUUCCCUCACUCGGGAACUUAGGGGAGCACUGUUUGUACCAUACUUAACCAAUCCCGAAACUACCGAGCACCGGUCAACGUUAUACCGUCAAAGACCCAGAAGAGUUUCCUUCCAACCAGGAGGCCAAUCACAGCGCGACACGUGUUGACAUCAGUAGCCAAUUAUAGCGCGACACGUGUCGACAUCAGAAGCCAAUCACAACACGACACGUGUCAAUGUCAAAACAAAGCUAGAAACUCUCUUCUAUAAAAGGAGAUCAUUCUCCCACAAUAUUGCCUAAUGUCAUUUGUACUACAUCACUCACUAGUACUCACUAAAGGAGAGCUUGAACCAAUGUACUUGUGUAAACCCUUCACAAUUAAUGAGAACUCCUCUACUCCGUGAACGUAGCCAAUCUGGGUGAACCACGUACAUCUUGUGUUUGCUUCCCUGUCUCUAUCCAUUUGCAUACUUAUCCACACUAAUGAUUGGAGCAAUCUAGCGAAAGUCACAAACUUAACACUUUCUGUUGUACCAAAGUCCUCACUGAUUUUGUGCAUCAACAAGGGUCUACCACUUGAAUAUUGUAACAUUGAGAUGUGGAGGCAAUUGAAGAUUAGAGUUUGAUUAUCAAGGAAAUGGAAACAAGCUUCAGGCUUGGUUUGAGAUGUGGAGGCAACUGCUGAUACAUAUAUGUUUGGAUGUUAUGUUUAGAAUUAUUUAAUUUUGCAUUGACAUGGUUAAAAUUCUAGAAAGAAAAAAACAUGAGAUUAUUCCUUGUUAUGAUGUUCAAGAUAUGAACUGUGAUAGCCACAACUAUUAUGUCGUAUUUUAGAAGAAUUACUUGUUGCCUUUAGCAACAAUUUGAUUUUGUUGAAAAGAAGGAAGAAAGAUGCUAUUUGUGGCAUUUGUUAUGCUAUUUGUUUCAUAGGAAAUCUGGAAAAAUCUACCAUAAAUCCCUCCAAUUUUUUUUUUCGUCAGCAAAAUCAAUUCCAAAUGAAAGAUUAAUGAGGCUUUCAAAAAAAAAAGUUUAAAAAAUGAAAAUGCUCAAAGUCCAAGCAUUCUCACCAAUUUAUUUUAGUCAUUAAAAGUAUACUUAAUGAGGUUUUCAAAAUUCUAGGCACAUUAAAAACAAUAUAAGGGAAAAUUCAGAAAUCAUAUUAAAAUAAUUAAAAUAGAUAAAUCAGAAAUAUGUAAGGAGUGUGGAUUGAGAUUUUGGGGGUGUCAAUAACAGCUUCCUAUGAAAUUUUCUUGGUUAUUCUGUACUAAAAUAUAUAAAUACAAAUAUAUAUAUAUAGAACUGUUAUUAGCACUCCAAAAAUCUCAUUUUACACUCCUCACAAGUGUAUUUUUCUUUCCAAUUAUAGAAAGUUUGGAGGGUCAAAUGAAAUUUUUGAAGUGCUAAUAACAAUUAUAUAUAUAUAUAUAUAUAUUUGUUAAAUAGUUUUAUUAUUUUUUUAAAUUUUGGAAAAUAAUUUAUAACGGACAUUAGCUGUGGUCAAUUAGUAAUCGACAAUGGUCAUAGCACAUGGUGUUAAACCCCAAUCCACCAAGGGUACAAUCCAUGGUUAUAUUGCAAUUGACAACGGGUAUAGCCUAUCCUAGAAAUUGAGACUUUUUAUUACAUCUAGAAUACUAACGGACACAGUAUCCGUGGUGGAUUGUAAUUUAUCACGAGUAGGGGUAGUAUUGGUACAAUUACCGUACCAAAACCCAUGUACCAACCAUAUGAUAUGACAAAUCUAUUACCAUUACCAUGCCAAACUCUCGGUAUACCGAAUUUCGGCAUGCCAAAUGGUUUGAUUGGCAUGGUAUGGUAAUGAUAAUUACCACUUUGUUUUGGGCCAAAAUUUGAUUUUUUCUUUUUCUUUUUCAACCCAAUUCAAGGCCCAAACGUGUUUUGGCCACUCUUUUUGGCUUUCUAAAACUUUUUAAUUUAAUUAUGAGAAUUUUAUAGAGAUUCAUUUAAGAAACAAGAAGUAAAUAGAUAGAAGAAUUGCUGAGAAAACCCAACAUCCCUAAAAAAAAUAGUACAAAGAUUCUUAAAUUCCAUCUCUACAUUCUUUGUACAAAAAUUAACUUGAUAGACGAAGCUAGGGCGAAAGACAUCCCAAUUUGAUGAAGGAGAAGAUGAGAUGGACUGCGAAAAGAGAGAGUCGCUGGAAUGGGAGCAAUAGAGAUGAAGCAUAUGGCUAAGAGUCGCAGAGCAAGAAGGCUUAUGUUUUUAUUGGGAAAGUAGAGGUUAAACGGUGAGAUGAUUUGAUAAAUGACUAGGAAAAAAAAUAUAACAUGCAUAUAUAAUGAUAAUAAUACAUAAUUAUAUAUAUAAAUGAAUAAAUAAAUGAUAUAAUAUUAAUAGUAGUGGCACGGUACGGUAUACCAUUGGUAAGUUUUAAGUAUCAUUAUCGUACCGAAAAUGUAUGGUACGAUAUAAAUACCAUACCAUUACCAAUGGUACAAAUUUUUUGACACAACUUUAGUAUGGUACGGUUGGUAAUUCAGUUGGUAUGAUAAUUUGGCAAAAAAUCCACCCCUCACAGGCAUUCAUCGUAAUGGAUGGACUUUUUUUUCCUAAUAUAUACCACUUAUGUUACGAGCAUAAAGAAAAAUUUCUCUAAACAAGGAGCAAGUGGGAAUAAUAAAUCUCAACUUUAGCACGUAAACGUAGAUAACAAGACGAGUAAAAGCAUCGAGGCAACGUUCUCCGAGAAGCUUUCAGGAACAAGAUCCGUUGACCACGAAGUAGACUUUCCUGUGCAUAGUCGACUUGGUGGGAGGUUUGCUCGUGGGGCCAUUUGAUUGGUGGGACAAAGACGUCCGUAAUUAUAAUUAUAAUGAUAGGAUUGAUUCCUCUACUCUAGAUUGAAUUGGAGCUGAAUGAUUGAAUUUGUACGGCCCUGAUUGGGCGGAUUCCGCAUUGGUCAUCAUGGCUUUGAUUGAUUAAAUGGACGUCCAGCUAGCUUGAAUUGGAACUGAAUGAUUGAACUUAAACGGUCCUGAUUGGGCGGACUCCUCUUUGGUCAUCAUGGCUCUGAUUGAUAUCAGUAUAAAGAAAGACAUUGACCAUUCUGGUUUCCAAUUCUCUCCAUCUACUGUUUUUGAGCAGAUCGGCAAAACUUGAAGAUGAACAAGUAAGUCAACUUCAAACUCCUCCGAUCCUUAUUUUUCUUUGAAUCCUUUGUCGUUGAUUGAUCUUAUAUUGUCUUGAUUAAGCAGACAUUGUUCUGAAAUGGCUGAAGGUGUUUUUUAAAAUCGUUGAUUGAACAAGUUAAAGCUCUUACGGUUAAAUCUGGCAAAAGAAAAUUACAAAACGCUUUUAGAUAGUGUAAGCUCUUUUCGGAAAAGCACUUGCUAUGGCUAGACUUUUACCAAACACAAUUUUAGCUCCAACUUUUCUAAAAACUGUUUUUAAAAAUAAAAUUGAGCAACCUCAGACCCGCCCAUGUCAACCUUCAAGUUUUCAAGUGCUUUUUGAAAGAGCACUUGAGUAUUUAAUAAAUAUGUCUAAUCUGUUCAUAGUAAAAGAGAACUGCUUAUGAGUAGAGUGUUUCUUACGAGUACAAUGGCUUUAUAAUCGUCCUUAUAAUUUACCAAUGUGUUUUGCUAAAGUGACUUCACUAGAAAUACGACGAAAGUUCUUUAGAAAACACUUCUCCGACUCGUGUACAUUUUUAAGUUUUUCUUUCAAUAUAAUGAAAAACACUUUUGAUCGUUAGAGUGACAUUGUUAGCUAUUUCAAAAACAGUUUCAAACGUAUUUGUUAUGGUUGGGUGUUAUUGGCUUACAUCCUCCAUUUAACUUUGCUUCAAUAUUUUGUUGGUGAUGACAGUAUUAGCAGUGCUGGGCUUGAACUAGCAAAUGUGCUGGUGACUUCUCCUCCCCUGCACCAGUCAUGGGCAGCUGUUCAGAAGCAAAAGCUCAACACAGCUCCUGAUCCGAAUACGCAAACGGCCUUAUAUGUUACUGAAACCAAGCAUUCAAACACCACCAUCAUAUCUUUUCUUACUUCACCCGUCAUGCUUCAAGAUCCACAAGCAAUGAUUUCGUCGUUGACUCUGAGGGACAAAAAUUUUCCCCUCUUUGAGUUUUUGUGCAGCAAAAACGCCCCAAUUUUCUCCGUCAAUGAAUUGGCAAUCGAAUUCUUCGCCUUGAAUCACAACGACCUCAACCUCGAUCUUCUGAGGACAAAGGUGCAUAUUGUUGUCUCUCUGAUAACUGAUUGUGUUUAACUGCUUAGACUAUUAAUGUUAGUGAGAAACAUUUAAAAAUCAUGUUUAUAAAUGUUAGAUUAUGUUGGCGCGAAACACUUACAAACCCUUGAUUAAUACUGUUAUAAGGGGCAUUUAUUGCAUCGUAUUAUCUCAGACUUGACUAGCUUGCUUGGUUUGGACUUAAGCAUGAUAAGAAUAGGGGCUCAAAAAAUUAAUUUCAAUUUUCUUUUAGUUUUUUUACUUCUCCCUCCACCAGUUACACACCUCACUCAAUAAAAUGUCCUACGAACACCAGAACUUCACUAUGCACUACGUGCAACGAACAUAAUUAUAUUUUCCACUUUGUAAUUGUGCAGAGACUUUCAUAAUUUUCUUUCAAAUUAACACUACCAAUCUUUAUUAGAACCAAAAAAUGGAAAAACUUAUUGAUUUGCACAAUUUACUAGAUUUUAAAAUUGCCAGAUACUUUUUAUGAAGGGAAAAAAAAACAAACUUUAACGAAAAGCAUUCGGUACUGUUCACUUUAACGAAAAACCACAUUUUUGCCCUAAAAAAUCAAUCCUGGUACUAUUCACUUUAUCAUUUAUUUUGUCCUUAUCAUUAAAACUCAAAGUUUUCAAGUCUCUUUCAUUAGUUUUCUUAAAAAAAAAUUAUGCGUGAACAACACUUCUCACAAAAAAAAAAAAUAAUGAAAUAUAUAAAUACAUACCAAAGUAAAUGUUUGCACACACUAACAUGCAAUAUAUGCAGUUUUUCAUUUUGUCAAACAAAUACAACAUAGCACAUUAAAGACAUUUUGUAAAUCCUAUGGGUUGGUUAAUAUGGGCAACAACCUUGGGUUUGGUUGUCAAGUACUUAGCAGGAUCUUCGAAAUUGUUCCAUAACACUGCUCCGAAAUUGCAUUCUUUAAUCCCUGCUUGCAAAUGCAAAAGUGGUUAUCAAUCGCUCCCUACUACUGUAAAAGGGAGAUAAUGAUAGAACUAAUUCAAUGUGAAAAACUAUAAGCUUCAAUGAAAUCAAAUGACAGGAGAAAAUUAAUGCAAGUCACCACUUCUUGAGGAUGAAGAGGGAGAGCAUCGAUGAAUAUUUUACUUCAAAUUAAGGGAUUUCUUCUAAGGAGGUUUAUAGGGUUACCUAUUUGCAAGAUGACAUUUAUGUAAACCUGUGUGGAUAACGGAGAACAUGUAGUUAAUAUAUUAUAGUUGAGAAAAGCUAUCUUUCUUCUUGUAGUUCAUUUGUAAAUUUAUAAGAAUACCUCAUGUUUAUGUAUUACCAUCACCCAGCUUUAAACCAUAUAAACAUGUGUGGAUGACUGAUUUUGUAACGUAAAAGAUAGAAAAUCAAGAUGACAUUUAGAAGUCAAGAUAAGUAGGAAAGGGAUGCAAAAAAGAAGUGGGAAAGGGAUGCAAGAUAAGUGGAAGUCACAAAGCGGAUAGCUUUUCAUAUGGCCUCAAGGUUGAUAAAUUUACAAUGGUUAAGGAUGCAAAUCCGAUAUCUCCAUAAGUUUGAGUCAGUAGAGGCACUUGAAAAUAGAAUGAUAAGAUGGUAACUUCAUUCUGGUUAAUCGAAUGUUUUAGCUAGCAGCAAGUGGGUCAAGGCUCGAUGCCAAAGUCAUAAACUAUGGUUUUAAAGCACAUUUCAGCCACCAAAACCCAGAGUACUCAUGUCAAAUAUUAACAGCCAAAAUCCUGAGUACACACGAUAAACUAUAAUUCAUUAAUGGGAAUGAAACAUCUGAGAAAAUGUGAACUCAACAACCAAAACCCAGUGUACCCAUGUCAAAUAUUAACAACAAAGGAAUUUAUGUAUGUAUGUCAGGAAUCAAACAAAAAAUUAUCACCCAAAAUAAAAAUCAAUCAGGGGUGCUUUAUGUAAUAGGAAGCCCAGAACCACUGUUCUAAGUGUUAGGCGGUUGGCCACCACCCCGAUUAAUGCCUAGACAUUUGAAAAUUAAGAAAGGGCGUAUUGACUUGUUGAGGCACCCUCCUAGACCGCCUCGAGACCCGCCUAGACCGCCUAACCCGUCUAGAUCUGCCUAGGCAUCCGCCUAGGUCACAACUCACUUAAACAGAAAAUAGAUCACUUUCAUUUUGCAUUUUAUUUUUCAAUAAAUUGUAAGAGACUUGUUGCAUACUUAAAUGAACACACAUUAUAUCCUUGUUCCCCAUGAUUUCAUUAUGUUUCAAUACUUCAUAAUGUAUAUGUCAUUCUAUUUUGUAGUUUAUGAUGAAAUUAUAUAUAUUUUAAAUAUAAAUACGUACUUAUUUACACGAAAUAUAAUAGAUUUUACUUAAAUCCGCCUAGUCCGCCUAGGCCCCGUCUAGCCGCCUAGGUUCUUGGUCCAAACCCGCCGCCCUACUAGCGCCUUUUAGAACCUUACCCAAAACAAAAUAAAAAAACGGCUAUAUGGGUUAUAGAUCAGAAAAUGGUGCUUUUGCAUGCUCAAAAGAUUGUUAAAAGGCCAUAAAAUGGUGAUUAUUAUGUAACCAAAUUGGAGAAUUUUGGAUAAGAUUAAACAACAAUAAGCAGGGAACAAAGAAAAAAUUGCAAUCAAUUUACAAAAACUUAGCAAUAAGUUCACAUAAGGAAAAAUAGCAGAUAAAUUGGGUAGCAAUCAAUUAAAAAGCGCACCCAAUCACAGAACACAAAUGUACACGCACCCAAUUUUUGUGCUAGAAAUUCAAAAUUUUUAGAGAUUUCGCAUGCAAACAAUGAAAUCAAUCAAAACCCAAUAAUAAUUACGAUCUGCAAAACAAAAUUGAAGAAAUUGAUUGUCAAAUUCAGAAUUUACCAAACAGGACGAGGAUGAAGGAGCGGGACGAGGAUGAGGGAGCAGAAUGAGCAUGACCAGGAUGGGUUAGCAGGACCAGGACGAGCGAGCAACUGUCUCGAAGAUGGUCGUAGCAAUCCGAUGAUAUUGGGGUUCUCGCUAAGAACUUCUAGUGAAGCAGUUUGUUGGAGCAAGUUUGACUUAAUCCCAUUAAACUUAAUUCUUCUGUCUAACAAACACAAGAUUACACUAACAAUUAGUCCUAUUCAGUUCAAUGAGAUCUAGUGAGCCUAAACAAACACACCCUAAGAGCUUAAUGUAGUAACAGUUGAGUCCCUUCCCCCUUUAAAGAAAAUUAAUGAAAAAUGCUUCAAAACUUUACAUUUUAAUAAAAAAUUAUUUAGUAACUUUAUUUAAUGAUAAAGAUAAAAAAAAUAAAAAAUUUAAACAUGCAUGUGCCUAGCCCGCGUCCCCCUCUCCCCCCCCCCCCAAUAUAACCAAAUAAGAAAAAGUAAAUGAAAACACACUACACAUACAUAUGAUAUUAUGUAUGAAUUAGCUAACUGUAACAACGAUGACACCUAUUUUUAGGCCUUUGACAAAAUAAGUUAACACAAACACACGUCUGGUGCUAUAAUCUCGUAAGUUUCACAAACAGUGUAGUACUAUUAAAUUUCAUAAACAAUGUUAAGUUUCAUAAACAGUAUAGUAAGUUUCAUAAACAAUGUGUAUGUAGACGCACGGUCCCCUGCGUUAGUUUUUUUUUUUUUUAAAUUAUGUCUUUUUCAUUAAAAUUUAAAGUUCUUUUGUCAUUUUUAUUAAAGUUUAAGAGUUUUUCAUUAAUAUUUAAGUAUUUUUUAUUAAAUAAAGUUAUAGCAUGAUUUUUUGUUAAAAUAAAUUUAAUCAAAUGCCUUUUCAUGAAAGUUCCCUUUCUUUAUUGUUUCAAAACCGAGUUUUAAGUAUUUUUUUUUUUCUAAUAUGAAUGAAGUUCUGAGGACCUUAUUCGUAGAGACGUCUCCGAACUGAUUAAAUGGCAGUUCAGUAAUUGACUAACUUUUAUGUAAUAUUUCAGCUGGUAGAAAGAAGCAAAUCCAACUCAUUGGUACUUGUCACUGGACAAUCUUUUGGAGGCGCUGUAGCUACCCUUUUCACCUUAUGGCUGCUAGAAAGCCUCGACUUAUCGAAAGUGAAACGUCCCCUUUGUAUCGCUUUUGGUUCACCUUUGAUCGGUGACAAACAAUUCGGACAAUGUGUGUUGCAAUUCCCAUUGUGGAGUUCUUGCUUCUUGAAUGUAGCCUCCAUCGAUGAUCCUGUACUUCAAUUCUUCCAAACCGCUUCGCAAGCGAGUGGUUAUAAGCCUUUCGGAACAUUCCUACUGUGCUCCUCUUCGGGUGGUUCUUGCUUUGAGGACCCUGAUGCCAUUUUGCAACUAUUGGUGGAAACCAGCUCUCGGUGUGCCCAAAAUCCAGGUCUGAAUUCAGGGAUUCAGUUGUUCGAUUACGGAAAGAUUUUGAAUGAUCUCAAGACUAAGGCAUUGUCUAGAGAUGUCUUUGAGUUGGUUGAAGAGGAUAGAGUUCCACUUAAAGCUGGAAUUAAAACACAGUUGGCAGCAAUAUUAGGAGUUCUCAGCUCACAGGUAUCAAACUUUCAACAGAAAUAUCUGAUUUGAUGAUGAUUUUGGGAAAUGGGUUCCGCACAAACCUGUUUAUUUCCAUCUCUUGAUUCUCCUUUGAUUUAUUUAAUCCAAAGACUAGAAAUAAACACGGGUGUGCAGGGGGGGAAUAUGAGAUUGCGGAAAUCACACCCCAUGUUUUGCUUCUAGCUACUAACUUUUCUCUCAACUACUUUUGUAAAAGUCAUUGCAGCAGCAACAACCCAACAUAGAAUUCGAAAGUCUGAUGAAAAAGAUGGUCACUCACGAACGUAAACUAGCGAUGCAGAAGACGAAGGUUUACAGUUCCUACUUGAAACUGAAUGAGAUGGAAAAGUACAUGGCCUACAUGGAAUGGUACAAGAUGUCGUCCGAAGACAUGGGAAUAGGAUACUAUGACAGGUACAGAAACAAGCGUUACGCGAGUGACAUUAUGGCCGAAGAGUACAAGAGGACGCUCUCAAGGUAUUGGCAUGACACGGUUACAGAAGCUGCGAACAAGCCCCGGCAAGAAGGAGCCGCAAUGCCAGCCCCUUUUCUUUUUGCUGGAACGAAUUACAGAAAGAUGAUCGAACCACUUUGCAUUGCAGAGUACUACAAGGAAGGUGGAAAAGAUUACAUAGAGGAAAGGCCUGGACAUUUCGUUCUUUUGGAGCAAUGGUACAAUGAAGAGGAGGAAAAUAAGAAGAAAGAGAGGGAAGAAAAGGAGAACCCACAACUGCGCAGCGCAAGCAAGCCCAAUUCAAAAGCGAAGAACGAGGCUCCUAAUCUGAAUGAUGAUUCUUGUUUUUGGGCGCACGUCGAGGAAGCGCUUAUCUGGUGCAACGAACAAGCGAGUAAUCCAGAUGCUAAGCCAAUGACCGAAUAUGAGCUUUACGUUCUGAAUAUGCUCGAGAAUUUCGCAGUUACGGUUGAUAUUUUCUUGAAAAAUAGCAGCUUCAUGCAUUGGUGGAACAAGUAUAAAGUAAUUGUGGGAAGCAACUACUCCUCAGCAUUUACCGAGGUCAUGAAGCGUAAGACUUAUCGCAAAUAUGCGGAUGGGGUCUCAGUUCGUACUGAUCAAUAAUCCAAUAUAAUUAAGUUUUAAGCAAGCAAUUAAAUCAGAUAAAGCAAGAUUAAUUUUGCUGUAUCGCUUAUGAUCUUCAUAGAGAGACGUGCAUUACUUGCAGGGCUUGUUGGUGCUACUAGUACUACUUUUGGAUAUUUUAAUUUGUUUGUGGUUUCUUUUUGUGUGGGGGUAAUGUUUCAAGGGGUAAAUCUCAGUUUAGUAUUCUUAAAUUUUGUGUUUUUCAACAUGUAGUACAUUAAGUUAUUUUUGUCUCCGAGUUAUACUUAAAUUGUUAAUUUUGGGACAGUCUCAUACAUCCGUUAGUCUGACUGUUAAGUCUCCCAUUAAUUGAUGAUGCGACGCCUAUGUGAACAAUAACUGGACGUCAUGUGUCAUUAAAAGGUUCACGUGGAAAUUCAAAAAAAAAAAAAAAAAAAAACCGAAAUUUCAAAAUUCAAAAUUUUAAAAUUUCAAAAAUUAAUAAAUUAAAAAAAGGUGGGGAUAAUUUCUUCCUCUAUCCCCGUCCCUUUUUCUCUCUUAUGCAAUUAUUGAGCUCUCCUUUGAAUCUCAGAUCCCCAGCAACCCUUGCCCUUGCGACCUUGUAACCCUUAGCAGAGGUUUGCAAACCUCGUAACCAUCGCCUUUUGUUACGAUCCAAUUCUCUAAACCCUUAAUCAACUGGCAAGUAACACAGAGGGUCGAGAGGAGGAGGGAAGGAGGAAGGUAGAAGGAGCGGAGCUCCAAUAUUUUUGUUUAUAUUUCUUUUUGUGUAAAUUCUCAUCUGAUUACAAUAGUGAGAGCUAGUGCUCUUGAGUCUUAUACAAGUCACAACUCAUCAUGCCAGCUAGCUAAUUAUAACAAACUUCACUAAAACAGGAAUAAGCCUAAUAAUCCCAAGAUUAAAACCCUUAAUAGUGAUUAAGCUAAUCACUAAUUACAGAUCAUAUCAUUACUCCCCCCUUGAAAAACAACCUUGUCCUCAAGGUUAGGAUUAGCACUUGAAAUCUGGAACUUUUUCGCAGUGAAUUCAUCAUAAGCCUCUUUGCUUUUAUUGUCUGACCAAGGCACUGCACCAAAACUUGGACUGCAAAAACCUUGGUUGAUAUCUGCAACCUAUCCCAGAUGCUGAAAAAAAAAAAAAAGAGAACAAGCUUUGGAGAUGACUCCCCGCGAAGCCUUGAUGUCUCAGCUGGAAAGAAUUUCUCCCCGUCAUGUGAUGUAUGCAGAUUAUCCCUUACAAUCAAUUCUGGACCUUCCAAGCUGAGUCUCCCUGAAACAGAUGGGAAAUUUAUUAGAAAAAUAGAUCAGCCCACAUGUGUGUAAUCUAUAUACAAAAAAUCACUCUCUUCAUUAGCCAAAUCGUUUCACAAAUCCCAAAACACAGAACUAUAUCUUGAACAGUGCUAAUUAAUGAUUUCCCAUUUACUUAAGCCCAACAUCAGCGCCAAUGAACUGAUGAAAGAGCGAAAAAGAGAAACAAAAAACCUCAAUGAAGCAAUUAAAUGGAGAAUUACUUGAUAGUGCUGGAAAAUUACUACAAAACGUUUGAAAAUUACCCAUUAAGAUUAUAAAAAAUUAAAAAAAAUUAAAAAAAAAAGAUGAUGUGGAGUGGAGUGGGAAUCACAUACCGCCAUCACCUUUAAAUAUGUAGUGCUCCCCUGAAAGAGCAUCAAGAGUGACUGUGCAGAGAAACGAAUGAUUGAAAAAUUCAAGCUCUGAGCUCAAAGUUGGGGCUUCCACUUUCCAACUGGGGAAGAAAUAAUAAAGAAAACACAGAAUCCAUCAAAAAUAUUAAUCAAAUGGGUUUCUUCUAAUUCAAAAUUUGGACCACCCAAAUUCUGAUGAAGAAAUAACCAUUCAAAAUUCCAACAGAUUGAAGCUCUCACAGACUACAAAUUAUCAAUACCCAGCAAUAAAAAAUUUGAAAACAGUAAUAAUGAAGGAAAAAGAAAUUAAAGCUGCGAGCCAUUCUCUAAAUCUCAGGCACCAAUCCAAAUCACCAGUAAUUUGCACAUAAUGAUAAGAAUCUAGCAGUAUUUCCAUUGUUUAAAACCCAAAUUCUAGAAAUCAUGAAAAAUGGAAACUUUAUAUGGAAAUUGAAGCUUUACCUGCAGAUUAGCAGCAGCAAACGAAUCCAACGGCAUAUACCUCAAAAGUGAGUGACAGAGAAAGAGAGAGCUAAGAGAUGAGUGAGAGAAUCGAUAAACAAAAACCCCCAUAACCACAAAAGGAAAUUUGAACAAAAACAAAUAUGCAAAUCCAAAAUCACAAAAACGAAAUGAAACACCCACACCGAGAAAGUUGUAAAACUCACCAGAAGCACAGUGCUUCCCAAAAUUCUAGUUGUUUCACUCCUCUCUUCCCCAAAUUUACAGGUAUGUUUUUCUUUUCUGUAAUCUGAUUAUAAAUUAUUAAAGAUGAUUACACGAACCACCGAAAUCACCACCAAAUUUCAACAAAGAAGUAACUAAGCACAACAAAAAGAAGAAGAAAAAAAAGGUUAAACUCUGUUUACUACCCUCAUGUUUCGUGGUUUUCAACAUUUAGUACAUCAAGUUUUUUUCGUCCCAGAGUCAUACCUAAAGUGUUAAUUUUGGAACAAUCUCAUACAUCUGUUAGUCAAACUGUUUAUUCUCCCGUUAAGUGAUGACGUGGCACCUAUAUGGACAAUGACUGGACUCCAGGUGUCAUUAAAUAUAUUAAAAUAAUUAAUUAAAUAAAAGUUUUAAAAAAAAAACCCAUCCCUCCUUCCCCCCUCCCCCAACCCAACCCAACCCAGAAGAAGAAAAAGGUGGAGGAAGAAAAGGGAGAAAAAGAAACCAAAUCUGGGAAGAAGAAGAAGGAAAAAAAAACCGAAUUUGGGAAGAAGAAGAAGAAGAAGAAGAAUGAGGAGGAAGAAGAUGAAGAAGACGAAGAAGAAGGAGGGAGAAGAAGAGAAAGAAGAGGAAGAAGAAGAAGAAGAAGAAGGAAGAAGAAGAAAAAAAAAACCGAAUCUGGGAAGAAAAAGAAGAAGAAGAAGAAAAAAAAAACCGAAUCUGGGAAGAAGAAGAAAGAAGAAGAAGAAGGAAGAAGAAGAGGAAGAAGAAGAAGGAGAAGGAGGAAGAAUGAUGAAGUAGAAGAAGAAGAAAAAAAAAACUGAAUAUGGGAAGAAGAAGAAGAAGAAGAAGAAGAAAAAGAAAAAAAACAGCAGCCCAAACCCAGUUCGUCCCCCUCCCCCCUGCAACCCACCUGCCUUCUCCCUCGUCCCGCGAACACGACCCACCUGUCUUCCUUCUUCUUCUUCUGGGUUACAAAUUCGAUUUUUUUUCUUCUUCUUCUUCUUCUUCUUCUUCUUCUUCUUCUAGGGGGGGCGGGGGAGAAGGAUGGGGUUUUUUUUUAAUUUAUAUUUAAUUAAUUAUUUUAAUUUUUUUUUAAUGAGACGUGGCACCCAGUCAUUGUCCACAUAGGCACCACGUUAUCACUUAAUGGGAUAAUUAACAGUUUGACUAACGGAUGUAUGAGACUGUCCCAAAAUUAACAUUUUAGGUAUGACUCUAGGAUGAAAAAAACUUGAUGUACUAAAUGUUGAAAACCACGAAACAUUAGGGUAGUAAACAGAGUUUAAUAAAAAAAAAUCAAAUAUUUGGCUUUUGGGUAUUUGAGAAAAAGUGAGAUUUAAUUACCUGUCACAGGCUACAGUAAUUGGGAGCACGAUGGGGCGGCGAGGAGAUUGAACAGAUAAGGAAGCAAAGAUCGAACAUAUAUCACGAAGCGGAAUCAAAAUCGUCAAUCGUGUUGCAGAGCACAGUUUUUUCCUUUUUGGAUUUCUGCGGUUUCUGAGGAAGAAGUCGAGAGACUUAUUGGACACCUAAGGUUAUAACCGACCUUUUAAUGUGUAAUGUACACAAAAAAGCAAGACUUGAAGAGCAACUGAAGGGCAAAAUGGGAAGAACAUUGUCGAAGGAACAGUGUUUCAGUUCUUUUUCUCUUUUAGUUAAUAUAAUAUAAUUGCUAUGCUAAAACCCAUAGUUCAGAGAAGAAUCUUGCAUGAUCACUAACAACGUAAGGGAAAAUCAAACUUUGUGUUGCUUGUUUUAUGAAUCUCUUUAUUUUUUAUUUCAAAUUUAUGAGUGUCUCACUUUUCCACAGUUUCUAAUCUGUUAUUGUUUUGGGAAAGUGGUUAAAAUGGUAUGAAAUCAUAUCUCAAUUCUCAAUUUCUGAACUUAUCAAAAUCAAAUAUCGACAACAUACUGAAAAAUUGAUAAUUUCAGUGAUUGGGUAAAAAAUGAUCAUUUUAGCCAAAUUCCCUCUUAUUUUCUGUUGUCGUAAUUUAGAUUGCAACUUUUGUAAGUUUUUCUGAUUUUGGUGUUGGUUUUUGUAGUUAAGUAUCAAGGAAUGUGUCAAGCCCCUAUUUGGACAUUCGUUUAGAAUCGACACGUGACGUCACCAAAUACCUGUACAUCUACCAUACCCUACUUCCAGGAUACGGGCCAAACACAACUCACGAUCCAAAAGCAUAGUAAUUUUUUUCGUAUACUUUAUGGCUGCAUCUAACCUCCUCAUUAGAUUGCCUACGUAUCAUAAACAGGGAUCAAGCCAUUCAUAGUUCGUCCUUCACUACCCUUGAACAAUCAUCACAUAAAUAAAUAUGUCUCAAUAUAAUACCUUCAUCCAUACCAUGUAACAUAUCAAAUAACAAACGAAGCACAGUAAUAUUCUCUAGUCAUGUUGCCAUUCACCCACACAUAUGUUUUCCAACACCAUCCAACAAUCACACCAAUCAAUAACACAUACAAUACAUCGACAUGCAGGGCUAAAGUGACAAAGUUCGGUCGAAACCUACAUCUCUAAAGCUGAAAUCGAAUCCAAGGAACCCAAACCACCCCUAGCUCGUCCCAUAUUCCUUCACGAGCCCAGAGCUUAAACUCGAGCAACUCUCGGACCUCACAUCAGAGAAAACAGGAAAUGGAGAACUACGACAAGUUCUCAAAUUCUUUCGACCGAGGUAAAACUCGAAAUACCUUCAAUCUCUACCCUUUUGAUGUUCUGAUUCAAUUUUUGAGUUGUAUACGUGUUGUGACGACGUUUAGGUGCAAAAAUCACUCGAGGAUGAACUCCCUAGUUUUCUGGCGAAGUCCGCAAGUUUCAGACCAUUUUUCUGGCCAAAACCUUUGGGCCAUUGUUCUAGCCCAACCCAACAACUCAGUCAACCUAAUCUAACCUAGCAAACCUGGCCUAACCUAGUGACCCGGAUCUGUGAAACCUGCCCAAGCCUAGAUUCGUGGGCCAGAUCCACCCUGGGAUCCGGCCCGACCCAAUUCCCAAAUGGAUUUGAAAUAUUCCAGAAUAUUCCAAGAAUAUUCUUUGGAAUAUUCCUUGUGUUGACUUUUAUGAUAUUUUCUCACGAACCUUCUUAGACUAAUUUCGACGCCUUGAGUCCGUUUUUGACAUCUAUUUAGUGAAAUUAUAAAGAUUUAAUAUGGUUGACCGGCUCGGUGUCUCGAUUCACUUUUUGGGUCAACUGUUGACUUUUCGUUGACUUUUUACAAAAUUUACCCGGGACUUCUCGUAGGGUAAUUCGACGCGCUGAUUCUGAAUCUGCUGUCUGUUUCUCCAAAUUCAAAUGUUUUAAUUAAGUUUUUACUAAUGGGCCUCUAUUAUGCUUAGGUACUCUUUAGCAUUGGCGAAUUCUUAUUUACAUGUCUGAAUGUCAGUAACCUUGCAAGUACCUGUGAGUGGACCCCUUCUCAAAUUGCAUGUUUUCAUAACUAUUAGGCUUGCAUUCAUGAAAAUAAUAUUUUUUAUAAUUCUACAUUUUAUGAAUUAUUUAUGCUUCAUAUUUGAUUUAUAUUGCUUUCACGAAGUCUUUAUGAAUUAUCUUAAUAGAUUUUGAAGAAUUAUUUAUAAUCCAUUGGUUUAAUGUUUAUGAGAACUCGUAUUUAUGGAAAUCACGUUUAUGGAUUUAUAAGAUUUGAGAUAUGUUUUAUAUACUUAUCUAGUGGGUUAUCAUACAACACAUACACACAACCUGACUAUGUAGACGUCUAUGGCCAUAGGACACAGUUGAGGAUAUUUAUGACAUACUCCCAGCUUUACUGGCGAAACCAGUGUCGGACAACUUUAAUAGCCACGGCUAGUGUCGGUAUGUUAUGUUUAUAGUUAUAUUUUCUUCUCUCGCGUAACCCAGAGUCGUAUAGCUUCACCUUCGGGUGAUGGGACCUACCAUGUUUCUUCACCGGCAUAACCUAGAGUCGUACAACUUCACCUCCAGGUGAUGAUUAUGCCUUCGGGCGACUAUGAUACCCCUAGUUGAGUAUAUCACAGAGUUUAUUUACGAGAUUCUCAUAUCUGCCUUCGGGUGUUACUAUCGAUUUCCAAAGAGGAUUUUAUCGUUACAAAAUUUUUAGCAUGCUAGAGUUUCCAAAAAAACUAUUAUGUAGUAUUAUAUGGGUUUUCAAAACAGAGAGUUAAUAUGUUCAGAAAAAGAAAACGUUUUUUGUAUUAUUACUACUAUUAUUAUAAAUUAUCGUCCACUUACCCUUUCAUUCUUGCGCCCCCUUCAGGAUUUAGAAUCGAGACGUACGAUCCCGGCGUCAGGGCACUUCCGUAUAGGUAUCUUUGAGUCUUCUCAGUGUAUGGCCCAUUUCCCUUGUUCGUGCCUUUUUAUAAUUAUUCUUUCACAUUAUUCUUGCUUAGUUGUAGGCUCUGAACACGUUUCCUUAAUUGCGUAUUUCUUUAUAGUUACAUAUUUUAGUCACUUUUGUUUACUGAUACCACUUGCAUGCAUGUUAAAAUGGCUUCGUCACCUUUAGGUGUCAGCCAGCAUGUGCCUACCCUAGUAUUCGAGGAUAUCGGGGUUGGGGCAUGUCAGCCUGGGUGGUCGUAGGUGCACAGGGGCGCGCGUGGGCCAUCAGACCUUGGGCCUGCGCUGCGUGCUGGGCUAGUGCUUGCUCUUCAUGGGUCUGGGCCUAGCUAGUAGUGAGUUGGGCUCGACUGGUAACGAGCUGGUCCUUAGUCGUCUGCCCAUGGGUUCUUUUUGCUGGUUGGCCAGCUCUGCUGGUCUUCCGUGCACCUGGACCUGCUGCAGUGGCUUAGGCCUCAUUCCCUGGGCCUAAUAUGGCAGCUGUCACGUUUUCGACCUCUUACAUGUGGUUCGUGAGCCCCUGUUUCAACGUAGUUGGCCAUUUGUAGCACGCGCUUGGGCCUCGGCUUAGGCUGCUACUAUGAAAUCACAUUCUUGGAUUUCACUAUUAUAAUUUCCAUGUUUUGUAUUCGCGAAAUUUUAUAUUAUUUUUUGCAAAUUUAAUUUAAUUUAGUUAAUUUAGAAUUUUAAUUCCUUAGUUACAAAGUUUGAAAUUUUGAAAAGAAUCAUUUAAAAUUUGUAGACCUUUCAAGUUCAAAAUUAAUGUUUUCAAAAAAGAUCAAUCAUACGAACGUGUAGGCAAAAGCCGUUCACGAACGGAGCUAUAACAAAGUUAUGAGUGACGAAAGUUGGAGAUAAAUGUUAAUUUAGGAAUUUCUCUAAAUGAAAACUUACUAUUUUUAUUUGGAAGAGGGACCAAUCAGAUUGGGGAAAAGCCCAUUUAAUGGGAGGAUGGACUAAUCAGAAAUGGGAGGAAGGUUGACCAAUCAGAAAAGAUAGAACCAACAGAGCCGAAUCCUCCCUCAACCCGCAGGACCCGGUUUCUGGCGACUUUUGCUUCCUUUUUUUUGUCAAUUUUUCGACGAGUUGGAGACAUCCAUCACCACCACAUGACUCAUCAACCUCCCCUCUUCAAUUCUCACCUAAACUCAACUCAGUUUUACUCUAAUUUCAUGAUGAACUCCUUCGGCGAGUUCAUGAGUCCUGCAUUGGUGAUCUGCCAUUUUUUAAAGUUAUUUUUUUUACCACCACCACCCACAAACACCCUUUAAGCCCAGGAACAUGACCCAAACAAGUUUGGGGUGAACAGAGCAACGAAGAGGAUGAAUCAAAGUGCACCAUUUUUAGGGUUUUCCGAUGGAUCGUGGUAUUAUCAGGCCUUAGACCUCGACCCAUGUAUAAAACUUACUCCCUUCUUCAAGAUCUUUAUUUUGGUAUAAUUUGAGAAAUUUUGGAGUUAGGUGAAUUUUCGAACAAAUCGGGGCGGUCAACCACCUCGUGCGGCAGCGCGUGCUGGUGGCGCAUAGCUCGAGGACCCAUUUGGUCCUUCUUGAGUACAUUUGAUGCCCAAUUCCAUAUUUGAUAUCUGAUUGAAAAAAAUUUGUCGCUUGAACAUAUUUUCGUUAGGGUCCGCCACUUGAAUAUUGUAACUUUGAGAUGUGGAGGCAAUUGAAGAUUAGAGUUUGAUUAUCAAGGAAAUGGAAACAGGCUUCAAGCUUGGUUUGAGAUGUGGAGGCAACUGCUGAUACAUAUAUGUUUGGAUGCUAUGUUUAGAAUUAUUUAAUUUUGCAUUGACAUGGUUAAAAUUCUAGAAGAAAAAAAAUGAGAAAUUUCCUUGUUAUGAUGUUCAAGAUAUGAACUGUGAUAGCCACAACUAUUAUGUCAUAUUUUAGAAGGAAUACUUUUUGCCUUUAGCAACAUUUUUAUUUUGUUGAAAAGAAGGAAGAAAGAUGCUAUUUGUGGCAUUUGUUAUGCUAUUUGUUUCAUAGGAAAUCUGGAAAAAUCUACCAAAAAUCCCUCCAAUUUUUUUUCGUCAGCAAAAUCAAUUCCAAAAGAAAGAUUAAUGAGGCUUUCAAAAAAAUUUUAAAAAAAUUAAAAUGCUCAAAGUCCAAGAAUUCUCACCAAUUUAUUUUAGUCAUUAAAAUUAUACUUAAUGAGGUUUCCAAAAUUCUAGGCACAUUAAAAACAAUAUAAGGGCAAAUUUGGAAAUCAAAUUAAAAUAAUUAAAAUAGAUAAAUCAGAAAUAUAGGAGUGUGGAUUGAGAUUUUGAGGGUGUCAAUAACAGCUACCUAUGCAAUUUUGUUGGUUAUUAUGUACUAAAAUAUAUAAAUACAAAUAUAUAUAGGGAACUGUUAUUAUCACUCCAAAAAUUUUAUUCUACACUCCUCAUAAGUGUAUUUUUUUUUUUAAUUAUAGAAAGUUUGGAGUGUCAAAUGAGAUUUUUUGAGUGUCUAUAUAUAUAUUGUUGAUGCACAAAACCGGAGGUCUUGGAACAACGUAAAUCCGACCGUGAAUCUGCAUAAAAUGUAAAUAACACAAGAUGUAUCGUGGUUCACCCCAAGGUUUGGGCUACGUCCACAUUGAUAGUUGAUUCUGUUUCUCUGUAAUUGUAUGGAUACAAGUGUUUGGGGGAAGUCCCCCGGAGGAGAAAGAAGAGAAGGGAGAGGAGAGCCUCGGUGGUGUGAGGUCUCUCCUGAAUGUAAUGAUAGCUUCUCUUAGCCUUCUUAGGCUUGGCUCUUUUGCCUCCUUUAGAAUGAGGGUAGGAGUCCCCUUUUAUAGAAUAAGGGGCUCCUCCUCUUUUACAAAGUAUGGGCUUUAGUGUGAGGCCCAAAUACAAGGCCCAAGGCCCAAAUAUACGAGGCCCUAAAUAUGGUAUAAACAUAUAUAUAUUUGUUAAAUAGUUUUUUUUUUAUUUUUUUUAUUUUUGGAAAAUAAUUUAUAACGGGCAUUAGCUGUGGUCAAUUAGUAAUCGACAAUGGUCAUAGCAUGUGGUGUUAAACCCCAAUCCACCAAGGGUACAAUCCAUGGUUAUAUUGCAAUUGACAACGGGUAUAGCCUGUCGUAGAAACUGAGACUUUUUAUUACAUCUAGAAUACUAAUGAACACAGUAUCCGUGGUGGAUUGUAAUUUAUCACGGGUAGGUGUAGUAUUGGUACAAUUACCAUACCAAAACCCAUGUACCAACCUUAUGAUAUGACAAAAUCUAUUACCAUUACCGUGCCAAACUUUCGGUAUACCGAAUUUCGGCAUGCCAAAUAGUUUGAUCGGCAUGGUAUGGUGAUGAUAAUUACCACUUUGUUUUGGGCCAAAAUUUGAUUUUCUUUUUCUUUUUCUUUUUCCACCCAAUUCAAGGCCCAAACGUGUUUUGGCCACUUUUUUUGGCUUUCUAAAACUUUUUAAUUUAAUUAUGAGAAUUUUAUAGAGAUUCAUUUAAGAAACAAGAAGUAAAUAAAUAGAAGAAUUGCUGAAAGAACCCAACAUCCCAGAAAAAAAAUACCUCAAAGAUUCUUAAAUUCCAUUUCUACAUUAUUUAAAAUUGUACAAAAAUUAACUUGAUAGACGAAGCUAGGGAGAAAGACAUCUCAAUUUGAUGAAGGAGAAGAUGAGAUGGAUUGCGAAGAGAGAGAAUCUUCGGAACGGGAGCAACAUAGAUGAAGCUGAUGGCUAGAUGAGAGAAAAAAUGAAGAGUCGCAGAAUAAGAAGGCUUAUGUUUUUUAUUGGGAAAGUAGAGGCUAAACGGUGAGAUGAUUUGAUAAAUGACUAGGAAAAAAAUAUAUAAAAUGCAUACAUAAUGAUAAUAAUACAUAAUUAUAUAUAAAAAUGAAUAAAUAAACGGUAUAAUAUUAAUAGUGGUGGUACGGUAGGGUAUACCAUUGGUAAUAGUUUUAAGUAUCAAUAUUGUACCGAAAAUGUAUGGUACGGUAUAAAUACCGUACCAUUACCAAUGGUACAAAUUUUUUGGCACAACUUCUGUAUGGUAGGGUUGGUAAUUCGGUUAGUAUGGUAAUUUGGCAAAAAAUUUCAUCCCUCACAGGCAUUCAUCUAGAUAGAUGAACUUUUUUUUCCUAAUGUGUACCACUUAUGUUAUGAGCAUAAAGAAAAAUUUCUCUGAACAAGGAGCAAGUGGGAAUAAUAAAUCUGAACUAUAGCACGUACACGUAGAUAACAAGACGAGGAAAAGCAUCGAGGCAACGUUCUCCGAGAAGCUUUCAGGAACAAGAUCCGUUGACGACGAAGUAGACUUUCCUGUGCAUAGUCGACUUGGUGGGAAGUUUCCUCGUGGGGCCAUUUGAUUGGUGGGACAAAGACGUCCGUAAUUAUAAUUAUAAUGAUAGGAUUGAUUCCUCUACUCUAGAUUGAAUUGGAGCUGAAUGAUUGAAUUUGUAAGGCCCUGAUUGGGGGGAUUCCUCAUUGGUCAUCAUGGCUUUGAUUGAUUAAAUGGACAUAUAGCUAGCUUGAAUUGGAACUGAAUGAUUGCACUUAAACGGUCCUGAUUGGGCGGACUCCUCUUUGGUCAUCAUGGCUCUGAUUGAUAUCAGUAUAAAGAAAGACAUUGACCAUUCUGGUUUCCAACUCUCUCCAUCUACUGUUUUUGAGCAGAUCGGCUAAAGCUUGAAGAUGAACAAGUUGAUAAAGUUUGUUUAUUUUGUGUUUUUGAUUGAGUGUUUGAAUCGGUUUCUUUUUGGUAGGAUAGUAGAGAAAUUGAAAAAGAUAACUUGGAGAUUGGUUUCUGCUAUGCAAAUAAUGCAGCAGCCUUGAUUGAAUAAGAAGAGUGAUUUUUACACAAGAGUAUGGUGCAUUUCCAUCACCCAUACUUUCUACAAAAGGUGAUUGACAAGAGGCCUUAACAACCAUUAAGCCUUACUACUCCAGAUUACAUCUUAACCCUUCAUUUUGGGGUUAAAUGAUUUAAUCUGGAGUGUACAUUUGUCACUCACACACUUACACAAACAUUUAAAAACAAAACUAGCCGUUGGAGACUAGAACCCUUCAUUUUCUUUCUUCUUCUUCGAUGCAGAUGACAUCCUUUUGCUCGGGAGUAUCUUGCUGCCUUCGACUCCCCGACUCCAGGAGCUGGUUAGCUUCCAACACUCCCUUCUAAACUGCUUCUGGGAGUCAAUCCGAGCAAACCCCUCAGGUAAUUGAAUCUCUCCUUCGGUAGUGCUUUUGUGAAUAUGUCUGCGAUCUGAUCUUCUGUGCUGCAAUAGAUUAGCUUGAUUGUGUUGUCUUGCAAUGCUUCUCUGAUGAAAUGAUAUCUUCUCUUGAUGUGUUUUGUUCUCUGAUGAAAUACUGGGUUUUUAGUCAUGGCAAUUGCAGAGGUGUUGUCACACAGAAGUGGUGUGGCUUCAACUUGCAAUUCGCCAAAAUCUUUAAGUAUGAACCUUAGCCAAAUGGCUUGAGAUGUAGCUUCUGAUGCACUUACAUACUCUGCCUCGGCUGUGGACAGUGCAACACUUUGUUGCUUCACAGAGGCCCAUGAAAAAACCCCUGAUCCGAAAGUGAAAGCAUAGCCCGAUGUGCUUCUACUAUCAUCCUCACUGCCACCCCAGUCACUGUCACAGAAUCCAAUUAGAAUAGAUGACUUUCCCAUCUCAUAUUUGAUCCCAUAAUCAAGAGUUCCUUGCACAUAUCUUAGCACUCUCUUAGCCGUGCCCAUAUGUAUCUUGCUAGGAUUCUGCAUAAACCUAGAAAGUAGGCUUGCUGAGAACAUCAGAUCCGGCCUUGUUGCUGUUAGAUACAAUAGACUGCCAACAAUGCUUUUAUAGAGACUAGCAUCUGCAGGUUCACUUCCAUCCUCCUUCUUGAGCUUCUCAUUUGCAAUUAAGGGUGUAGAAAACUGGUUUGCAACCUUUCAAACCAAACUUUUCAAGCAAAGUUUCAGCAUACUUCUUUUGAUGAAUAAAAAUGCUACUUGCUUUUUGAAUUACCCCAAUGCCAAGAAAAUGAUGCAAGAGGCCUAGGUCAGUCAUCUCGUACCUCUUCAUCAUUUCUUCCUUGAACUCUUCCAUCAUUGCAGCAUCAUUUCCAGUGUAGACAACAUCAUCCACAUAGAUUGAGACAAUGAGUGUCUUGUUGUUGCUUUCUGUCUUGGUGUAGAGUGUAGCUUCACUAGGACUUUUCUGAAAUCCUUUCUCAAUGAAAUAUGAAUCAAUCUCACUGUACCAAGCUCUUGGAGCUUGUUUUAGGCCAUAAAGAGCCUUCCUCAACUUGUACACUUUUUCUGGAAACUCUUGAUUUGUGAACCCUUGAGGUUGUUCCACAAACACUUCCUCCUCUAGCACUCCAUUUAGAAAUGCAGAUUUAACAUCCAAUUGAUGCAACUUCCAACCCUUCUUGGCUGCUAGUGCUAUCAAGGUCCUUAUGGUGUCUAACCUUGCUACUGGAGCAAAGGUUUCAUUGAAGUCUACACCAGGUUUCUGUGAGUAACCUUUGGCCACUAACCUGGCCUUGUUCUUUUGCACAGAACCAUCUAGAUUUAGCUUCACUUUGUACACCCAUUUUACACCAAUCACAGGCUUCUCACUUGGUCGAUUUACAAGUUCCCAAGUGUCAUUCUUUUCUAUCAUUUCAAGCUCUUCCUUCAUUGCUUUCUUCCAAGCUUUGUCUUUCUCAGCUUCUUCAUACGUUUCUGGUUCUACUACACAGUAAUUACAUGUAGCAUAAAUCUCAUCCAGAUUUCUCAAUCUUACUGGAGUUGAACUAGGAGUUGUUGUCUGUGAUUGACUUGAUUGUGGACUCAUAGUAGCUUGCUGUGGAGUCCCUUGUAUGUCACCAUUAUCUGUGACUUCUUCUUGAACUGAGGUCUCUAUAGGCUCCCUUGUUUGCCUUUUGUUUAGGUCAAUUUGUAGAGAGACACUGUCCUUUUCCUCUACCAUUGUAUCCCAGUUCCACAUUGAGUCUUCAUCAAAGAUAAUAUCCCUUGAUAGGAUUAUCUUUUGAGUCAAUACAUUAUAAACUCUGUAUCCUUUCUCACUGGUACCAUAGCCUACAAAAACACCCUUGUUACUUGAUUUCUCCAACUUGUGCCUUAGUUGAUGAGGGAUGAGAUUGUAGCAUACUGAGCCAAACACUCUCAGAUGCUUCACAGAAGGCUUCCUUCCACUGAACACUUCAAAUGGAGUCUUCUUCUCCAAUGCCUUAGUAGGACACCUAUUCAAUAGAUACACUGAGGUGUGUUCACAGCUUCACCCCAAAAUUUAUAAGGCAUGUUCUUCUCAUGCAUCAUAGACUUAGCCAUUUCGACUAUAGUCCUAUUCUUCCUUUCUGCAAUCCCAUUCUGUUGUGGUGUAUAUGCCACAGUGAGUUGCUUCUCUAACCCUACAUCUUCACAAAAUACAUUGAACUCAUGUGAGGUGUACUCACCACCCCUAUCACUUCUUAGUCUUUUGAUUUGGUAUCCACUUUGCAAUUCCACCAUUGCCUUAAACUUCUUGAAUAUUGUGAAUACCUCAGACUUGAACCUCAUGAAAUACACACCACACAUCCGUGAAUAAUCAUCAUCAUGAAGGUUAGGAAAUACCUGUUUCCACUGAUUGUUGUUGUUCUCAUUGGUCCACACACAUCUGAGUGAAUCAAUUCGAGUGGCUUUGUUGCCCUCCAAGCCUUUCCAGCUUCAAAUGAAUCUCUGUGAUGCUUGCCAAACACACACCCUUCACAGAUUUCAUUGCAUUGAUCCAUUUUUUGGUAUACCUUGCACCAUUUCAUCCUUUUGCAGAUUUUGUAAGCUUGUCAUGUUUAAAUGACCAAGUCUCUUGUGCCAUAGUUUCAUAGAACUUGUCACACUUGCUUUCUUUGCCACUUCUUCUAAGUACUUCAGUACAAGUGGAAAGCUUCUGUUUUUCACUUCCACUUUGGUCACCAAGUUUGAUAGGGAUCUGUCAUCAUAGAUCUCAACCACAGUCCCCCCAAAGAGUAGGAAAUAGCCAUGCUCCAUCAUUUGACCCACACUAAGUAGAUUCUCAUCCAAUCCAGGCACUAGCAUCACCUCCCUUAUACAUCUUCUUCCUUUCUUGGUGUUGAUAACCAGAGUUCCUCUUCCAGUGGCUUUGACAAUGUUUCCAUCACCCAUUUUCACUUUUCCAGUGAAGUUUGUGUCGAUGUCAAUAAGUAAAGACUCAUGUGCAGUCAUGUGGUUGCUGCAGCCACUGUCAAUGUACCACACUUCAUUGUUUCUCUCCAUUUUUGCAUUGAAAGCACAGAACACAUUUGCUUCUUCUUCCACUUGAUUUGCACAGUUUACUUGUUGCACAUUCUUUGAUCUGCAGUCCUUCAUAAUGUGCCCAAACCUGUUGCAUUUGUGGCAUCUAGGCUUGUCCUUGAACCAACACUCUCCAAGGUGGAAUUUAUCACAGUGCUUACAUUGCUGCUUGGUUCUUGGACCUACAUUGGUGUUGCUGCCUUGGUUAGGUCUUGAGUUGUGAUACCCUUUUCCUUCCCAUUUCUUGCUUUUGCCCUUCCACUGUGGUUUCUGAUUGCUUGCACUGGCUUGACUGCUAGAUCCAACAUUGAGUGUUUGAAAGGCUUUCUCAGGUGCAGAGUCAGCAUGCCUCUCGAGCCUUUGAUCAAAAGCUCUUAAGGAUGCCAUCACCUCUUGUACACUGAGUGUUUCAGUGUCUUUGGUUUCUUCUAUAACACUCACUAUUGAAUCAUAGGGUUUAGUCAAACUAAUCAACAGUUUUUGGACAAUUCUUUCAUUAGGCAGUUCCUCACCAUAUGUUUUCAUCUUGUUUACAACAUCAUCAAACAGCCUAGUGAAGUAGUCUUUUAACAGCUCAUUUUUCCCUCAUUCUUGUAUACUCAAAAUCUCUUCUAAGGGACUGAAGUUUUACCUUUCUAACUUUGGUGUCUCCUCUGUAUUCUUGCUGUAAAACUUCCCAAGCUCCCUUUGCAGUCUCUUCAUUUGCUAUCCUCGGAAAAAUGGUGUUGUCUGAGACAGCACCUUGAAUGAUUCCAAGUGCUCUAGCAUCCUCCAUCCGAUUCUGCUUCAGUGUUUUGAGUUGUGUUUCUGUGAGAUCCUCCUCUAGAGCAUCGAUCUCCAUCUCAGGUAGUUCAUACCCAUGUUGAACCAUAUAUCCCAUAGAUCAUAGGAUUUGAAAAUGGUUGUCAUUCUUAUUCUCCAAAAAUCAUAAUUCUCCCCAUCAAAGACUGGAGCUUUUAGCUCACUGCUACUGCUGGAUCCUUUCAUUUCCAGAAUUGUUUGUUGAUUAUUGUUAUAGAAGACACUACGUUGGUGCUCCCAAAGAUCUUAUCUUGCACAGAUUACGCCCCGAAAGUUGUAAGAUCAAUAACAAAGCUCUGAGGCCAUGAUAAAGUUUGUUUAUUUUGUGUUUUUGAUUGAGUGUUUGAAUCGGUUUCUUUUUGGUAGGAUAGUAGAGAAAUUGAAAAAGAUAACUUGGAGAUUGGUUUCUGCUAUGCAAAUAAUGCAGCAGCCUUGAUUGAAUAAGAAGAGUGAUUUUACACAAGAGUAUGGUGCAUUUCCAUCACCCAUACUUUCUACAAAAGGUGAUUGACAAGAGGCCUUAACAACCAUUAAGCCUUACUACUCCAGAUUACAUCUUAACCCUUCAUUUUGGGGUUAAAUGAUUUAAUCUGGAGUGUACAUUUGUCACUCACACACUUACACAAACAUUUAAAAACAAAACUAGCCGUUGGAGACUAGAACCCUUCAUUUUCUUUCUUCUUCUUCGAUGCAGAUGACAUCCUUUUGCUCGGGAGUAUCUUGCUGCCUUCGACUCCCCGACUCCAGGAGCUGGUUAGCUUCCAACACAAGUAAGUCAACUUCAAACUCCUCGUAUCCUUAUUUUUCUUUGAAUCCUUUGUCGUUGAUUGAUCUUAUACUGUCUUGAUUAAGCAGACAUUGUUCUGAAAUGGCUGAAGGGUGUUUUUCAACAAGUAAAAGCUCUUACGGUUAAAUCUGGCAAAAGAAACUUACAAAACGCUUUUAGAUAGUGUAAGCUCUUUUCGGAGAAGCACUUGCUAUGGCUAGACUUUUACCAAACACAAUUUUAGCUCCAACUUUUCUAAAAACUGUUUUUAAAAAUAAAAUUGAGCAACCUCAGACCCGCCCAUGUCAACAUUCAAGUUUUCAAGUGCUUUUUCAAAGAGCACUUGAGUAUUUAAUAAACAUGUCUAAUCUGUUCAUAGUAAAAGAGAACUGCUUAUGAGUAGAGUGUUUCUUACGAGUACAAUGGCUUUAUAAUCGUCCUUAUAAUUUACCCAUGUGGAAUUUCAUUCUUACUAGUGUUUUGCUAAAGUGACUUCACUAGAAAUACGGCGAAAGUUCUUUAGAAAACACUUCUCCUACUCGUAUACAUUUUUAAGUUUUUCUUUCAAUAUAAUGAAAAACAUUUUUUAUCGUUAGAUUGACAUUGUUAGCUAUUUCAAAAGCAGUUUCAAACGUGUUUAUUAUUAUAUGGUUGGGUGUUAUUUGCUUACAUACUCCAUUUAACUUUGUUUCAAUAUUUUGUUGGUGAUGACAGUAUUAGCAGUGCUGGGCUUGAACUAGAAAAUGUGCUGGUGACUUCUCCUCCCCUGCACCAGUCAUGGGACGCUGUUCAGAAGCAAAAGCUCAACACAGCUCCUGAUCCGAAUGCACAAACGGCCUUAUAUGUUACUGAAACCAAGCACUCAAACACCACCAUCAUAUCUUUUCUUACUUCACCCGUCACACUUCAAGAUCAACAAGCGAUGAUUUCGUCGUUGACUCUCAGGGACAAAAAAUUUCCCCUCUUUGAGUUUUUGUGCACCAAAUACAACACAAGUUUCACCGUCAAUGAUUUGGCAAUCAAAUUCUUCGCCUUGAAUUACGACAACCUCAACCUCGAUCUUCUGAGAACAAAGGUGCAUAUUGUUGUCUCUCUGAUAACUGAUAGUGUUUAACCGCUUAGACUAUUAAUGUUAGUGAGAAACAUUUAAAAAUCAUGUUUAUAAUGUUAGAUUAUGUUAGCGUGAUACACAUACAAACCCCUCAUUAAUACUGUUAUAAGGGUGCAUUUGUUAUCUCGGACUUGACUAGCUUGCUUGGUUUGGACUAUGCAGGAUAAGAAUAGUGGGCUCAAACAAUUAAUUUCAAUUUUCUUUUAAUUUUUUUACUUCUCCCUCCACCUGUUACACACCUCACUCAAUAAAAUGUCCUACGAACACCAGAACUUCACAAUGCACUACGUGCAACGAACAUAAUUAUAUUUUCCACUUUGUAAUUGUGCAGAGACUUUCAUAAUUUUCUUUCAAAUUAACACUACCAAUCUUUAUUAGAACCAAAAAAUGGAAAAACUUAUCGAUUUGCACAAUUUACUAGAUUUUAAAAUUGCCAGAUACUUUUUAUGAAGGGAAAAAAAAUGAUGCGUGAACAACACUUCUCACAAAAAAAAAUAAUGAAAUAUAUAAAUACAUACCAAAGUAAAUGUUUGCACACACUAACAUGCAAUAUAUGCAGUUUUUCAUUUUGUCAAACAAAUACAACAUAGCACAUUAAAGACAUUUUGUAAAUCCUAUGGGCUAGUUAAUAUGGGCAACAACCUUGUGUUUGGUUGUCAAGGACUUAGCAGGAUCUUCGAAAUUGUUCCAUAACACUGAUCCGAAAUUGCAUUCUUUAAUCCCUGCUUGCAAAUGCAAAAGUGGUUAUCAAUCUCUCCCUACUACUGUAAAAGGGAGAUAAUGAUAGAACUAAUUCAAUGUGAUAAACUAUAAGCUUCAAUGAAAUCAAAUGACAGGAGAAAAUUAAUGCAAGUCACCACUUCUUGAGGAUGAAGAGGGAGAGCAUCGAUGAAUAUUUUAGUUCAAAUUAAGGGAUUUCUUCUAAGGAGAUUUAUAGGGUUACUUAUAUGCAAGAUGACAUUUAUGUAAACCUGUGUGGAUGACGGAGAACAUAUAGUUAAUAUAUUAUAGUUGAGAAAAGCUAUCUUUCUUCUUGUAGUUCAUUUGUAAAUUUAUAAGAAUACCUCAGGUUUAUGUAUUACCAUCACCCAGCUUUAAACCAUAUAAACCUGUGUGGAUGACUGAUUUUGUAAUGUAAAAGAUAGAAAAUCAAGAUGACGUUUAGGAGUCAAGAUAAGUGGGAAAGGAAUGCAAGAUGAGUGGAAGUCACAAAGCGGAUAGCCUUUUAUAUGGCCUCAAGGUUGAUAAAUUUACAAUGGUUAAGGAUGCAAAUCCGAUAUCUCCAUAAGUUUGAGUCAGUAGAGGCACUUGAAAAUAGAAUGAUAAGAUGGUAACUUCAUUCUGGUUAAUCGAAUGUUUUAGCUAGCAGCAAGUGGGUCAAGGCUCGAUGCCAAAGUCAUAAACUACGGUUUUAAAGCACAUAUCAGCCACCAAAACCCAGAGUACUCAUGUCAAAUAUUAACAGCCAAAACCCUGAGUACACACAAUAAACUAUAAUUCAUUAAUGGGAAUGAAACAUCUGAGAAAAUGUGAACUCAACAACCAAAACCCAGUGUACCCAUGUCAAAUAUUAACAACAAAGGAAUUUAUGUAUGUAUGUCAAGAAUCAAACAAAAAAUUAUCACCCAAAAUAAAAAUCAAUCAGGGCUGCUUUAUGUAUUAGGAAGCCCAGAACCACUAUUCUAAGUGUUAGGCAGUUGGCCAUCACCCCGAUUAAUGCCUAGACGUUUAAAAAUUAAAAAAGGGUGCCUUGACUUGUUGAGGCACCCUCCUCGACCGCCUAACCCGUCCAGACCUGCCUAGGCAUCCGCCAAGGUCACGACUCACUUAAACAGAAAAAAUAUCACUUUCAUUUUGCAUUUUAUUUUUUCAAUAAAUUGUAAGAUUUGUUGCAUACUUAAAUGAACACACAUUUUAUCCUUGUUCCCCAUGAUUUCAUUAUGUUCCAAUACUUCAUAAUAUAUAUGUCAUUCUAUUUUGUAGUUUAUGAUGAAAUUAUAUAUAUUUUAAGUAUAAAUAGGCACUUAUUUACACGAAAUAUAAUAGAUUUUACUUAAAUCCGCCUAGUCCGCCUAGGCCCCGUCUAGCCGCCUAGGUUCUUGGUCCAAACCUGCCGCCCGACUAGCGCCUAGCGUCUUUUAGAACCUUGCCCAGAACAAUAUAAAAAAACGGCUAUGGGUUAUAGAUCAGAAAAUGGUGCUUUUGCAUGCUCAAAAGAUUGUUAAAAGGCCAUAAAAUGGUGAUUUUUAUGUAACCAAAUCGGAGAAUUUUGGAUAAGAUUAAACAACAAUAAGCAGGGAACAAAGAAAAAAUUGCAAUCAACUUACAAAAACUUAGCAAUUAGUUCACAGAAGGAAAAGUAGCAGAUAAAUUGGGUAGCAAUCAAUUAAAAAACACACCCAAUCACAGAACACAAAUGUACACGCACCCAAUUUUUGUGCUAGAAAUUCAAAAAAUUUAGAGAUUUCGCACGCAAACAACGAAAUCGAUCAAAACCCAAUAAUAAUUACGAUCUGCAAAACAAAAUUGAAGAAAUUGAUUGUUAGAUUCAGAAUUUACCAGACAGGACAAGGAUGAAGGAGCGGGACGAGGAUGAGGGAGAAGAUCGAGCGUGACAAGGAUGGGCGAGCAGGACCAGGACGAGCGAGCAACUAUCUCGAAGAUGGUCUUAGCAAUCCGGUGAUAUUGGGGUUCUCGCUAAGAACUUCUAGUGAAGCGGUUUGUUGGAGCGAGUCCGACUUAAUCCCAUUAAACUUAAUGUCUAACAAACACAAUAUUACACUAACAAUUAGUCAUAUUUAGUUCAAUGAGAGCUAGUGAGCCUAAACAAACACACCUUAAGAGCUUAAUGUAGUAACAGUUGAGUCUCUUCCCCUUUUAAAGAAAAUUAAUAAAAAAUGCUUUAAAACUUUGCAUUUUAAUCAAAAAUCAUUUAGUAACUUUAUUUAAUGAGAAAGAUAAAAAAAUAAAAAAUUUAAACAUGCAUGUGCCCAGCCCGCGUCCCCCCCCCCCCCCCAAUAUAACCAAAUAAGAAAAAGUAAAUGAAAACACACUACACAUACAUAUGAUAUUAUGUAUGAAUUAGCUAAUUGUAACAACGAUGACACCUAUUUUUAGGCCUUUGACAAAAUAAGCAAACACACGUCUAGUGCUAUAAUCUCGUAAGUUUCAUAAACAAUGAAGUAUUGUUAAGUUUCAUAAACAAUGUAGUACAGUUAAGUUUCAUAAACAGUGUAGUAAGUUUCAUAAAUAAUGUGUAUGUGGACGCACGGGUCCCCCGCGUUAGUUUUUCUUUUUAAAAAAAUUAUGUCUUUUUCAUUAAAAUUUAAAGUUCUUUUGUCUUUUUUAUUAAAAUUUAAGAGUUUUUCAUUAAUAUUUAAGUAUUUUUCAUUAAAUAAAGUUAUAGCAUGAUUUUUUGUUGAAAUAAAUUUAGUCAAAUGCCUUUUCAUGAAAGUUCCCUUUCUUUAUUGUUUCAAAACCGAGUUUUAAGUAUUUUUUUCUAAUAUGAAUGAAGUUCUGAGGACCUUAUUCGUAGAGACGUCUCCGAACUGAUUAAAUAGCAGUUCAGUAAUUGACUAACUUUUAUGUAAUAUUUCAGCUGGUAGAAAGCAGCAAAUCCAACUCAUUGGUACUUGUCACUGGACAAUCUUUUGGAGGCGCUGUAGCUACCCUUUUCACCUUAUGGCUGCUAGAAAGCCUCGACUUAUCGAAAGUGAAACGUCCCCUUUGCAUCGCUUUUGGUUCACCCUUGAUCGGUGACAAACAAUUCGGACAAUGUGUGUUGCAAUUCCCAUUGUGGAGUUCUUGCUUCUUGAAUGUAGCCUCCAUCGAUGAUCCUGUACUUCAAUUCUUCCUAACCGCUUCGCAAGCGAGUGGUUAUAAGCCUUUCGGAACAUUCCUACUGUGCUCCUCUUCGGGUGGUUCUUGCUUUGAGGACCCUGAUGCCAUUUUGCAACUAUUGGUGGAAACCAGCUCUCGGUGUGCCCAAAAU